rnacentral:lncRNA from 1 species
GGAUUGGUAAAUUUUAUGAUUUUUUUUUCUCUAAUUGUGAUUUGAUUUGAUUUUCGUUUUCUACUUUAUUGAUUUCUAUUAUUUUUUUCGAUUUUUGGUUUUGAGAAAGCCCAAUGAUGGAAAAUCUAUGUAUAUUGAGCGGCUGUGAUGGUUAUAGAUUCAUCCGUUGCCUUUAUGCAUCACCUGAAUAUCAGCGGCAACCGCCAUUCUUUCUCCCUUUCCUUGUCUCCUUCAACAUCACACACUAAAGCACACUUGCACUUUUGCCGCUGAUGUUUAUGGUGAUGUAUGAAAGGCUUCUGAUGAGUUCCAUCACGAUUUAGCUGUCUGUGAUUUUGAAGCUAUGAGAUCUGAGGGCUCUUUUACAGUUUUAUUUCUCUCAAAUAUUCAGUACAGAUACAAUCCCCUUUGUGGGUGUAUAAAUUUGCAUAACCACUAAUUAUUUGUAAUUGCUUGUGUUUUGUAUAAUUAAUGUGAAUUUUUAAAAUAGGGUUCGAGUGAUUUUAAAUGUCUUACAGUUCAUAAACUAAUGAAAUCAAGUUUAUCUGACAUAUAAUGAGCAAAUUACAAAAAAUUUAUUCAAUAAUUAUUAUAUUUAAAUUAUAAUUUUGUUAUUUGACUACUCUUCCAUAAAGCAUAGGAAGAUUUUGCGCACACGACAACGAGAAAAAACUGAUUAUGAUUAAAAAAAUGUUUUGUAUAUUGAAUGGUGUAAAUAAUAUUUAUUAAAUUACGGGUUAUCUCAAACCUUAUAUGAAAUAAUAAAAAAAAAAUCGAUGAUUGAUAUUUUAAAAAACUAAAAGCAUUACUGGAAUCACUCUCUGUCUGCACCUUUUGGUAGCCAUUGGUUUUGCAUCACGACGUUCCAAAGAGUAACGCUGCCGCAACAAGUAGUUUUAAUAGUGAUUCCCAUUUUUGCUACUCUAGCAUCAGUUGGGAGCCUAUCUUAACUCAUCCCAAAAUUUUUUAUGAAACAGAGAGAACGAUGAGCAAGAAGAAAGAAUUUUAAUUUUUUGGAUUGUUACACUAGGAUUUUGAAUUCUUGAUAAUAAUUUUGAAUGGAAUAACGUAUUUUGUGAAAUUUUAAUUUAAUUUUCAGUUUUUCUCCUUAAUUAGUGGAACAAAUAGAUACUAUAAGAUUAUAAAUUGAUUUUAAUGUUUUUUUUCUCUUAAUAAGUGCAAUACUAUAAGAUUAUAAAUUGAUUUUAUACUUUUUUUCUCUUAAUAAGUGCAACAGAGAUAGAAAGUAAUUUAGAAUUUACACUAUGGUAUUUAUGUAAUGUAUACUUGAUAUUUUAUGAGUCACGUCGGGCUAGUCCAUUUUUGGUGUGGACUUAAAAAUAGUCGGUUCAACCUACAAACAUGUGGGCUAGGCUGGAUGGGCCAAACUAUUUUUAAAAAAUUAUAUAUUUUUUAAUUUUAAUCUAAAUUACAAAUUAUAAUUUAAAAAUAUUAUCAUAAAUAUCAAUAAAAUAAUAUCACACGAUGUUAAUGUUACUACUUUUUAAUCAAAUUCACGAAUAAAAUUGUCUUUAUAAAAAUAUUUGUUAAGGUAAGUUACCAUUUUAAAAAGGGAAAAAUGGUCUGAUAUACCCCUCAACUUUGUCAUUUAGAGCUGAUAUACCCCUUGUUAUGAAAGUGACUCAUAUAUACCCCUACUUGUAAACACAUGGCUCUCAUAUACCCUUUUCCUCUAACGGAAAUGAAAAAAAUAAUAAUUUUAAUCUAAAUUUUUAUUAUUUUUUUCUAAAAAAUAUAAUCCCAUAUGAGUAAAUUUAAUCCUCGUCAAACAUAUUUUUUUUUGACUUUUUUUUGUUUCAGUGACUAAUUUAUAAUUAUUAUUUUGAUAAUCAAAUUUAUUUAUGUUUCACUAAUUAAAACUUAUUGUAGAUGACCAAAUUUUUUCUUCGAAUAUAAAAUUAAAUUACAAUACACACAUAAAAAAAUAGUUUAACUUUUUAUUCUUUAAACUAAGGAAUGAAAGAAAAAAGACAAAAUAAGAAUAAGAAAUUCAAAUAAUUAUAAUAAAAGAAGUCAAAAAAUAAUUUAUAUAUGAAAAAAAUUAAAAUAUACCUUGAACUUUGAUAGAAGAAUCAUAUAAACCCCUAAAUAAUUUUUUUAAAAAAAUUAGAAGUAAUAAAUAUAAAUUUAAAACUAAUUUUUUAACUUCCAUUAAAUGAAGGGUAUAUGUGAGCCAUUUUGUAACGGCAGGGGUAUAUGUGAGCCGUUUGUAUAACGGUAAGGGCAUAUAUGAGCCACUUUUAUAACGAGGGGUAUAUCAGCUCCAAAUGACAAAGUUGAGGGGUAUAUCAGACCCUUUUCCCUUUUAAAAAGGGAAAAAUUAUACGGAUAAGCAAACUUAUAUUAUCUAAUUACUCAUCACAGCUAUAGUUUGCUAUAAUUACCACUCGCGACUAACAUUAUACAUUAAUUACGUGGGCUAACUUCGAAUUUGUAUAAUUAGUCAUUUUUGUAUAUGUAUAAUUUCUCAGAAUAUACAAAUAAAUAUGCAUAAUAUACAAGUUUUUAGUCUAUACACAUAUAUAAUUCACCGCUCUCCCACACUCUACCCUCUCUCGCUUGCCUCUCUCCUCUCUCUCCUAGUCACGCUUGCCUCUCUCCUCCCUUUCGCAAUCUCUCUUGCCAUAUAUACAAUUACAUAUGUAUAAUAUACAAUUAUCUAACAAAUAUACAUAUAUAAUUAACCUUUCUCCCACUCUUUUCCCCCUCUCUCUCGUCUCUCUCCUCUCUCUUCCAGUCUCACUCGCCUCUCUCCUCUAAAUAACAUGUAUCUAUAAAUUGUAAUUAUCAAAUUAUAACUAUGAAGAGUAAAUUAUUAUUUUUUUAAGUGGCUAUAUGUGAAAGUUUCCCAUUAAAAAAAUUUAUUAAGUUUUUUUUAAGUAUGAAUAGUUAUAUAGAAAUAUUAACCUAAUUGUUUUGAGUUUAAACUCUCUUUAAUUUUAGGGCAACUUUCACAUAUAGCAAAUAAAAAAUUUAUAUUUGUAUGUUAUAGCAAAAUUUGCAUAAUUGCGCUCCAUAGCAAACAUAGAAAUUGUAUAAUUCGCUAUACAAAUACAGUUGAAGCAAAUUGUAUAAAACGAAGUGUAUAAAACAAGAAAGAGAAGAACACUUUGGCAGAGAACUGUAUAAAAACAAAGUGUAUUAUCAUAAGUGUAUAGAACAGUUAUAUACAAUUUGAAUUUGUAUAAAAUGAGAAAGAGAGAAAGACAAAACAGACUUGACAAGGAAUAUACAAUUGAAUCGAAUUGUAUAAAACAAGAAAGAGAGAAAUUAGAUACAAUUUGAAAAUUGUAUAAAACAAGAAAGAGAGCAAGCAAAAGAAACUGGACAGAGAAGUAUUUUAUUGUAUAAUUAUAAGUGUAUAGGACGAAAAUAUAUGUACUUGCAUGUGUAUAUACAAUUUUCUCGCGCUUUAUACAAACAGAAAACGCAAUUUAUACAUUUCUCUUCUGUUUGUAUAAGUGAGAAAGGCGAGGGUGGCGAGCGAGAUUUGGGAGAGUGGCGACCGAGAUCUAGAAGAGGGGAGAGAGGGGAACAAAAAUAUAUGUAUUUAUACAAUUUUCUCUGCUUUAUACAAUUAGAAACAAUUUUUAUACGCUUGUGUUUUGUAUAAAAAGUGAGGAAGCGAGCGGAGAUUGGAGGAGAAUGUCGAGAGAUAUUUGGGAGAGAGGCCAUGACAAUUUUCUGCAAACGUUUGCUAUGGAGCACAAUUAAAUCAAACCCUAGCUACUCCAUUUAUUUUAGGUUAUUAGUUUGUUAUUAUAUAUAAUUUUUCCUUAAUUUUAUUAUAUUUUUCAAUUAAAUUUUAUUGGCCCACGAUCCGGCCCUACCGAUAUUUCUCAAGCCUCUCAAAUCAACAGACUUAUUCAAGACGGGCUAAAAAGCCUUUUUCUUAAAUGGGUUCCAAAAAUCUUAGCCCAGCAUUACUAAAUUUCGGGUCAGGCCGGCCCAACGGUCCUAGCCCAUAUUGACGGCUCUACAGAGGCUGAUAGGUCUAAGCUCUGAGAGGUGCUGUGGAAAACUCACCUUGAGAAUAAGAACAAUAUUUGAGUGAGUGAACCUUAUAGGCAAGGUAGAUCCACAAAAGUAAGCAUUCAUGGUUUGAGUGAUAUCAGGGCCAAUAAUCGACCAACAACUUGGAAAAAAUUUAGCACUGAAUCCAUCCGGUCCUGGGGCGCUAUCUGGAUCCAAAGAGAAAACGGUUUCUUUGAUCUCUUUGUUAGUAGGAAACGCAGUCGACAACCUAUUGGUGUCAUCUAUAAUAGAGGCUUCAAUGAAAUUCAGUUAUGAGAAAUCAUUCCUAUCAGGAUUCUGGCAAAAAAUGCCUUGAAAGUAUUUCACAGCUGCUUCAGCUACCCCCUUGUUUCCUUUUACCCAUUGCCAAUGUUCAUCUUGGAUCUUGUUGAUUUGAAGUCUUCUUCUUUUGUCUUUCAAACAUUAUGAAAAUAAGAGUUGGUGUCACCCUCAGUAAACUACUUGACUUUUGCCUUUUGUCUCAUGAUAGAAUCUUGAAUUUUAAGAUACUUGCUGUGAUUAGCCUUAUGUGAUGUUCCGCCACAAUUCCAGCCUGAUUUGGCGUCCGAAUAUGAGCAGAAGGAUCUAGAGUUGUGAAGAGGUUUGCAGAGAACUCUAGAACCUUCUAGAUUUCUGGAGAAGACUAGAGAAUUCUCUAGAAUACUUUAGAUACUUUUGAAAGAGAUUAGCAUAUUCUAGAAAGUGUAGAAUUCUCUAGAAUAUGGACUAAAAUGUAAAUAUUUUAGGGACUUGUAGAGUAAUUUUUAUUUACACUUAGACCCUUAGGAGGUAGUAUAAAUAGAAGGGCCUCUCAUUUGUAAAUGCAUCCAACCAAAACAAAAUUGUAAGCAAGUUUUCCAAGUAUAAUACAAGUCUUCUUCCAAAGUUCUUUCUAAGUCAUUCUUUACAUUCUCUUAAUGAUCUAAGUCUUAAAGUCUUACUUGAGCUUACAAGAUCGUGAAAUAUUCGUGAGUAAGUUGUCAAGUGCCGCACGGAGUCUUAGCAAAUACUCUAAGUCCGUGACACUUAACCUUUUUCAAAUUGGUUCUAUUGGUAUCAUUAGUCCCCGCUAGAUUGACUUGUUCAAGAUCCACAAUGUCCUUUUCAAGCUUUUUGGUCUCGUUAUAGAUAUUACCAUAAACUUCUCUAGACCAGUUGCUCAACCUCGAGGCUGUAGUUUUGAGCUUUUGGUGUAUGCUCCACAUUUUGGAUUACCUUGAACCUCAAGUAGGCAAGCUUCCUUGACAACGUCCAGGAAUAACUCAUGUUUUGUCCAGACAUUAAGAAAUUUGAAAUAUUUCUUAUGCUCGUCUUCUUUGUCAUUAAGUUUGAUCAAAAGUGGAACAUGAUGUGAGCAAACCCUUGCCAAGUGAGUGACUGAUGUUUUUCCAAACCAAGAAGCAUUGUAUAACAUCCUGUCCAGCUUUUUCAAACUGUAUUGGGAGCCCCUCUAUUAUUGCUCCAAGUGAAUUUAGCCGCAUCCUGGAUCCCCGAAUCAAUCAUACAGUUGAGGAAGUCAAAACUUUUCCCAAUUUCUAUAAGGAAUGCCGCCUUCUUUUUCAUUAACAGAACCAAUAACAUUAAAGUCACCAACUGCUGUCCAAGGACCUUGGAUUAUUGAGGAUAGAGUUGACUUCAGAGAUCUUUUCUUAGAGUGUCUUCGCACUUAGCAUAAAUAGUAGCAAUGUGGAUCACAUUACCAUUAGGGAGGACAAUUUUGCAAGUUAGUUCAAAAGAUCCAAAUUUUAUUAUUGCUGCUCACUUGUUUUACAUUUUCCAAAUCACAGAUGUAAAAUAAAACCAUAACAGUUGUAUAAAUAUUUAACUAUUGAAAGACAAAUUAAUUCUUGCAUAAUAUUUUCUUAAUUAAUGUUUAUUCAUUUUUUAAUUGACUCACCUAUUAAAAAAAUAAUUAUUGACAUAAUAAGUUAAUUAUGAAGUGAAUAAAUCAAAAUUUUAAGAUUUUAAAAAAGUUUUAUCUUUUUUAAAACAAUUAAUUAAGAGUAUGAUAAGUAAACAAAAUUGUUCUUUCUUGAUUUAUCAAAAUGAACAAGUAAUUUGAAAUAAUUAUCUAUUUUUGGUGUGGAUUAAAAAAUGAUUGGUCCAGGGCUGGCUUGUCGAGCCAACCCACCUUUUAAAAAUAUAUUUUUUAGGACAAAAAAAUAUGCGGUUAAGCAAACUUAUAUUACUUAAUUACUCAUCAUAAUUAUAGUUUGUUAUAAUUAUCGCUCGCGACUAACAUUAUAUAUUAAUUAUGUGGACUGACAUUGAGUUUGUAUAAUCAGCCACAUCAAUCUAUAUUAUAAUUCGACGGAAUAUAUAAAUAUAUAUGUAUAAUAUACAAUUGUCUAAUAUAUAUAUAUAUAUAUAUAUAUAUAUAUAUAUAUAUAGACACACACAAUUCACCUCUCUCUCGCUCUUUCAAUCUCACUCGCCUCUCUCCUCUCUCUCCCAACCUCGCUUGUUUUUUUUUAUACAAAUGCAUAUGUAUAAUACACAUAUUAAUUCACCCCUCUCCCACUGUCAGCCCUCUCUUGCUUGCGUCUCUCCCAAUCUCGCUCGCCUCCCAAUCUCGCUCUCCGCUCUUCUCUAUCCUCUCUCUCCCAAUCUCACUUGCCAUAUAUUCAAGUAGAUAUGUAUAAUAUACAAUUAUCUAACCAAUUUACAUAUAUAAAUCACUUCUCUCUCGCCUCUCUCCUCUCUAUCGCAGUCUCGUUCACCUCUCUAUUCCCUAUUAUACGUAGCCACGAAUUGAAAUUAUUAAACUAUAGCUAUGGAGGAUAAUUAAGCUAUUUUUAGUGGCUAUGUGAAAGUCCCUUUUUAUAAUUAUUAAAUUAAAAUAUAAAUUAUAAUAUAAAAAUAUUGUCAUAAAUAUCGACAAAACAAUUUACAUGAAGUUUUUUAUUAAGUUUUUUCUCAAGCAAAAGUAGAAAUAUAUAAAUAGAAAUAUUUUUUUUUAAUAAAUAGAAAUAUUAACUUAAUUAUUUUGAGUUUGAACUCUAAAAUUUAAUAUUAUAUUAUAUUUUUAAUUAAUUUUUAUUGACCUACGAGCCGACCCUACCGAUAUUUUUGAAGCGCCAUAAAUAGUAGGCUUACUCAGGCCAGGCUAGAAAAUGUUUUUUCUUAAAGGAAAUCUUACAUAAAUGUACAAUAAUAAGAAAAUAUUUACCAUUAUAACAAUUUUUUUCUUCACUUGAUCACUUUUAAUUCAUUUAUAAUACAAGUUUAACAUAUAUUACAAAGAUCAAUUUAUUAUCAUAUACAGUACAAGUUUUAAUGAUGGAUAAUACAUUUAUCACACAUUUUAAUACAAUUAUUAUACAAUGUGUCAAAUUUUUACCAAACAAACAUAAUAUAUUUUGAAAAACAAUUAUGAUUCAUCUAUAUUGCAUAAAUAAUUCACUUUUAAUAGAUUUUGUAGAUAUAACAUAGUAUUGCUAUAAAUGGUAAUAAAUAAAAAGUAUCGCUAAAAUCAUUAAUUAUUUAUUAAAAUGUGUCAAUCGAUGUAAUUUUUCCUUUUUUAAAUGAGUUCCAAAGAUAUUAUUUCAGCCCUAUUAAAUUUUGGGUUAGGUCAGGCCGAUCCAAGAGACAUAAUCCAUAUUGACGACUCUAAAUAGAAGUAUUAUUUUUUUCUCUAAUUAUAUAAAAUUAUGCGUAAUAUAAUGCGAAAAAAUAUAAUAAUUUUAAACAUAAAUCAACUAUAAUUAUAUAGAAAUAAAAAAUAAAAUAAAAUAUAACCAAACUUAUUAGAUAUGCUAAAUAAUUAAUAACAGUUAUAUUGAUGAACAUGAUAUUCUAGUGUUGGCAAAAAUAAUUUUUUGUUUCUACUAGUAUUUUCAAAUAACAGAUUUGUUUUGCUUCACUCAACAACAAAAGUAAAACCAAUACCGUUUCCAUUUAAAUAAAAGGGCAACUUUCAUAUAUAGCAAAUAUAAAAUUCAUAUUUGUAUGUUUUAAUAAAGUUUGCAUAAUUUCGUUUCGUAGCAAACAUAUAAAAGUAUAAUUCGCUAUACAUAUACAGUCGAAACGAAUUGUAUAAAACGAAUUAGAGAUAAACUAUAUACAAUUUGAAUUUGUAUAAAACGAAAAAGAGAGAAAGACAAAAGAAGCUGGGCAGGGGAGUGUUUUUAUUGUAGAAUUAUAAGUGUAUAGGACGAAAAUAUAUAUAUUUACAUAUAUAUUUGCAUGUAUAAAUAUAUAUGCACACAAUUUUCUCUCAAGUUAUACAAACAGAAAUGCAAUUUAUACAUUUCGUUUCUGUUUGUAUAAGUAAGAGAGGCGAGGGUGGCGAGCGAGAUCUGAGAGAGGAACAAAAAUAUAUGUAUUUAUAAAAUUUUCUUUCGAUUUAUACAAAUACAAACACAUUUUACACAUUCGUAUUUGUAUAAAAAGUAACAGAGGCGAGCGAUACUGUCACUAAAAAAGAGUGGCGAACAAGAUUCCACCAAAGAGAGUGUCAAAAAUAGCUAUAUUUUGCUGUAAGGUAUAAGUAAAUCAAAAUACUUAAUUUAAAUUAAUAAUUUAUUAUUAUAUACAAUUCUCACUAAAUAAAGUCACUUAUAUUAAUUUGCGAAAAUACAUUAUUUUCAACAAAAAUACUUUUUUGAAAAAUACGUGUCUCCGCAAUCCCAAACAGGGUUUGUUGAUGUUUGGGGUCAGGGACUUGACGAAGAGCUUCAACAAAAGUUUGAAGUUGAAGCAGAGAAACUGACAAGUAAUGUUGGAGUUGAAGGCAAAGUUUUUGAAGAAAGCAGUGAUUUCUUCCACUCUAAUUGAGCAUCCAUCCCCUGCCAAUCUUCAGUCUACUCGUCUUGCCAUUCAUGUCCGUUAAUUCCCUUUUCUCAAAAUUCAGUUUUUUAUUUUGUGCAUACCCAAUUCAAUCUAACUGUUUCUCCUUUUUUUUUUUUGAGAGCAGAUGAAUGAUGAUAAUGAUUCUUCUUGUUGGGUUUACAUUGCAUCUGGCUGCCGCAUUUAUAAAGUUCUUGUAAGUCCUUUCCAUAAUGUCUUUGUACACGUAUAUAAUGAUGUAUUAUUAUUCAGUCUAGUCCUUUUGCUUUGUCUAUUGAAUUCCAGUAAGCUUAAUUGAGUUGCAAUCAUUCUAAGUGAUUGUGAUUUCAACACUCAUGUCUGAGAUGUCCUCCACACCUAUUUGCGCUUCUUGUUCGGGAGGUAAAUUACAAGCUAAUGGACGAUUCAGAAUUUUCACUAAGGGGCUCAAAAAAUAAAAAUAUAGUGCUUUGAGAUUUCAGUUCGGAACCUAAAAGAUUGAAUUUUGAAACUCCCUAAACAACUAAGCCAGCCUGUAGUCUUGUGUGCAAGGGAUUCCAAGUCUAUAUAUACACUAAAAAAAGAACUUUAUAUACAUAAGUGUAAUAUUUGUCAAGGGUAUUCAGAUGAACACCUUGCCCCCUCCUAGAUCAGACCAUGGCUAUAAAGAGACAGAGAGAUAGAUUGAGGUUGAGGGGAGGAGCUGAAUAAGCUGCUUUGUUAUACCACUUUGUUCUUUGUACUUAUCUGGUCUAUAUAUGAUGAUAAGUUCAUAUUGACUUCACAAACAUGCUUGAAGGCUAUUAGUUGCAUAAACCUAAAUGUGUUGAUAAACAUGUUGGAUUAAGAAGCAACGGAUGUUCAAUUUGUUUUCAUUUUCACUGUACAGAUUCCAAUGGAAAAUUCAUUGCUCAAUCUAGGAAAGGAGGACCUUCUAAUUCCUGAACAAUGUGAGGUACACUUGCCAUUUCUUAUAUCAUGAUGAAAGAUGUUAAGUGUGAAGUAGCUUACUAGUAUUGUUAAUUUGAAGGUUCUAGAAGCUUCAGUGGUCAAUCGUUGCCCGCAUCGAUCAGAAAUCCAAAGUAUAGUGCUAGCUGAAACUGAAAGUAAGAUAUGAAGAUAUUUACCUUUUGAAUUUUUGCAGCCCUUCGCGAUAUUCUGAAAAGCUUGUUGUUAUUAUUUCCUUAUUCUGAAUUAUCUUUUUAAUUAAUAAGAGAGGGAAAGAUAACAUAGAAAUAGUGACAGAGAAGAGGAAAUUUUGGAAAGAAAGACAAAUAGCCUGCUAUAUCAUCAUAUCAUUAAAUCGUAAAUCUUUUGUCGUAUCUUUUUUUAUAUAAGUUGGCAUUGCAUCAUGCGUAUGGUCCUGUAUAUUGAAGGGCUUUCUACCACUUCUUCAAGAACUUGCUGCUAUUGUUCCUACUAACUUCCCUAGUUUUUAGCUGCUCGGUCCUUAUUGCUACUACUGUCCAUUAGUUUGCAUGUAGUUUCUUUUAUGUAUUUGAAGUAGCUAAUCUUUACCUUUCAACAGCUUAAUGAUCUGUCUAGUUCUCUACAGGCUCUGGUUGCUCAAUGCUGGGAAGCGUGGAUUCUUAUGGUCACCUUAUUGUCUCUAGAUUGGAUGCCAAUGGUGACGGUAUCUCUCCUAUUUAUUUCUCAGUACUUAGCUGAACAGUGAUGGAUUCUGUUAAAAAUUAGCAUAAUUUUGGAGUUGAAAUUUUGGUUUACCUCUGUUAAACCUAUUUUUUUUCCAUUUAUAUAGGCGUAAUGCCACAGUUAGUUAAUAACUAAAUUUACCAAUUAUGGGGUCUGAUGUGCUCAUUUAAUAGUUUGGUUUUGCUACUUACAAUUUCACGAAGUAUCUUCAGUAAAGAUGCUAUAUUUAAAUUACUAUUACCUGGCAUAUAAGUGAAAUAGUGUACCAACUUGAUUUGAGAAACUUAUGAUCUUGCUAAUUUGAGUAGAUCUAAGAAAAAUUGUUAUUGACAUGGACCACCCAUGACUUUUACCGAUGAGUUAUUCCCACAUUUACUCUAGCAUGAUAUUUAGGUUACAGCUUGAUGAAUUCCUCAUAUUCUAGAUGUCAACGGGCUUACGUAUUCUGUCUCUCCUCGAGAUUGUGGUGUUGGAGAAGGUAGCUGGGCAGGCCUGUGCUUCAAUCCCACUCAACGAUCCAUGGUAUUUCAUCUCAUAUGUCUCCUAGGUUGGAGUCUGUAAUCAUUAAUGUUGAUGCUUCACAUCUGCAGCUUCUGCCUGUUCACUUUGAAGCAAGUAAUUGUGCCCGUGGGUGCAAAAUAGAGGCAGUUGGUGUGGAGGCGAGGCCUUGUCCUUGUCAGCUGACUAGUUUGCAAUCUAUUUCUUGUUGUGUAUUUACUAUCGUGCUUCAAUGUAUCUUGUGUCCUUUGCCUGAGAUUCUUCCAGAUACACUAGUCUGCGUUUUUUUGACCUCUACCGUUUACUAAGAAAUUUGAAAUGAUGGUAUUGGCUAGCACCCGAAUAUCCUCAUCUCUGAAUGUGCCAGUGCCUGUUUUUAUUUUUUUUGCUCCGUGUGAACUGGCUUACUAAGCUACACAACUUGUUGGUCAGUAUACCUGAUUAAAACAAUGGGUUAUUCUGGUAUUAUAUUGGCUAUUCAAAUGAACUUUAAUGCACCUUCUUUUUUUCCCUGAAACUUGUGAGUUGUGACAGUAACUCUAAGCACUUUUAAGUUGAUGAUUUGAACCUUAAAGGAAAAUGAGACGGUUGAUUUUUUUCUUCUGCACAAUCAUUUUUUUCCCUUUUUAACAUCCUCUCUGCGCGCGCGCGUGUCUUGGAAAGUGUAAGUGUUUCAUUUGUGGCAUAUUUCUUGCCUUCUGCCUGAAUUUCAGUAUUUCUGGCCUUUUCCCUCAGGCAGCUGUGGCUCACAGUUUCUCUAAAACCAUUGAUGUCUAUGACCAAGAUAUUCAUGUCCGCACCUUACGUCCGUAAGUGCUUAUCUUUGCUUCGGAGACGGUAGAUCAUUUACAGUAUAAUCUCAAGCUUUUCAUUUAUUUUUUGCUACUAUGCUUUCCAUUUUUGAGAUACUGUUUAUAUGUAUAGCAGCAAGUCACAAAAAAUCGUACAUCUAGUUCAUAUAUCCUUUCUAGACAGUCUGGACUGUUUUAUUCUCACUUGGAGGCAUUGCUAGACUACUACUACCAUGGAAGCUUUUCUGCUACUUUGGGCCUUUUAAGCAAUGUUGUUAAUAAAAAAGAAAACCAGUAAAACUAUUUCCUGAUGCUGAUUUAAGUACUCGUAACAGAUAUAAACAAAUCUGAAUAAUGGUUUCUGCAAACCUUCUUUUUGUGGAUUAAUUACUGUUUCCAUAAAGACAAUUUGACUGUUCUAUAUUUCUAGAGCUCUUAUAUGCAUGACUUGAGUCCUAAGUUUGCAUCUUUUCCUUUGUGUAGGGAUUUGUGUUGGCAUGUCUUUAGAUCUUAAUAUAUAAACCAAAGAACAAAAGAAAUCAAAAGAAAAUGCUUGGCAAUAGCUAUCGUGUAGAAGAAGGUCCACAAAAGUAUCUAAGAAACAAUUUAUAGAAUUGGUUGUACCUGGUUUUAUGAAAGAUUAUAAUUGACAUUUAUCUUUGAAAAGGGGGCGGGGGGUGGGCGGUUCAAUAAUCAAGGAUUCAAUCAUAAGCCUUCUAUUGUUGAAAACCAUCUCUUUGUUGCUCUGGUAUUAUUGAAAGCCAAAGAUUUAGUGUUAGAGGAAGAGAAUAUUCAAAAUGCUGAGGCACUACUGAAACUGUAAGAUCUAGCCAGGUUGGAAGAAAUAACUUGCGGCAGAAGUCUUGGUGCAUAUGGAUCCCACAAAGGUGAUAGGAACAUAUGGAUCAUUGAUUGAUGGAGGAUUGGCUGAAGAUCAGGAAGCCAUAAAAGAAGAGAUAUGAAGUAAUAAUCUAUUUAAAGAACCUGUCAAAUAGAGACUCUGCUUUGGACAGAAGAUAACCCCAAAUUUUACGAGGAAGAAGAGGACCGGUUCCAAAGAUUUCUAGUGAAUAGGCGGAGGACAAAGCAAUCAAAAUGUGAAGGUAGCUAAGCCCCUAGCCCUAAUGGUCUCACAAUGUCUUUUGACCAUAAUUGGCAGCCCAUAAUUAGGAGGCGCCUUCUGCAUGCAGUCCACAUACCUAAGAAUAAUGAGGUUGAAAAACUUGAGCACUUUAACAGUAGUAAUUCCAAAAAAAAUUAUUUAAAGAAGAGGAUUUUAAGCCUGUCAACCUAGUGGGGAGCUUCCACAAUUCAUCAUUAAGUUGCUUCAAAAUCUCAAAAAUGUUAUGAAGAAGCUCAUGGCUGAUACACAAACAACUUUCAUAAAAAGGGAGUCUAUAGAUUGUAUGCAUUACUGCCCAAAUCACAAAUGAAUGCUUAGAGAGAAGGAGGCAAGUAAAGCUGGGGUAAUCUAUAGAAAAAGGUUUCAAUCAUGUUAAUUGGAGUUCUCUGUUCUGAUAAGAGAAUGGUCUUCACUGAAACGGAUAAACUGCAUCAGUUAGUGCAUUUCUUUGUUAUAAUGAUAGUUGAUGAUAUUACUUUGAUACUAAAGUAAGCCAUGCACUUGACAUUGAUCUGUCACUUUUACAUUGAGAGAGGAAGUGUCAAUUGUUUUGGCCAUCUCUCACCUUACCUUAUAUAGGCUGAUGACAUUCUCAUAAUAUGUGAUACAGAUAAUAGACAGGUUGAGUAUAUAGAAAUCAUCCAUCAUUGGUUUUGGCCUUCUCUAGAUUUUAUAAUUUAUAGAAAACUGGAGAAAAGUUUCCUCUUUCCUGAAGUUCAGAAACUUGAGAACUGGCUGUCAAUUUGGGAAGUAAUAUUGGAUCUUUAUCUAACUAUGUACUUUAGCAUAUGCCUUUGGUGUGACCUUUAAAUGAGUGUACAUCUGUAGUGGAGUCAUUGAAAAUGUAAGGAAGAAGCUGUAAUUGAAAAAGGCAAUCCUUUUGUUAUGUGGGAGACUGACUUUAAUAAACAGUAUGAUGGAUGCUUCCCCAAACCAUGCAAUUAUCUUUAUUCCUAUGCCAGAAUGGAUAGAGGAAGACAGGGCUAGAAGAAAUUUCUUAUGGGAAGAGAACAAAAAGAAAAGUAGUUCUAUCUAGACAGUCUCCAUAUGAAAGCUAUAAUUUAUGUUGGUACCUAAGUUAGUGAGUAUGAGUUGGUUGUUCACAGGUUGCAGUAUGUAGAAGCUUUAUUAUCGUAGAUUGCAUUUUUAACACACGUGGUCUUUCAGAUAACAAAUAUUUAAUUUGUAAUAUUUUUUUUUUGGCUUAAAUAUAUUUGAGGAAUUUAUUCAAAGAAAAAAAAUCACAUUGCAGAUUGUGGCAUCCAUCUUCACUUAUGUUCAUGCAAAAUUUGGACUUAGGUGGUGGAAAUUCUGUAUUAGCAGUUGCAGAAGGUUGCCAGGUAAUGUUUCUAUGUUAUUUUGUUUCUUAUGUUAGAAUCAUGCAGAGAAUGUCUUGUUCUUUACUGAUUCUUUUCAUUCUCUGCACUCCAUACUGGCUUCAGCUGACAAUAUGGGACUUGCGAAUGAAAGAAAAGGGUGGUUGUGUGCGUCGAAUCUGUGGAUCUGUAGGAGAUAACUUGUAUGCAGUCUGUAAUUCUUCAAAAGGUACUAUUGCAGCUGGUGGAGCUGAUCGUACUGUGACUGUCUAUGAUCCUCGCAGGUAGUCUUCUCUUAAGGCUUUACUUUGCUUUUACUGGUUGUUCUAGUGUUUAUCUUACAGUGUGCUUGUGUACUUGAUCAAAUUUCAGAUAACCUGGAAUAUGCCAUGUUAAGUAAUUUGUUCUUGUUUGUUGUCUCAUACAUUUCUCGUCUUGUGUAUUCUUUUGAAAGGAAUAUUGCCAGUUAUAGCUCUAGGAUAUGUUCACGCUUAGAAAUUAUAUUGAAAACUGCAAUUUUCUCAGCUUUCUGUGUUUGCUUCAGAGUCCUGAUGGGUAACAUAGUUUCCGGCAGGUUUGGUUGGGUAAGAGGGUUGAUCUUUUUUUGCAACACACUGAUACAAUAUACAUUUCUAUUACAGAUGGUCAGCAGUGUCGAGAUGGCUAAACUGCUCUAAGUAUGAGGUUAAUCUUGUCCUCCCCCCUCUUACUCUCUCUCUCACUCACACACACACACACACAUAUACACACAUUUAUUUGUAUAUUAGUAGUUGUUUCUGUCAAUAAGGUAUCGAAGGAAUUUCUAAAAAGAAGUCCAGCCAAUAGUAUCCUUGUCUCAAGUGAGGCCACAAUUGAAGUUGUCUGGUCAAAAUUUUCUUUCAUCUCAUUUUUCGUUGCUUAAAUCUCAAGUAACAUUCUUUCUGGGUUCUUUUUCCAUAUCCUUGUUGUGCAUCUUUUCUUUCAUGAUUCUUUUAUUACACCUAUGCUUUGUGUUAUAAUUACUAAAAUGUCUCAUGCUGUUACAGAUAACUGGACUUGCUUUCUCUUCCGUUGAUCCUGAAUAUGUCUAUGUACAAGGCGUUGACUACGAGGUGACUAUUUCACAACUUACCUUUUAUAGUUUUCAUGAAUCUUAAAUAGAGAAUCUGAGUUUCAUCUUUACUCCAGCAUAUAUCCUCCCUUCCAUAAAACGUAGUACUCCAUAGAUCCAAGUCAUCCAACAUUGAUGUAAAAUUUCAGAACAGCUACUAGACGUUUACAUGAAUCUUAUAUAGAGAAUCUGAAUUUCAUCUUUACUCCAUCACAUAUCCCUCUUUCACUAAAACAUAGUAUUACCUAUAUCCAAACUUGACGUAAAACUUCAGCACAGUUACUAGACAUUCCUUGAAAGGAUGUUCAAACUCUUUUUUCGUUAUUCCAACUUGUAACCUCAUUUCCUUUAAACAUAGUUCUUCCUGUUAAAAUCCACAAUUGCUAUAUGCUUUUAACGUUGCAGACAACUCCUACCAAAGUUAGGUACUUUCCCUCUUUCUUUCUCUCCAGGACUCCGAAGUCAAUAUCUCCCCUUACAUGGUAGAUUACAUGUUCAUCUACUAUGAUUACAAUGUUAUUAGUAAAAGCAUAAAGCAAAAAGUAAAUUUCUGAAAAAGUAAAAGGACAAAGCAAACUGUUACAUGUGAUACCUGGUUCUUGCAAUUUAGUUGUUCCCUUCUGCAGAUUUUUUUCCCUUUUCAUCUUUAACAUUACCAUUCGCUAUUGCCAAUUUUGAAAACAUCAGUCUGAACAUAGAGACCCUCGGCGGUCUAUUACCCUCGGGUGUUAUCCAUUUUUUGUAAUUUUGAGGGCCAAAAUGACAAUGUUUAUAACUUGAGAAUUUAAAAGGAUUUGUACCACAUCUAUCUAUGCUUUUAUUUUAAUUCCAGGCUAUACGCGGUGCAUUUGGACUUUUGUCCCUGUGACUCUAUUGUUUGAUAACAAAUUUGAUAUAUACUUCUUAACAGGUCAUCUGUGGACGAUGGCAAGAAAGCAAGAAAAUAUUUUCGUAUCGAGGAGAUUCUAAUUGGCUCGGAUUUAGCAAGGUAAGAACAAAGUUUAAAUGUAGUAUGCUAAUUAUCCGAGCCCAGUUGGCUAGUUUGCUGUAAAUAAUUGGCUCGGAUUUAGCAAGGUAAAAUUUACAUUUGUAUAAGACCUAACAUUCUUGUAAACCAUUCGGGGUGGCCCAGUAGUUUGGGCUUGGGACUUCCAUGUUGGAUGUCUCAAGUUCGAAAUCCCUUGCCAACAAAAACAAGGAGUUUGCCUUUUGGGUCGGGCUUGCCUAGUGCACAUUACCUCUCCUAUGUGGUUUGCGAGCUAUUGCAGGGUUUUACGCACCCAAAAGUAGCGGCUGCGGAUUUCCUCAUCAUAAUCUUGUAAUUUCACCUCCAUUUAAUUCAUCCAAUUGUUAUUUUUUGACAGUGUUCAGACAGGGAUGUCUUGGGGGGUUGGUCCGACUCAGGUAGCUUAUUUGUCGCUGAUAUCCGUGCAGUGAACGGAUUACACCUUCCUGCUGCAACCAGUGUUUUUUAAUUUGAUUUGAUUUUACGGCGGGGCAGGGCGUAUGCCUGUAAGCCCCCAACGUUAAAUUUUAACUUUUGUUGUUUUGAAGUAUUUUUGCUAUAUAUUGGUGUUAUUUAUACUUUAUGUUAUUAUGUUUGAGAUAACCUUACCCGUGUUUUGGAGUUAACGCCUAGCCUACUGUUGUAUAAAACACCUCGCCUCACCUUUAAAUGAACUUGUUUCUCUUCAUCCUGCAUUUUACUCCAUCCUGUACACAAGUCAUGCAACACUCGAGCCAUUUGUUGGUUAACAGCAUCAAUUAUCUUGAUAAGAUUGUCGUUUAAAACUCUGUAUGAAAAAGAUCAAGAGUGCCCCGAAAGCCCCAAAGAACGGAAAUGGAAUUUGAUUUGUGUGGUUCCUUUUUACAUAUUGAAGUAUUGAAUAGUGUUAUAUGAUAUUUAUUGUGCAGAGACAUUACAAAUAAUAGAUAAAUUAAUUGAAUCGCAGCAAUUUAAUUCUCAUAUCAUCAUUUAUUGGAAGAAAAAAGAAGAGAGAAAGCGUUACAUAAGUUUGAAAUGGUGUACUUAUUUACUACAGGUGAAUGAGCCAACACAACAAGUUCUUUCUUUUUCUUGUUUUUGGAAUUUCCUAUCAAGACUUUUGUCAAAAUUAUUCUCUUUGAUUCAAAUUACUAUUAUUUUGUAGACUUUACAUUAAAUAUCUGCUUUGAUAUAUGUUAAUUUAAAGCCAGUCCAAUUUCUUUUAAGUUGUUUCCCCCAGAAGUUCUCAAAUUCAAUGUCUGAAGUUGAGGAUUCUUAGAUCAAACAAAAUUAUAUGAAGUUUGAACUCAUUCAAAUAUCAAGCAUUGUUUGAUACUUUUUAACUUUAGACACAUACGGAAGGUUAAUAUUUGGAGUGUUAACCUCAUUAUUUUCAACUUCAAUUUAGCAAAUUUGAAUACGACUUUCAAGACUAUUAAAAUUUAAAUUUUGAAUCAAUAUAAACAUAAAAUAUUUUUAAUUAAUGAAAUGACUUUUUAUUUUUUACAAUUACAAAUAUUUUGAGAAGAAGUCAUAAAAAAUGACCAAUAUGUUGAAUUGGAGCAAAUUGAAGGAGUCAAUUUAGAUGAAUCUUUCAAAGGUCAAGAUAUGUAAGCAUUGAGGAGACAAGAUCAACUUGCACUAAAGCAAUUUAUUUUCUUCUCAAUUAUUUUUGGACCCUAAAAAAGUUUAUUGAGCUCCAAUAGGGUUGGGUCCACCCCCAAAAUAAAACUUUUGGACAAUACUUAAUAUGGACCUACCUUUAUCUAGACUAACCCCUCCAAUGCCUAUGGAAAUGUACCACCUCUCCACUCCAAAACCCUAACUACCAAAAACAAGGAAAAGAAAUACUACUUUCUCUGUUUCACAAAAAAUAUCCUGAUUUAAUUUGGCAUGAAAUUUCAAAAAAUAAAGAAAAUCUUUGAAUCUUGUGGUUCUAAAUCAAAGUUUUGUUAAAUGUACAAAAAUAUUUUUUAAUUUUGUGGUCCUAAACAUAGCAUGUGAAAAGCAGAAAUUAAAAUUUAACUUAAAAAAAAAGAUAUCAUUUUUUUUACAUCUUUUUUAAACAGACUAAAAAUAAAAGCAUGUCAUUUUUUAAAAAUGGAGAAAGUACUAUAAAUUAAAUAGAUAACUCAGUUGUAAGAGAUUAUUCUUUUUUAAACAGACAAAAAAUGAAAGGAGGUUAUUUUUCUUUUGAAUUAGAGGAAGUACUAUAAAAUUAAGUAGAUAACUAAGUCGUAAGGAUGUGACUUAGUGCUAAUUUUUCUUAUUUAUCCGAGUGAUGGCAUUUCACUCCGUAUAUAGGUCGAUGUCAUGAUUUAAUUGAGGAUCAUUCAAAUUGAUCUGGACACCAAAAUUAUAAGAAAAUGAAUAGGUUACUUAAUUUAUUUCUUUAUUUUUUUAUGUUUCACUAUUCUAAUAAAUGCAAGUUGCUAUCAAGGGUUUUUUUGAUAGUGACAAAAAAUCAGUUUUGGAACAAAACUAGUAAAAAAAUUGGGAUUAGUGAUGGAACUAUAUCCUACUAAUUUUUUAGACUGUGGACCCUGGAGUUCUGGGACUUUGCAAAAUCACAUGCUUUGUGCUUCUUCCUUCUUUAAAGUUUUUUUUGUAUAAAUCUAAUUUAGUAGUAGCUCAACUUUUAAUGACUUUUUUUUGUUCAUUUUUAUUUUCUCAUUGUAUAUAUUAAAAAUAAAUGUUUCAUUUUACUUGUUUAGUUUUUUUUUUAAUCUUAUGUCUAUUUAAUCUUAAUUAUUACUCCAUUCUGUUAAUUACUUCUUUUAAGGAGUCAAAGUCAAAUUGAAUAUGAAUAAAUAAAGAUAAAUAAAUGAAAUGUUACUACUUACUAGUAAAGGCAAAACAAAUAAGAAAAUGAAUUUGAUUUUCAUGGCUAAAAGUUCACUUAAUUAUCUUACUUUUCAAUCCCCUAAAAAGUGGUUUAAGGAUAGGCCAUAUAUUAUGAAUAUAAUAUAAAGGAAACUUUUGGAAAAGUGAAACUUGAAGCACAAGUUUUGGUACUUUUUUUAAUGGAUAUUACUAAAUACUAAUCAAUUAUUAGGAGUCCUAAUUAUUAAUCAAUUAACUCCUGAUUUGAUUGGUUUUCUACAUUUGACUAGUUGAUUUCUAGAGAAAUUAAACACCUCAAAACUUCCCAUAGAUAAAUAGUGGCUAAACACCUAAUAUUUCAAAAUAAAAGGAAAAAAUAUCUUGUUGCAAUAAUAUUUAUAAAAGAAAAAAUAGAAGAUAUUUAUUUCUCCGUGGAUCGCUUGAUCGAUGGAAUAAGAAAUUUCAAAUUUUGAAAGUUAAUUUUUUCAUAUUUAGUGCAAUUUUUUAUAUCAUAAUUAUACCUAUUUCUAUACCAUAUUUUAUAUGGGACAAAAAUUUCAAAAUUACUAUAAUUUUUUUUUUUCGAUGCUUUCUCCCAACAUUUUGUAAGAGAAGUCCAAUUAAACUAAACACAUGAUAUAUAUAUCUCAUUUUUAAUCCAACAUAAUCUAAUAUUUAUCAAUAAAAAUAUAUAUUACACUAAAGAAAAUCCUAUAAUUAUUUAAUUUUUAUAUUAUAAUUUUGAGGAUGACUGGCCAGCAAUCAACCCUUUUUAAAGGGGAUAAGAGAUGCAUAUUGAUACGUCCUCUUAGACAUGUGGAUAUGUUUAAUUAAAAUGCUAUAAUUUUUUUAAUCUAAUAAAUAUUAAUUAAUUGUGAUUCCAUGCUUCUUAAGCUUAUGACAUAUCCCUAUUAUAAUUCUGAUAAUAUUAAAAUAGUUGAGAGGACGGAACACCACAAUAUUAUAUAACAUGACCCCAUCUAAGUUGGCCAUUUUAUUUAAGUAUGACAACAACAACUUAAUAGUUCAAUUAUUCACAAAUUCUUAUGACAUUCUACCAUAUUAUCUUUGGUGAUUGUGAUAGAUUUUUCUAAUAUCUUAAACCAUUUAAAUAUUUUAUACAUUUUUGCGUUGCACGAUGAACUUAAUUAUUAAAAAAAUAUCUUCGAGAAGAAGACCCCAAACCUACUAACUAUAUAAUAUAAAUUCACGAUAUCUACGAUAUAAAUUUCUUUUGUUACAAUCUAUUAUUUGUUUUGAUGUGAUUAAUAAGAUAUGGAUCUUUCAUAUAUCUUAACUUGUAUAAUGUAUAACGCAUGAUGAUAUAUAUAAUGUUAAGAAGAGUUGAACUUUAAAUUAGAGAAAAUAUUCACAUGUUUUAGUAGAGUUAACUGAUAUUCAUUGUUAAUUAAGGAGGAUAGGAAUAUAAUAAAAUUGACUGAUGUAUAGAUAAGUUAAUUCGAAAAUCAUGAUUAUAAAAGAAUAAAUAAAUGACAACUAUGGUGUUUGUUAAAAGUAGGAAAAUAGAAAGUGACAAUAGGUCCCAUUGCUGAAUUCCAUCUUGGAUUUUGAGAUAACUAUGUGAUGUUUAUAUGAAUUGUUCAUAUUGGUUGCUAAGAAAACAUGGAGUAUAAUUAUUAAUUAAGCUACCGAUUAAAGUAAAAUGGGGAUUUUUUCCGAUUAUUCUCAGAAAAUGGUUUGUCUCAUACCUUUUUUCCCUUUUAAACUCUCUAAAGAUGCACCUAUAUUAGUUUUUAAAAGGGCUAACUUUCACAUAUAGCAAAAAAAAAAUUCAUAUUUGUAUGCUAUAGCAAAGUUUGCAUAAUUGCGCUCCAUAGCAAACAUAAAACUGUAUAAUUCGCUAUACAUAUACAAUUGUAUAAUUCGCUGGCCUAAAUUGUAUAAUUCGCUGGCCUAUUUCGCUGCAAUUAUAUAAUUUGCUUUGCAUACAGUUGAAUCGAUUUAAAAUGUGUGUAUAUUGCAUAAUUAUAAGUGUAUAGCAAGAAGAUAUAUGUUUUUCUCGCUUUAUACAAAAACAGAAACACAAUAUAUACACUUCUGUUGUAUAAAGCUAGAGAAAAUUGUAUUUCACUGCAAUUGUAUAAUUCGCAAUUGUAUAUUCGUUGGCCUUUUUCUCUGCAAUAUUUGAAGUAAAAUGUUUGUAAAUUGUAUAAUUAAGUGUAUAGCACGAAGAUAUAUAUUUUUGCAUGUGUAUAUACAAUUUUCUCUCGCUUUAUACAAAACAGAAAUAGAAUUAUACACUUCUGUGUAUAAAGCGAGAGAGGCGAGCGAGAUUUCUGAGAGAGAGACGCUGGCAAAUUUUAGAUAACGUAUGCUAUGGAGCACAACUAAAUCAAACCCUAGCUAUUUCAUUUAUUUUAGGUUAUUAGUUUGCUAUUAUAUAAAAUUUCUCAAUAAUAUGAAUUGGAUAUUUAAUUAAUGAUAAUUAGUUAAGUGUAUGUGUUUUUACACGUGUAAAUCAUAUUAAUUAAUAAUAAUUAUAUAUGUAUGAAAUAAACGCAGUUUAUGAUUACUUGCAGUUUUGGAUUUGUUAUUUAUGUUUAGUUAAGAUUUGUUAGUUAGUUAGGCUCAUAGUCCUAAUUUACUUUGGUCGUUGUUAGUAUUAUGACUUAUGAGUUUCUAAUUCUAGUUUACUAUGGUUGUUAGUAUUAUAAAUAAAAGUAACUUAUUACAUACACUCGAUGUGUAGAGAGAUACACUCGAUGUACAAAAAUACAAGAGUUAUUGAGGUUAUUUAAUAACUCUUCUACCUCCUAUUUGUUGAUUAAUAGAUUUCUUCUAUAUAGAGGGUGUUUGGUACGAAGGAAAAUGAUUUUCUACAAAAUAUUUUUCUAAACCUGAAAAAUAAGUAGAUUUUGGACUUAUUUUUUCAUGUUUGGUUGUUGAGUAGAAAAUAUUUUUUUGAAAAUGAUUUUUAGUGUUUGAUUUAUAAAUGAAAAAUGUUUUAAUAAACAUAUUUUAUUUUUACUAGAGUAGAAAAUAAUUUCUGAAAUUUAACAUAUUUUUUAAAAACAAAAUUAUUUUUUUGGGGGGUGGGGGUGGGGGCAGGGGGAGAGGGGAGGGGGAGGAGUGGAAAAAAAAUUGAACUUGAUAAUAAUUUUUAAAAAAAAAUUGGGGAGGGGGGUAGGAGUUUAAAAAUAAAAAUUCAAAGUUGAAAAUAUUUUUAAAAAGCAAAAUUAUUCUUUUGGGGAAAGGGGGGGGGGGCUGGCCGAUGGUGGGUGGGUGGGUGAAGGGUUAGGGACCGGGUGAAAAAAUAAAAUUUUGAAAUUGAAAAUAUCUUUUAAAAAUUGAUAUUUUUUUUCAAAAAAAAUGUAAUUUGAAAUUAGAGGAGAGUUUUGGAAAAUGUUUUCCAUAAUUUUUUAAGGAAAAUCAUUUUCCUUAAUUUUGAGAAUAAUGAAUUGAUUUUAAAAAAAAUUUCAAAUUUUUUGUCCCAACCAAAUAUUAAAAAAUUGAAAAAUAUUUUCCAGAACACACUCAAAAAAUCAUUUUUUGGGGUUUUCACUCGUGCAUAUAUUACUGCCAUGAGUAAUUUAUUUCUUUCAUAUUGGCUUGUGUGUCUUGAUAAAAACUUCGUGUGAGAUCUGACAUUUACAAAAGAAUAUGAGUUAGAGGUGGCUCAAUGCCUUUAAAGAUGAGGCAUACAUUUUAAUCUCUAAAAUUGAAGGGGUAAUUUUUUAGUUGUAAUAAAUUUAUUUUAAGUUUUUUUUAACAAAAUAAAUAAAUAAAUAAUGUUUUAAUUUGUUUUGAAACAUUAAAGAGUGUUUCUUUUUCAUGGAUCAAGUUUUAAAUUUAACUUUCACAUGGUAUAUUUAAAAUCACAAGAUUAUAUAUAUAUAUAUUCAGUUUAACAUUAUAAAAAAAUAAUAUUUUUAUUAAAAAGGAAAAAAUAACCUGAACAUCAUAUAUCUGCUAUAUGAGUAUUUCAUAUUUACCUAAAUGCCCUAUUAUUUCUUUUUGUGUUUGAUGGCAAAAAUAAUUUUGGAGUUGAUAUUACAUAUGAAUAUUUUUUUCAAAAUUGUUCAAUGGUCCAUUAUUAAUAUUGGAUUAGUUGAAAUGGAAUUAUAAGACAUAAUUAUAUUUACGUGGUGUUAUGGAUGUGAAGAGAGAAACUUCAACAACUUUGGAAAUAAUUUGAAUUCGCUCAUAUGAAACCAAUAUAAUUAAUUAAAUAUUUAGAUUCAAAGAUGUCGAUAGUCUAAAAAUUUAGAUCCAAAGAUAUUGUCGCUGGUUUAAGAAUAGAUUAGUAUUAGAAGAAAGUAUUAGAGAUUCAAAGAUAUUGUUGAUGGUCUAAGAAUGAAUAAAAUAGUAUUAAAAGAAAGUAUUAGGAUAAGUUAAAUUUAACUUCUCUCAAGUUAAAGAGUUAAAGAUUUUCAGACCAAAAAGAAUAGACGUUGAGUCUAUGGCAAAUCUGAAUAUUUUAAAGCUUGGUGAUCUAAAUGGUAAAUUUACCAAUCUCUUAUAUCUAAAAUUAUUUCAAAACGAAAAUAACAAUAAUAAUAUAUCUAGUGAAAUUUCACAAAGUUAAAACUGAGCCAAAGUAAAAAAAUGAGUAAAGUAGAGUAUACAUAAAUUUUAUUACUCCCUCAUGAAUAUAGAAGUUGUUUACGGGAAACCCUUGAUUUAAGUGUACCAAACUAAAGUGUAAAAUUUACCAGAGAAAAACAACGACAACAACAAAAUAAAUGGGAAAACAUAAAGCAAUAACAACACAAGACCACUCACGGCCCUAAACCUCACAAGGAUAAGAUAACACUCUACGACACCUACUAAUCUUGUACAUAAUACACAAUUAAUCACCUCUUCUUUAUACUUUUUCGGUCUUCAAAAUCUUGUAUUGUGCACUUGACCAAAUAAAUCAAGUUAUUUAUAGAAGGAUAAGUAUAUUACCUGUGUGAAGCUCUAUUUAUUUUUUGACACAUGAAUAAGUGGGUCAUUUAUGUACUGCAAAAACUUUUUACAUUUAACAAGAAAGAGAAUAUACUUACACAUAAAUUGAGUUGAAAAAAUAUAAAAAAUGCAAGAAAAAUUAUGUGUAUUUGCUACUUUUUUUUAAUCAUUAUUAAUAUUAUAUUAGUUUGUGGAAUUAUAGUCUUAUAAAGGAUAUAUUGUUGUUAUUGUAGUUGUAUAUUAGUUUCACAAAUUUAUUUUGAUAUCAUAUUAUUCUGUGUAUUCAUGUUGUGUUUUUUUUUAAAAAAAAACUUUUAUAAUUUUUGUGAUUUUUAAAUGUAGUCACUUUAAUUUAGUUGUUAUAAUUUGAAAUGUCCAUUGUUACCUUAUUUUUAAAUUAGAACUUCUAAAGGAAAAUAAAAAAAAGUUAAUUAUAUUAUUAUUAUUAUUAUGGGGGUGAUUGUUUAAAAUAAAAUAUCGCUACUCAAAGAAAUAGUUUUUGAAAAGUUUAAACUUCGUUUAAGUUAGUAAUUUUAAUGAAUAGUCUAUACAUAUUAAUUAUGUUGGUACUUGCAAAUUUAGAACUUAAAACAUCAGGUGGAUGAUAAUUAAUAGGCAGAAAGUACAGAAAGUGGUAUCAUAAUUCUUGGUGACUUAUAUAACUAAACGUAUUCUAUUCAUCUCCUAAUUACCUUACCAAUUUUCAAAAUGAUUAUUCAUAUUCUUGACAAUUUUUUUGUGGAAGAAAUUCUACACACACACACAUAUAUAUGUGGUGUUUUCUCCUUGAGUUGAAUAAAAAAAAGGAUGCUGAGAAUUAUAUUGUGUUUAUAUUAGAGGUUAGCAAGUAUAGUGAUGAAGAUUAAAGCGAGAUAAGAAAGAAAUUAUAUAUCGAAUGAAAGUGUUGUUUUGAUGGAGCUUUAAAUUUUCGACUAAUCUAAAGUUAUUUGAGUUAUGCAUAUACACUAUUAUAUUCUUAAGUGGAUAAGUCAAAAUAAUAUUACUGUCUACUCGAUUGAUAAAUAUUAUAUUAUAAUAAAUUUAAAUAUUUUUUUAAAAAAAUUGUUUCAAUCCAAAUACUUAUUUUAUUUUUUUAAUAAUAACUUUCUAAAAUUUAUAACUCAUUCAUCUAAUACAUUACAUUUAUUAAAUAAAUAUAUCAUUUAAAUUAAAAUUAUUAAAUUUUAACAAAUUCGUAACUGACUCAAUUGCAUUUGACAUUAUCAAACUCAAGAAAAUGGUAGAAUUCUAGAGAAGUCUAGCGGACCCAGUCCGUCUUACGCCCCAAUAAAGACAUAUCUCUAUACUUCUUUGACAACUGACAACACUCACGCUUUCACCAUACUUUUUGGGUCCAAAUUAAUUAAUAUUGUUUAAAAUUAAUAUAAAGAUAUUAUGAUAAUAAAUAUACAUUUUUUUAUAAUAUUUGUAACUUGCAUUAUUUUAUAUUUUUUAAAAUAUAUAAUUUCUGAAAAAUUUAAAAUAUUAAGUUGAGUUAGGACAGAGGAAGUAAAAUACAAGUUUUAUGCAUUUAUUUGAUUUGACAAAACAUGUGACGUAAGUAUUUUCACUAUCGUUGUAUUAUAGUGAUGAAUACUUGGUCUUCUGCUUGUUCAUCCACGAAGACCUCUUCUUCUUUUUUUUUUUGGGGAUUUAAAAGAAAUGGAUUAAUUAAUUUCCUAUUUUAUAUAUUAUUUUUAGUACAAAAUGUACUUUUAAUUUGAGUGCUACAUAUAGUAGUGACGUACACUUGAGAAAAGAAACGGGUAGAUGAUGAUAAUAAGAACGAGCGCCGCGCUAAGACAGGAAGAAUAUGUCAUGUUAAAGAGUGAAGAAUAAUUUUCGUUUUAUGUAAAUUACGUUUUGAGGUAAUGCUGAAUUUUUUUUUAAAAAAAAUUACUGAUUUAGAUUAUAAUAUGGUUAUAUUAUUUAUACAAUUAAAUUUGAAGAAAAAUUAUCCAAUCAACAUUUUAAAUAUUUUACUUUUUGAUACAUUUGUCAUUUCAGAUAAGUUUUACACAUAAACUAAUCGAUUUACUUGCUAUUACAAAUUUAGAAUUUAUCAAGUUUGAGGCAGAAUAACGUAACUAAUUUAAUUUGAAGGGAAGAAUAUGCUAUUCUCUCUGAGAUUAAUACUAUUUUAAGGUAUUAGAUUCAAUUUUGUUAAUGGUAAAUUAAAUAAUCUCAUUUCUUGAUUAAAAAAAUGAAUUUGAUUUUUAUCUCAAUUACAUGAUGACUAACAUGUAAGACUCUCUCUCGUUUGAGACGUAAGAUAAUCAAUUAGGUUUCUAUUUUUUUUUUCAAUUAGAAGCCAAACAUGUCACUAUUAGAAUAUAUUUAGUUAUGUAAUUUCUUAAUUAAGGUAAAAUAAGAUGAUAACGUUGAGUGGAAUAAUUAGAAAUAUUAACACCUGUAAUUCUCUAGAAAUAUAUAUAUAUUUCUUAAUCAUGUUUAUUCAAUAUUACCUCUCCUGUUCAGUUUAGUCGUAAGUUGUAAUGGUACAUGUUACUCUUAAAAAAUAAUUAAUUUUGUUAAAUUCUUAAAUUAUGUUAUGCAUUUUUUAGUUUCAAUUUAAUGCUACUAAUUAUUUUCAUCAUAUUAAUCUUUUUAAAUAUUUAUUUGGUAAGGGUAAGGUCAAAACUAAUAUACAAUUAAUUAUUACUUUUUAUUUAAAUUGUUAUUUUAGGUCUUUCAUGUUUAUUAAAAAAAAAUUACUAUAGAAAAAAGGUGUAAUUUACCAAGUUAUUCAUAUUCUUACUAAUUUUACCUUUAUAGAUACUUUCUUUGUUUCAAAUUUAAUGACAAUGUUUGACUUGAUAAUUAUUUUAUAAAAAAAUAAAAGGCUUUUAAAAUUUAUAAUUUAAAAAUAGCUUUAGAUAUUUAUUUGAUUCUAAAGUGAAAUUUGAUAAUUUUUGGGACAAAUUAAAAUGAAAUAUGCGACUGUAUAAGUUAGGAUCAAGGCAAAAGUACAGAUUAAAAUAUAGUUCCUAGGUUACACGAAAACUUAACUAAAUAGCAAUACAUUCAAAAGAAAACAAUUAUUUAUAUGAUUCUUUUAUUAUGUAAAAUAUCGCUUAUUUAAAUCAAAAUAAAAUAGUAAAAAUGUCACUUUUAAUCUAAAAAAUCGAAUAAGAGGAAUCGAAUACUUCUAUAAUAUAAAGAAUAUAAUUUGAAAAUAAUUCUCAAUGAUACUCCUGAAUCCUUAAACUAACUAUUUUGGAAUAAAAUGAUAAUGAAAAUAACACAUGAGUAUGUCACAAUUUUUUUAUAUCAAUAAGCAUGACGAUUAAGAUGGAUCGAAAGAAUACUCUUCUCAUUUUAAGAAAAUGAUAUUUAAUUUAAAAAUUAAAAAUAAUUUUUUUUGAUACCGCAUCUUUCAACAUAUUUUUAGAAAAUAAUUAUGAAAUGUAUGCCUAACUACAUUUCUAAUAUCUAUUAUCUUAGAUUAUAUAAUAUGUUUCACAAGACUCUGUCAGCUGAGGUGACCAAAAACGUUCACCCAAAUAGGACAUAUUAGACAUUUAAUUUAAUCUCGGCCCUUAAAUCAAACAAAUAAAGUAAAUCCAAUGGAUAAAAGUCAAUAUUGUAGAUUAUUCUUUUUGAAAAAUUUAUGUUACACGUUCUUACAUUGGCCCAUCUAAAUUGAACUUCAUACGCGUUCCUUGCGUGUGAUAGUACGUGUUUACUUGAAAAUUUAAAUCAAAAUAUUUAUUUACGUCCUAAUUAAUGAUACUUAGCCCUCAAUUUGGAUAUAUUCCCUCUGUUUCUGUUUAUUUGUUCAUAUUUCUUCUUUUAAAUGUCCUUAUUUACUUGUCCAUUUUGAUAAAUUAAGAAAGGACAAUUUUUUUUUCUAUUAUACACUUAUUUAAAUUUCUUGAAAAUUUCAUAGUUUUAAUUCAUCAUCCUUAUUGAAACCAUAUUGAAUAAGGGUAAGAUUGUAACUUUCCUAUGUUAAUUAUUGUUAUCUUAAUAUGUAUGACUUUUAUAAAGUGGACAACUAAAUAGGAACAGAGGGAGUAAAUAAUUUUGAGAUUCUAAAGUUGUUUCUGGAUAUGCAUGUUAUUUGAAAAAAAAAAAAUUCGUGAGUAAAAAAUUUCUAAUAUUCAAAAAUUUGUCUCAAUCAAUUUUUAAAAAUUUGAAAAUAUUUAAAAUUUUAACUAUAUUUUAUAAUUAAAUAGAUGUUGAAAGAUGAAUUUUCCAAUAUUUUAUUUAAAGUUUAUAAGUUAUAAUCAGCCACUAAUUUAAAGAAUAUUUAUUUAAGUUUAUAAAUCAAUCAAGUUUGGAUUAUAAAUAUUUUUAAAAAAUUUAUCUAUGCGUAUGAAAAGUACCAUAAAUGCUUAUUAACCAAAUCAGCUCAACUGGUGCAUUUCAACUUUCGAGAACUUUUAAUUUAUUAUUUAUCUUUUUUUUUAAUUUGAUAUAUCCAUCGUAUCUCAUUUUUUCUUUUUUAACAAAGAUAUAAUUUUUUUUUUAUGUAAAAUUACAAAAGCUUUAGCAAAAAUAAUUCAUUGAAUUUCCAUUUAAGUUGGUGGGUACCUUUUUGAGAAUUUACAAUUUUUACAAUUAUUGAAAUUUCUCUUUCAUCCUUUUUUUUUUUUUUAUAUAUAAAAAAAUAAAAUAAAAUUCCAACAAACCCAUAUACGCGGUGGAAAUUGAGCAGAAUAUAAGGGCGUUUUCCUGCUGUUAGGGUUCCCAAAAAAAUCCUCUCUCUUUGCCUUUGUAGACUUUGUCUUCUUUCUUCAUAAUUCAUUGAUUUUUUCUUAAUCAAUCUUUUCGUUUGCAUUUGAUUGUUGAUAAUUUGGAGAUUUUAAAAGCCAAUUUAAGUUUUUCAUUGCUUUUCUGGGUUUGAUCUCAAUUUCGCGUUUUGAGAUUUCAAAUUUUCAAUUUUGGUUUUUUUUUUGAGUGUUUCAUGUGAAAAAAAGAGUAAUCUAGAAAUGCCAGUUACAGAUUAUCAAGGAGCAUCUGCAUCUUUCACAAAUUUUGGGAGAUCUCUUUUGAGUAUGCGUCGAGAUCAGGUGCAUUCCAUGGAAGCUGCUCAUGAGGCGACUAGUCAAGAGAUUGAACUCGAAGCUUUCCAGAAGCAAGUGGCUGAGCGUUUUAAUGAAUUAUCUUCUGUUGAUUCUGAUCAAUUGCUUUCGGUUCCCUGGAUCCGUAAGCUGUUGGAUGUGUUCCUCUGUUGCCAGGAGCAAUUCAGGUCUAUUUUGUUCAACAACACUGCUAAUUUGAACAAACCUCCUAUGGACAGAUACGUCACUGAAUAUUUCGAUAGGAGUGUGAAGGGAUUGGAUGUUUGUAACGCGAUAAGGGAUGGAAUUGAGCAGAUAAAGCAGUGGCAGAAGCAGUUGGAGAUUGUUCUGUGUGCAUUGGAAAAUCAGAGGUGUGUUGGUGAAGGUCAAUUUCGUCGUGCUAAGAAGGCUUUGAUUGAUUUUGCAAUUGGUAUGCUUGAUGAGAAGGAGUCUAAUACAUCUGUGGCUCAUAGAAACAGGUCAUUUGGCCGAAACAAUACUCAGAAUGAUCAUAAAUCUUUAGGCCAUUUUAGAUCAUUGUCAUGGAGUGUUUCUAGAAAUUGGUCUGCUGCUAGGCAGCUUCAAGCAAUUGGUAACAACUUAGUUGCUCCAAAAAAUAACGAAAUUGCUGCUACCAAUGGAUUAGCGUUGGCUGUUUUCACAAUGAGUUAUGUGUUAUACUUUGUAAUGUGGGCACUUGUGGCAGCAAUACCAUGCCAGGACCGUGGGUUGCAGACCCAUUUUUAUGUGACUAGGCAAUUCGUUUGGGCCGUCCCAAUCCUAUCACUCCAUGAAAGGAUUUUGGAGGAAUCGAAGAAGAGGGAUCGUAGAAAUGCUUGUGGAUUGUUGAAGGAGAUUCAUGAGAUGGAGAAAUGCGCUCAUCAUAUGAAUGAAUUGAUCGAUACGGUUCAUUUUCCAAUCACAGAGGAAAAAGAUGGAGAAGUGAAGCUAAGAGUUCAUGAACUUGGGCUUGUUUAUGAUGGUUUAAAGAAUGGAUUAGACCCUUUAGAGCGCCAGGUUAGGGAAGUAUUCCAUCGAAUUGUUCGGAGCAGGACUGAAGGCCUCGACUCAAUCGGACGAGGGAAUCAUGAGUGAAACAAUUGUUGGGAACCCAUCAAUUUAGAAUAUGAUAUAUAGAUUUUCCCUUUUCAGUUCUUUUCUUUUUUGGACCUUUUUUAGAUGAGGGAGAAUGGUUAAUGGUGCCAGAAAAAUAAGUAGUUUAAAGAGGUGAAAAUAAUGUAUUCUCACUUCAUAUUUGUAAAGAAAUUUAGGGAAAAAAUGGAUCUUUGAUUCAUUUUUGGUGAUAAUCAUCUUGUUUGGGAUUGUAUAAUCACUUAUGACUUAAGUUUGCUUUUCUAACUCUUUAGCUGGGUUUCCUUUUUCAGUUUCUUUUAGUUGUUGUUGCUUGCAAUCUUGGUGUAAGAGACUCUGUAUGCUUCACUUACGAGAUUACAUUGUUUGUCGUUAUUGAAUUAGAAUUUAAUUAUUAUGAAGCUUAGAAAAUGAGUUUUACAGUAUAAAGGAAUGUCAUUGACUGUUCAGUUAACAUUGUAGUGAUUUUCUGUCUCUGUUCAUCACUUGACCAUUCAGCCUCUGGAAUGGUCAUUUUUAUAUUGAGAUUCAUUUUAUCCCAAAAAACAUUGAUACUUUUGGAGUUGGCUUUGUUGGUCCUUUUUUGUUCUGACAUUAGAGCUGGCUUGCUGUUUUCUACAUUUUCUCAAGUAUCUUCCAUGAAAAAUUUUAAACAAUUCUUCAGCAUGUGAUUUUGGUCAAAAUUCUGGUUUCUUGUUGACUUGGACAUUGUUUUUAUUUAUGGAACCCACGUUUGUUAAUUCUCCUAUGUGAAUAAAUGAGUCAGGUAAGACUAGCAUGACUUUCUUUUCUUAUUCUUUUUUUUUUUUGUCAAAUGAACCCCGGUAGGGAAUGCUUUAGCUCAAUGCGAGAGUUUUUUAUUUGAAUUUAAACGAGCAAUUUUUUCAUAUAGUAAAUACUAAUAAAUAUAAUUAUAUAUAAUUCGUUAUACAUAUAUAAAAAAAUCAAUUGUAUAAUUUGUUAUAUAUAUACGAAAGAAAGCAAUUGUAUACAAAUCAAUUGUAUAAUUUGUAUAUGUAUUAAACGAGAAAUAGAGAAAGACAAAAAAAUAUUGAGCAGGAGAAUAUUUGUAUUGUAUAAUUAUAAAUGUAUAGGACGAACAUAUAUGUAUUUGGAAAUGUAUAUACUAUUUUCUCUCGCUUUAUACAAACAGAAACACAAUUUAUACAUUUUGUUUCUAUUUGUAUAAGCUAUGGAAGCGAACAAGAUCUGAGAGAGUGGCGAGAGAGAUCUGGGAGAGGGGAACGAAAAAAUAUAUGUAUAUAUAUAUUUUUUUUCUCGCUUUAUACAAACAGAAACACAUUUUAUACACUUGUGUUUGUAUAAAAGUGAGAGGGAGCAAGCGAGAGAGGGAGAGUGGCGAGCGAGAGUUUGAGGGAGAGAGGUGAUUGACAAACAAUUUGCUAUAGGUCACAACUAAAUCAAAGUGUGGUUAUAACAUUUAAUUUGAUUUAUUAGUUUAUCAUUAUAUAAAAAUUUUCCAAUUUAAAUUUAGUUGGAUUUCAAUAUAGAUUUUAAACAUCAGAUGGAAAACCAAAAGAAAAUGUAUUGGGACAAUUUCCGAAGUUAUAUACAUUGACAAGGUAAAGAAUUUACACUAUCAAUGCAGUCAAAUUCAGGCAUUUCAGUUCUUGGUCGUUCAACAACCUUUAGGCCGUUUGGCCAUAGAUUUAUCAAAUAAUAUUUGGGAAAAAAUUUGGCAAAUAAUGUUUGUUCAUCCAAUUUGUCAUUAUUUUGACAAAUAUCCCAAAUUUUCAAAUACUAGUUUUUUUUAGUAUUUGGGUCAAAUCUCGGAUCUUUUAAAAAUUAAAAUUUUAUCCCAAACUUUUAUCUUUUACAAAAACAUUCUCUAUAGUAGUUGUUUGCGUUGUAUUACAUAAUUUUUUACGUGAACACCAAAAUGGGUGAUGAAAUAUAUAGUGAAUAUUAAAUAAUGAUAUGAUUGUUGAUGAAAAUGAUGAAAAAUUAGCUCAAGCUAACAAAAUCAUGUGUUUCGUCUACUUCACGAUGUAUGUAAUGAUGUUUGUUGCACUCACUCCAAAUUACCACAUUGCUCUAGUGUCAUGAACACUAUUUGUUAUUGUUGUAACAAACAUUCAAUUGACUUGUAAUACAAACUUAUAGUUAGUUUUGAUAGUUUUUAAAACUUACGAGUAUAAAUCAUAUUUUUUAAAAAAAGAUGAAAUAUAUUUUCCAAAUCUUAUGGCCAAACACAUAGUGAAAUUUCACCUAAAUUUUUAGUUAAAUAAUAUUUGUAAAAAAUAUUCAAAAAUUUAUGACCAAACGCUAACUUAAUAUGGAGUUAUUAGUUUCUAAGAUUCAAAAAUUGUGAUGUUAAGUCUAUAUAUUUAUGUGUUAUAUACUACUUUCUAAUAUAAAAAUAGUGUAAUUUGGGUCAAGGACAAUGGGGGCUUCAAAUAGGUUAUUAUUCUAUUGUCAAGAUAACAAUAUCAGACUUGAUAUACAAACUUACUUGUUCUAGUAAAUCACCUUUUAAUUAUAAAACAAACUGUAUACAUUACCGUAAAAUGUUUAUGUCUGCGUUAAGUGUACACAUAUCUUACUUCUAUUUCUGAGGUAGAAAGAAAUUUUUUUUUAAUUGAUUCUCAGCUCAAGAUAUAAUAUUCUUGAAAAGAGGAAGUAUGGAAGUAUAAAAAACAACAAAUAAUAACAAAAAAAAAAACAGCUAGUAAUAGAACAAAAACUUCAACAACAUGAUAUGAUAAUUGAGGUACAAGUAACAAAGUGUGAAGAACAAGAAACUACAUGAGCAAUAUUGACUACUAUAUAAACGAUCUUUUUUUAGUAACCUUUUGUUCUAAUUCGUAUUCUCCACACCUUCCUACACUAUAAUGUAUAAAACUGAAACUUUUUCCAACAAAUCUUGUUAGUUUGUUAAUAUGAUCCAAACACCAGAAACAAACAAAAGGGGCAUCUUAAAAAAAAAACUUAAUCAAUCUCACAUGUUUGAUUAAUUUGUCAAAGCAUUGAGAACAUGGUAAAAAAAAUUGAACUCAACCCCUCCUACCCCCUACCCCACACCCUAAACCCCUUCUAGAUUUUGAUAUUUUUAUGGCCAGCUAAUUGCUCAUUUUGAGAACUGGAUCAUAGCUGGCAUGUUUGUUAACAUCAUCAAUAAGUUCAAAAAUCAAGAUUUGACAUUAUGCAAUAUAGUAGUAGCUACUACCAAUUGGAUAAUGAGAGGCCACUAAGUGGUAAGAGAUAUUUGAGGCAUUCUUUGAAUGAAUCUACAAGUCUUUUGAAGGGUGUGCUUUAAUUGCCAUAUAUAAUAAAUAUAUGUUGCAUAUUAGCUGGCUGAAUAUAUAUAAUAUUAUGGCAGGCAACAAAGAAAGUGGACCUCAACAUUUUUUCCAAUAUCUAGGACAAGUUCUAUAUUAAUGGCUUCUAUCUAUAGGACAAAAAUGAAGUAACUGCCAAAUUAUUGCUUUUUGACAUUAUUAAAGUUUUAACCAUAUUGACCUCAAUGCCAGAUUAUGUUUCUCUUUUUUCAAUCGAUAUUUCAGAAGCAGUCUCUUUAAAUCACUAGUAGGAAUAAGAUUUAUGCAUGUUCUAUCUUUUUCAGAUUUAAUUUUGUAAAAUUAUACUAAAUAUAUUAUUGUUAUUUGAUGUUUAUUGUUUUAUAACGCUUAUUUGAAUGAUUUUUCAUUCUCUUUUAUUUUCUUAAUUUAAUAAAGAAUGAGUGGAAUACAAAAGUUAGUAUGUGUAUAAGAAAAUAAUUGGAAACCUAACCUUGCACGAAAUACCAACGAACUAGUGCAUGCAUCCUAGCUCAUUGUGGGAUUAAUUGAUAACAUAUGUAUGUGGUAGUCAUCAUUAAAACAUUUUGUGAGAAUUUGUUGGUAUAUUUUAAAAAACAUUAAGAGUAUUUUUUUUAAUGUUUUGCUUUAGAUAUUUGUUUUUCAAAACUCACUGACUCGACUAUUCUGAUAAACCAAUUAAGAAAGUACUUUUUUUUGUCAUUUUUCAAAACUCAAAUCUCUAUCAAACUAAGUUUAAGCUAAUCGAGAAAGAGAGUGAGGCUUCCAGCCAUAUUCGAAAAGUUGAGUAAAAGUUGUAUGUUUGCCAAGGCAAUAUUAGAUAAGAUCCUACGAGUCCUCUUAAUUUUCAAAAAAUGAAAAAAUUUCAACUAUUUUAUCUGAACGGUGAAUAAUUUUUAUUUAUUGAAUUAUAUAAUUAGAUAGAAACAUUAUAGAAAAUAACUACUAACGAAGCAGCCAAAUAAUUAGAUGCAUGAAAAUGUCAUGUGGACAUCUCAACUGCUACUUACUAACAAGUUGCAAAAUUUGGAAUAAGAUUGAACCAUGCCAUUGACAUUAUAUUAUAUUAUUAUUUAGCUUCACGUGACAUCAUUGAAUCCUUUAUUAAAUUCCAAAAGGUCUUCAAUUCGUUGGCACAUCCUCUAUAGAAACCCCUAUUAUUUAGAGUAUAAAUUAAUGUUGCCUUUGAUAUUGGCCAAAUUAUUUCUUAUAAAAUUCAACAAGUAGGUAAUAUUUUCUCAUUUUUUGAGGGUUGCCUAAAAGCAUUAAUGUAGCUAUAAGUUUUUUAGAAAAAUUCUAUUUUAGUAAUUAUUUAAUGUUUUUUUACAAUUUUUUUUUUGGAGUUGAGUAUAGAUUAUAUAUAUAGAAGAAGUUUUUUUUUUUUAAUUUUUUAAUUUUAUGGUUUGACUUUGCACCUAAUUGGUAGAAUGUAAAGAUUGUAACAGCACGAUUCAUCUUUAUUAUUUAGCGAGGACAGCUAAUUCGAUAACCAUUUCAUUAAUUACCAUUAAAAUUGUACAUAAGUUUCUUAUCCAUUAACUUCCUUUUUAAAGCAAAGAGGCUAUCUGAAUAUUUUCCUCUUUUAAUAAGAAAUAAUUUGUGUCAUUAUUAUUUGAAUGGAUAUUCACGGCAAUAAAAAUAAUUUUUCGCGGUAUUAAAUAUUAUCAAUAAUAAAGAGUGUUAAAAUUUUAACAACAUUAGUUAAGUGAUAUUAAAAUCAACGCCGCUAAAGAUUCCAGGGACAUAUAUAAAGAAUGUUAAUUGUCGCUAAAAAUACAUAUUUAGCGGUAAUUAAAAAUUAAUUGACGCUAAUGAUAUUUUUUAUGUAGUGAUUUUCUGUUUGAACCAUUAAUAUUGAAGUGUUUUUGUAAUUAUUAUUUUAGUGAACUUCACAUAUACUAAGUACUAUUAAAACAUGUUAGUAUAAUAUAUUAUUUUAAAAUUCUUUUUGGAUACACCGGAUGUGAUGGAAAACAAAAACAAUUCUAAUCAGGAUUAACUGGGAUAAAUUAUAGAGUUACCCCAAAUAUUAUUUUUAUUAAUUGCUUGGUUUGUUACGUUUGUUUUAAAAUGAAUAUGGUGUAUCAAAAUAGGAUUAACACGCCAUUUUGUCAAUAUUAUUUGUAUAAAAAUAAUAAUCAAUAAUAUGGGCAAUGAUAUGAUAAUUCACUCAAAUGAGAUAAGAUUAAUAGAAGUAUAUAUAUACCAAACUUAUAAUAAAUUUGAAUUGUCAUUUUCUAUACCUACCAAAAGUAUAUGAGAGGCCAAAAUGAGAAAAGGUCCCUCCUCUUCCAGUAUGUAACCAGUUUUUAUUAUGCUUUAAUUACCAAAAGUUGGUUUUCUCUCUCUUUUUAAUUAGUACUAUAUAUAUAAAAUAUAAAUAAUAAAUGAUGACAGUUUUUUUCUAUUAUAGAAAAUAUUCUUGUAUAAAUACUUUAUUAUUAUUCACAAUUCCAAAAUCACAAUCUUUUCACUUUGUUCACUCAUUAUUUAUUAUAGUGAUAAUAAAAACACAAGAUAGAUCAAUGAAUUGAGUGUGUGUUGAUUUUUGAAAAUAAAUUAUUGUGGAAUGAAUUGAUUAUUUUUUAACUUUAAGUUGAUUGAAACUAAUCCUUGGAAUUAUUCUAUUUUAUACACACAAUUUAAACAUAGAACAAGUGAGUGAUCACAAUUCAGAAUUAAUAACAUAAUUAAAAAUUUAAUAGCGAAGCAAGAAAUAGAUAAAUAUUUUAAAUUUUUAAAAGCUUAAUCGAACAGACUUUGUUGUUAAUCUACAUCCAUAUUGAUGGAACAAGAGCAUAUUAAGACUCAGUUAAAUCCACCACAAACACAUCACAUGGAUUUGGAAACCAAAUGUCCAAGUCUGAGCCAACUUAUAAUGGAUCAUAACUGACUCUAUAGUCUUAUCAUUGAUUUUUUAUGUAACUUUUUAAGUUGGAGACCUAUCACUUCGUUCUUCAAUUUAUUGUAUCCACAAGUUUUAUUAAAAAGUUGGUGUUUGAAAAUGUAUGAAACAUUAUAUUACAUGUCCAAUUUAGGAUAAAUGUGCAAGGCCAAGAGCAUUAUUAGUGUGUCUUUAUAAGAGAUUAGGCAUCAUAUUAUGCCUUUACCAUUUAUCGACAUAAUGUCAAACUCAUCUCCCCACUCCCACCCACCCACUCACUCUUAAAAGCAUUGAAAUCAUAUGACUAUGAAAUCUAAAAUUAAUCACUCCAACCACCAAGAGUACAAUCAGCUAGAAAUUUUACGAAUGGUGUUCAUAAAAAAGGGAAAAAACUUUUGCUUGUGAAAUUUAAACACGACUCAUUCUAGGCAUCUGGAACACAUCAAAGGGUUCUAAAACUAAUGGGCUACUGCAAUCUAUUAUGUUAAGAGUAUCUAGAAUAUAUUAUUUAAUCGCUUUCAUCUUUAUUGUCCAAGCGCUCCUAUUUCUGUUGAAAAUAUAAUCAAAUUUUGGACUCCUGAUCCAUGGGCCUUGGUGUGAAGGGAGUGUUAGAGUGGGUAAAAGUUUCUCAUUGGUUGAGGGAUGGACUGGUGGUCUCGUUAUAUGGACUUGAGCAAGCCUCCCCUCAUGAGCUAGCUUUUGGGAUUGAGUUACCGUCAGUUGUGAUAUCUUCACGCAAUUUCUCUAGUUGGAAACAAGAAAAUAGAUUUUAUAUAAUAUAUAGAUUCACAUAAAAUUCUGGAUUCAACACUUGUUAGUACAACAAAAGUAGAAUAAUAUUAUUGGAAGAUAUUAAUGGGCUAGGACCUAUUCAUAUUUGAUGGACCUUUUUAAGUUACUGACUAGUGUCAGUAGACCUAUAGUAUAAAUAAUUUGAAAAAGUGUGCGUUGUAAAACAUUGAUAGAAGAAGAAUUUAGAAUCAACCUAAUGCAAUACUAAACUUAAAAAGUGUUACAUUGUGGAGUACAAAUGAAGUCCAAUGGAAGGCAAUGUGCACAUAUUUAACAAGGCCUUUUCCUUUUUUGCUUGCCUAUCCCACAAGACACGCCAUACAAACCCCACUCAUGAAAUUACACCGAUAAUGUUAUUAUUGUAGUCAAACUUUGACAAAACUUCGAAAACAAACUUUCAUGUAUAACAAGUUAUAAUCCUUGAAUCAAAGUAUAAUUUGUAAUGAAGCAAAGUAUAUGUUCUUUUACUCUCAUGUUUAUGUUAGGCAUAUGCAUUUGCAUUGUUCUGGACUUGAAAAAAAACAAACUUUAUUUCAUCUAGCAUAAUCAAAGUUCUUGUAGCGAAAAACCGCGAAAAAUGGAAAUGGAAAUGGGUCUCAAACUAACAAGAGUUGCUAAUGAAUCCUCUUCUACUGAAUUUCAAUUUGCAAAAGACAGAGCUGGCCCUCUUUUCCAGUCUACAGAAACAGACACAAUGUUCAUCCUUACUGUCCAUUUGAAAGGUAAAAUUUUUCUCUUCAUCAUCAUACACACAGUAAUUUUUUUCAUUUUCAUGUUCAUUUGUACUUACUUCUAAUAUGUAUAAACUCUGUAUAUAGGUUAUAUACAAGAAAAUAUUAAGGUUGAUAUUAAUGAAGAAGGGACUAUUAUUGCGAUAAGGGGUGAAAAAUCGGUUCAAGAAACGGUGAUGGUAGGGUGGAAAUUGAUCAAAAAAGAUGUAGAAGUUAGAAAAUUUAGUAAGGCUUUCAAGAUUCCAGAUGGGGUUAUCUUGGAUGAAAUUAAGGCUAGAUUUGAUGAUGAAAUAUCCAUAUUGACAAUUAAAAUGCCAAAGAAAGUAAAAGGGAUUCUUGGAAUUGAAUUUGUUGAAGUGAAGGAACAUGAGGAAUUGCCAAUUGUAGCUAACAAAAUUUCUAAAAAAGUCACAUUUAAAGAAGAUAUGGAUAAGCCAAAAGCAGAGGAAAAUCAAGGAAAACCACGUGAAGUAGUCCAAAAACAUGUUGUUAAGGAUGAAAUGAUGCCAAAUGAAGACUCAAAACAUGUUGUUAAGGAUGAAAUAAUGCCAAAUGAAGACUCAAAACAUGUUGUUAAGGAUGAAAUGAUGUCAAAUGAAGACUCAAAACAUGUUAUUAAGGAUGAAACAAUGCCAAAUGUAGACUCAAACAUCCAGAACAACGAUACGAUUGAUGAAACAAGAGAGGCUCGAGGGGAUUUUGUAGGUCAUGAUAAACCUGAAUCAUCGAAUUCGAGGGAUGAACAUAAAGAUGAUCAAGCUAGUGUAACAUCAAGGAAAAGGGAAGAUGACAAUGUGCCUAAGAAGAGCUCAAAAAUUUGUGUGCCUAUUGUUGCAGGAUCAGCCUUAAUAUUAUCUCUUUUUGUGUUUGUAAUUCAUCUCAUAAGAACUAAGAAUCAAUCUGUGAAAAGAAAAGGUUAAAAGGCUAACAACAUAGUAUGAAUGUUGUUAUUUUCUAAAACCUUUUUCUUUUACUUCUUUCAUUUGAUCGUAAAAAAAGAGAGUUUGGUGAUUACUAGGUUCAAUUUGUUGUGUUGUGAGUUUGUAAUUGAGCCUAUAAAAGCAUAACAUUGUUAUGGGCACUUUGUAUCACUUUUCUUUAAGGUGCGGUGGUGGUGUGAUUAUGGUUGUUUGGUCGCUAGAUAAGAAAUAAGUUAUUUAUAUGUUAAUUUUCGUAUAACUUCUACGUCGUUUGAUAGGUAGAUAGAAAAUGAGUUAUUUAUAUAUAAAACUAAUAUGUUGUUCGGUUGGUGGUUUGAUUAUGGUUGUUUGGUAGCUAGAUAUGAAAUAAGUUAUUUAUAUGUUAAUUUUCGUAUAACUUCUACGUCGUUUGAUAGGUAGAUAGAAAAUGAGUUAUUCAUAUAUAAAACUAAUAUGAUGUUCGGUUGACAAUUUUAAAACCCGCAUAACUAAUAUAUGUGUAAAUUAUGAGAAAAUCUAUGUGUUAUUUUAUAUGAGAUAGCAGAUGGAAUAACUAAUAUCUGCAUAGAAUAAUAAUACAUAGAUUCACUCAUAACUAAUUGAUUUUUGUAUAACUCAAAUCAGCUACCUAACAACCUUUUCUAGCCUGCCUUGCAAAUUGCAAUUCUAUUUACAUAUCUCCUUAGCUCCCUACAAUGUGCUUAUUAAAUGAAGGUGAACAGAUGCCAUCAUAGCUUUUAGUUUUGGGCUUUAUACAUUAAAACCUGAAUUGUUGGAACAUCUGGUCUUGGGCUUUUAGCUCACUACAAGGAUGCUAGCAACCCUGAAUCUUCAAACAUGUUCUUAUUAGGCCUUACUAAUACCAAUGUUUUAAAGGCGUUCUUUUAAGUGUCGAAGAGUUACACAUCAGAUGAAAAUUAAAAGAGAUGAAUGAGUUAGUUUUUCGAGUUAAAUUAUGUUCAAGAUUAGACUUCGACAAGUGCCUUCUCAUGAGCUAACUUUUAAAAUUAAGUUAGAGACUCAAAAUCUAUUUUUUUUUUUGCACUAUGCGAGUUUUGAGAUGAGCUUCAAGGCUAGGCACAACGGAAACGCACCAAGAGGUAUUAGUACACGAGUCCCAUCCAAAAUGGCAAAUAAUUUGAAUAUAAUUGAUUUUAAUAAUUACGAUAAAUAAUUUAAGACGAAGGAAGGUGCCAAAACUAAACUAAUGUCAAAGUAGGAUCAAAGGAUAGCAACAUUAGAGAUGAUAAUCAGCCCCUUUUAAUGCUACUUAAGAUUCAAAACUACAUCCCAAACAGUGGAAUCUCUCUUUUUUACAUUCCAAACUUUUCUCUUUCUCCUUUUUGCAUUGUCUAAAGCAUCAUUAAGAAAAUUGCAAAGCACACACUUCUUUGAAUUGCUGAAAACCCCACAACCUGCAUUUCCAAAUUUCAAAAUAACAAUUAAAUUAAUUAAUUAAUUAAUUAAACUUGAAAACAUCAAUGAGGAAUAUAAUUAGAACUAAUAAUGAAUCUAAUCAGUACCACCACCAUCAGUCUCCUUUUGUCCCUUUUGUUCUUUUCUUUUUUCAUUCACUUUUUAGGUCAUUUUAAAUUAAAUUCCCCUCUUCCUUUUUCUUCUUUUUUGUCAUCUUUUUCUAUUUUCUUUUUUUGGGUUAGUUCUUGAAAUUUCAGAAAUCCUAAAAAAAAUUAAAAAAUCUUUAAGUUAGAUUAGUUUGAAACUCUUUUUUGUGUGUGGUUUACAUUUUACACUACACCAAAACCUACAUUUAGACCCAUCAACUUAAUUAUCACUAAAUAUAUAUUUUUAAUAACAAUUUAGUACCUACUAAAAUUUAUUAUAAUUUAAAUAAAAGAACAAAAAGAUAAAAAUAGAAAAAUAAAAAAAGAAUAUAGACUAACCAAAAAAAAGGAAAAAAAACAUAAAAAGGAAUCAGUAGUAGUGUUACUUAACAAUAAUCCUUAUAAAUAAAACUUAAAAAAAGUAAUAUAUGAAAAAACAGUAGUUAGCAGUCAACCAGUAGCAAUUACUGGAAUUAUUUCUCUCUUUUUUAAAGAGAAUUAUUUAUACGUUAAUAUGUUAUUUCUAAAAUUUCAUUCUCCGUUCUUCUCCUCUUGAUCGAGUAAUUUCAUUUUUAUUUCUAGCUUCUUCUUUUUUUGGAUAUGCCAAUCUCCGAAGGCUUUUUUUUCUAUAAACAAAAUAUUGAAUUACUGACCGAAGAAAAUCGUUUAAAUGUAUGAGGUAUUUUUUCUUUUAAUAUUUUUUUAAAAAAAAGACUGAAAAAAGUCUAAAAUUUCCCCUUUAAAAAGUAUAUUAUAUGGACCGCAAAAAUCAAAAUAAGCACUUUCGUCCCUAAAAAGAAAAUCCUAAACCAACUUUUACCACUAUUCCGUUUGCUUUCUAAUAACCUUUUUCUUUUUAGACAUUAUCACUCACUAUUAUAUGCAUAUAUAUACCUUUAACUAAAUUCUUGAUGUAUCAAAUUAUUCAGGAUAAAUUAAAUUUCUUUACACUUUUUUAUUAUGUGCCCAAAAAAAUCAUAUUUUUAUAAUUAAAAAUAUUUUAAUUUAAAUUUUUUUUAUAAUAGUGUACCGAAUCAAAUACGGAAAAGUGAUAUAAAUUUGACGAAUUACCUGGUGAUUAGAACCGGAAGUUGGCAAAGGGCGGAUAGUGGCAGAGUCAACUUCACCAGUUGGCAAAGGAACCGCCGGAUUACUGUUAAUAAACGGAAUUUCAUCUCCUUUUUCCGGCACCGUUGGCCCAUUUGCCGGUAACAGAGCAAUCGGUGAAGGGCUAGGGGAAGUGGCUUCUCGGGGCUGAAACGGCCAUGGGUAUGCCGGAGAAGAUGACACAACGCCGCCGGAUAUCACCGGUGGAGCUCCCACCGGUGGCUUUUCCGGCGAGUAGGCAGGACUUGCUGCCGGAGUUGGAAGAGAUACCUUAAUUGCUAGUUUUUGGCCUUGUAAACAUGCUGCAUUUGACCCAUUGUUGAAUGAGAAGUAAAAAAUACCCUGCCUUGAUGGAUGCCACUGCAAAUCAAUUCAUCAGGAAAAAAAAAUUAAAAAGGCAGAUUUUUGAACACCCUUUUGAAUUCUAUCCCUGAAUCUUGCAAAUAUUUGAAGAAAUUGAAAGCAUGUAUUUGAAACUUUGGGUAAAAACUAGCCCUUGAAUCUUGAAAUUAUGAAGAAAUUGAAAGAACUCCCUAACAUCAUUUUCAAUUUCAAAUUUUAAGUUGGAUAUGUUCAACAAGUUAGUGGCAUUUUAAAUAAGCUUUGUUUAUAAAAAUAUUUUCAAAGUUCUAAAAAAUUUACUUCUGUCGCAUGUUCAAACACAACUUCAAAUUUCAAACUUAAAACUUCAAAAACUCGAAUUUUCAAAUUUCGAGCCAAAAAGGAGCAAUAGAAAGUUAAAAGAGGAACUUACAGUAUAAGACUUGGAAUCAGAUUUAGUAAGAAGUGUAGCUUGAGUGAAAUUGCAGGCAUUGAAGGCAUUCUGAUUCUUGAAAAUGUACACAUUAUACUCAUACUUAUGCUGAAAAACUGAAGAAAAAAUAUUUGGUCAAAUAAAAAAAGUAACAAAAACAGGAAAUGGUUCAUAAUACAAAGAAAACUAGUACUACGCUUACUAAUGGAAUCAUCAAUGUGGACAAUUGGAUUUUUCCAUAGUGAAACUCCAUCAACUACUACAGUUGUACUUUGAGAAAGUUGAAAGAUUAGACUUCCAAGAAUGAAGAAAAACACACAAAACAUAGAGACAUUUCCCAUACUGAAAAUUGGUGCUAAAUUCAAAGGGGAGAGCAAAUAAAGAAAAAAAGUAACAAAUAAUGUAAGCUUUAGUAGCUUUUUAAUGGAUGAAAAAAGAGAGUACAUACAACACAAAGAAAGAGGAGAAAAUAGAGAGGUGUCAGUGUGUUAAGCUUUUCACGGGAAUUGUUUUGAAUUUGUGUACUCCUAAUGAAAAUGUGUUGCCACAACAAUUUCAUAUUAUACUUGGUUUACAUUAUUAAAAAUUGGAAAAAUAUACGAGUAGCUCCUUAACCUAUGUCCAAAAUUUUAGAAAUAUUUAUACUAUAUUCAGGAUUUACUAUUCUCAGAAUUUAUUUUAUAUAUAAUUUUCUAUUCCUUUUCGACUUACGUGGCAUUAUCUUGUGAGUUCAAUGUAUGUUGACAUUUUUUUUUCAAGUUAGUGUCACGUAGGACGAAAAGAAAUAUAAAAUUAUUUAUAGAAUAAGUUGAAGAGUAAUAGGACAUUAGUAUAGUAUAAGUGUGUCUCUUGGAAUUCGGGCAUAGAUUGUGGAUAUACUUAUGCAAUUUCCCUUGAAAAUAUUUAUCCUAAAUUAUUUAUUACUUUACAAGGUUAACAAUAAAAUGAAUUGAAUUUCUUGCAUUGUACUCCUAAAAUUAAUUCUUUUUAAAGUAUUAUAAAAUUAUUUUUUAAAAAAAACUUCUGUUAAAGUUUACCUUCUCCGACGACAGCUAGUUCAAUGGUUUCUAAGCUAGACGGCGAUGAUACCUAGAGAUGUGAAAAUAAGUUAAAGCAUAAAGUCAUAACAUGUUUAAAAUAAAAAGGAAGUAUACAUGUCUCUUCCUCGCGAAUAUUCUCCCAAGGGGAAAACUCGAUUUGUUGCUUGAACAAUCCUUUCUGGACUUAAACAAGCAUCCGGGGGUGGAUUUGUCGAAUUUGCUAUGUUGAUGUUGAUUUUCUUCAAUCUCAGGCAGUCCAUUUUUAAUCGUUGACGUGAAAACUAUUAUGUUAUUUCUUUUAGUAUGUGUUGAUGAAAUUGUAAUCAUUGGAAAUGACAUUCAAAAAGUUCUCUAUAUCGAGAGAUUUUAAAUUUCGUAAGUAACUUAAUGGUCGUGUUUUAGAGCCUCAAAUCAGAGAAUGAAAUAGAAUUCCUUUAUCACAUCACACAUGUAGAUCUUUACUUUGAUAAAUCAGAGGAUCCUCCUUUCAACAAAUUCUUAAAUAUUAGGAUAAUACCAAUAAAAGAAAAGGUAGACAAAUAAAAUGGAAUAAAUAAUAUUGAUUACUGUUUCUAGUACUACUACUAAGAGUUCAAAACACAUUUGAAUUAUAAUUUUUUCAUGAAUUUCACACUUUAACUAUUAAUUAUUUUUAUUUUCUUUUUAAAUUAUCACCAUCGACGUAAAAACACCAAUUGAAGUGGAUUAGAUCAAACUAUCAAUUAUUUUUUUUUUAUUCAAACUAUCGUCAUCUACUCAACCGAGUACGUUUUAAACAGUGUUUUAAAAAACGUCUUUGGGGCGAGUCUCGGGUUGAGGCGCACAAAAACGCUCUGGGCAGUAAAUUGAAAACGUAGAUCCAUAAGGCGUAAGUCCUAAAAUUUGAGGCGUAAGCCCUGAACAUAAAAACGUAAGUCAAGAUGUAAAAACAUACGCGCGGACAUUUUUAUUUUUUAAUUUUUUUUUCUUUAAAUCAUAUUUUUAUUAUUGGUUUAAUGAUAUUUCUCAAAAAAUAAUUACAAUACUUUUUUCUUCAUUAUUGAUUAUUAAUACUUAUCUCAAAUAAAAAUCAUAAAUCUUUAAAAGGUUUGCUUUUGCUUAUUUUAUGAGUAAUUAAACUAUAAAUUUGAAUAUACAUGAGACUACACCGUGUAUAUCUAUGGGACUUAUGCCUCGUAUCUCGAAACUUACCUUCGCCUAUAAAACGCCUCGGCUCAUACCCCGACCUUUUAAAAUACUGAUUUUAAAUAUAUAAAUUAUAAUAGUUGAAAUUGAAAAAUAACUUGUGAUAAUUCAAAGUGCACAAGAAAAACAAUUAAUGACUGAAGAAAAGAAGAGUAAUUGUUCAAAUUUUUAUAUAUAUAUUUUUUACCAUUAUCUCUACUGUUAUUAGACUAACAAAUAGUAUAUUUUUUUCUUUUAAUGUUUUUACAGUAAAAGUUGUAAUGAUUUUGUCUGCGGAAAAUAAAUAAUUUAACAAACGGAAAGAUUCUUUAUUUUAAGUAAAAAAGUGUAACAUGGGAUUAUGAUGAUUUUGGGUUAGAUUGGUGAUGAGUGAUAAGUGAUGAUGGGCUUUAUUAUUUCAAAAUGAUUAGUUUUUUGUGAUCAUGAAUUUAUUACACUAUUAUAGGGCUCUUGGGGAACCCAAUUUUCAUUUGUUUAAGACUUUUGAGUACAAUCUUUUAAAUUUAUGAUAAUUAUUUGAGUCUUUGCUCGUACAAUUCUAGGUUUAUUUUAUCUUUUACAAGGUUAUGGGUUGUCACAUGUUAAUGCUUUGAAGCAAUUGCUUAUUACAACUUUUGUGUAGUAUUUUCUUCGUUUCGUAUUACUUGAUUAUCUGAUUAUAAAAGUAUUUUGCUUCUUUAUAAUUUGAAUUUGUAAUCUUAUUUUAAAAUUGUAAACAAAGAAUGUUCAUCGUUUGAGUAAUUUCCUCUCGUGUAAUUUAUACUUUCUUUGUCUCAAUUUAUAUAACUUAUUUUUCUUGUUAAUCAAUUCAAAAAAGAACGACACAACUAUUUUAUCCUUGAUGAAUAAAUUUUAUAUUUACACAACUAGAAGUUUUAAAAAUUCUUCUUCAUUUAUUUGUUAAGUUUCGUUUUGUUUCGUAUUACUUGAUUAUCUUAUUGUAAAACAGUUUUGCUUCUUUUAUAAUUUGAAUUCGUAAUCUUCAUUUUAAAAUUGUAAAUAAAGGAUGUCUAUCGUUUGAGUAACUUCCUCUCGUCUAAGUUAUACUUUUUUUAUCCCAAUUUAUAUGACGUACUUUUCUUGUUAAUCAAUCUAAAAGAAAAUGACACAACCAAUUUAUCCUUAAUGAAUAAACUUACAGUUUCACAACCAUAAGUUUCAAAAAAAAAAAAAUUCUUUCUUAAACUUCAUAUCAGGUCAAACUGUAUUAUAUAAAAUGAAACGAAGGAAAUUGUAUACAAAGAUAAUUAAACCAAAAUUAUUUCAAUAUUGAAUUAGCUAGGUCAAAAAAAAAAAAUAGGUCAAACGUACGUAACUCUAGAGCACAGUGAAAAAGUAGUAUAAAGAUAUGUAUAUGACUGGAUUUUAUUAUAAGGGUCCAGAAAAGAAAUCCAAGGCUCUAUCUGCCACAGGCAUGAGACACUAGUACUGCUUCUAAAACACUUAGCUAGUUUCUAGUAAUGUCCACUAAUCAUAUAUUAUAUUUUUAACUUUGUUUUUUACUAGUAUAUAAUCACUAAAAAGCUUUUAGAUAUUAACAAAGAAACAAAGGGGGUGUGAUUUUUGUGGACCUAAAACAUUAAAAGUAUAAAAAGUCAAUUAAGUGUAUACCAAGACAAAUAACUACAAGACAAAAACAUGUACACCUUUUGAACUCUACAAUUUCUUUUUUGCAGAAACAGAAGCUGUUUGGUUUAAUGGAGGAAGAUAAGUGAGGCACGAUAUGGGCUUCAUCUUUUUUUUAAUUAAAUUUUGUUGUAAUUUAUUAAAGGGAACAUAGAUAUUAGGCUUUAUAAAUGGAUUGACAGCUCCUUAAAUAAUUUAACGAUAAAGUUCAUUUAGACGUUUAAAUUAUGUAUUUGAAUACAUGAUAAAUGUUUCAAUUAGUAUUUCCAACAUAAUAUUUUAAAAGUUUCUCCAUGUAUUCUCAAACACUCAUUACGUUAAUAAGUUAGCCUCUCUUAAAAUAUGUUAUCUUUUUUAGGUUAUACAUAUUUUGCAGAACAAGUGUAAAACCUCAAAGACACAUGUUCAAAUGGAUUGUUGAUGUGUACAAUAACAUUUUUCAUAUUUUUAAACUUAUUUACGUAAUGUCAAUUAAGAAAACCAAAAACUUUUCAAGAUAUGAGCUAAAAUUAAAAUGUUUCAUUAGAAUAUCUUCUAAUUUAAAUAUUUAAAUAAAAUUUAUCACACAAAUUAGGGGUUUCAGAUAAAUAUAGGGAACAAAUUAAAGACAGGAACAGGGAAGUAAGAGAUUACGCAUGCAAUUUAAGAUUUGUCACACUGCACACAUGACUUGUCCUAUAUUCUUUGGUGUAUAUGUUUUUGGUUUUUGGUUAUAAUAAAGUCCUUGUCUUGAGGGCGUGAUGCAUUAAAUCAAGUGUAUAUGUGCUAGUACAUAUGGGUUCUAAGAGGUUAUUGAUAUAUUUAAUAUAUUUUAUGAAUAAAUUUAUAUAUUUGAUAUCAAAUUUAGGAUGUAUUUAAUAUAUUUAUGCAUAAGUAAAAAAAGAUGAAUAUAGAGAUAUAGUUAUCCAGAUACAUUUUUUAAUAUAUAAUAUAUAUGUAUAUUUGAUGUAGUUCGGUAGCAGAACAAGAAGAGAAGUAGAAAAAGAGGGAGAGAGUUAUUGUGUGAAUAAAAUAUGAAAAACUGCAACUAAUAAAUAACAAUCGUAAGUUUGAGAAAGGGGAGGGGAAGGAGCGAGAAAUUGUGCAAUCAUUUUAUAGUAUAAAGGAAUUCAUAAGUAAGUAUAUAUGACGGAGAUGUUUGUCAACUUAAAUAGUCUUUUUUAAAAUAAAAUAAACAAGUUCUUAACCCGCCCGAACAUAAAGAAUUUGAAUGUAUUAUGAUUUUAUGGCCUGAUUUGAAACUUAUUUAUGAAAGGGUAAAUAACACAAAUCUCACUAGUUUAGAAUCUAAUUACGUCUCUUUUCGUGAGUUUGCAAUAUUAUCAAUCCUACCAUAAUUCGCACCUCAAAUAAAUAUAUUUGGUGCGUCCAAAUUCAUAUAUCUUUAACUAGAUACACUUGAUUAAGUGUAUCUAAAUAUGAAAUGCAACAGAAAGAUAUAUAAAUCAGGGAGGAAAUUACGUGUAUAACAAAGUUGGAAGAUCUAUUAUAUCACAACUCUUUAAAGAACUGAAAUUCUUACAACCCUGGACAGCGAUUUUCAAAUUUAGAUACAUACCAUUGUUUUGAUACAAAACAAGAUUCAAAGAUAACAUUAUUUUUCAGAUACAUGUAGAUAAUUAUCACAAAAACAUUCAAUCCAUGUAAAAGUCAAAACUUAAAAAAGAAAAAGAAGAGAAAUACAAGUAAAUGAUGAAGCUAUCUGUGAAUUAUGUUUAAAUAUUGCAUGUUUCACAUAAAUGUUUGAACUACCAUUUCGCUCGGCUUGUGAUCUGAAUUUUGGAUUGUAUCCAUUCUAGCACGUACAUCUUAGCGUAGUUAUCGCAUUUUUACUGGAUCUUUUCGAAGCUUAAUUAGAUCUAUUCAUGUCGGGAAAUGGAGUAUAAGAAGCAACAACCGUAAAAUGAGACUACCACAGCCCGAAUCUUAAUACAACUAAAUACCAAAAACCAUAAAAUAAAAUGAUGACAAGACAAGUGACAGAUUGAGGGGACUAAAGUAUUUACUUUUCCUUUAAUCCCAAGGGCUCAAUCAUGAGUGCAGUCCCAAGUACCAGGGACUACAAACAACUCACUUUCUUUAUACUUUUCUCCUUUUCCUCCAAAUUAUGGCACACAAAAAUCACUAAUAUCCUUGUCCUCUUUAAAAUUGUUAGCCCCAACUAACAUGACACCUUCUUUAUGAUGAAAGAGCCCAACAUAGGCACAGCGAUGCAUACGAUGAGUUCAUAGUGUAUGUCAAGCACGGGAGAAAAGCAUGAGAUGAUAUCACUGUCAUUCUUGCGAGCAAAUGCUAUAAACGAGCUAUUGACCAAAAAAAAAAAUACUAAAUAUUAGUCACUCGUUCCCAAGCUAGCUUGUAUCCAAUCUAACAAGUGAGGCAGGCAGCAUUUACACUAUAACUACAACUAACUAAAUAAUUGUUCGGAUUUCAACGAACUCCCUCCCCACUACAUAAAUAUUAGAUUCUGUCAUAGAUUUCCAGGUCACGAUACUAUAUGAUACUGCUCUUUACAAAGGAAGCACUAUCACUCAAAAAAUCACCAUCUGCUAAAUUAUCCAUCCUGAUGUUAUAUCACUUAACCCCAGCAUGGCUAGGCUCCUUUAUUCUGUAUCUAUAUCAGAAGGCAUUAAUUUUAAACUAUGCCUGUGGCAAAACGAUAUAUUACCACUGCAUGGAGCACACUCUUCGCAGGACACGAGGCGGUUUUCGCUUCUCCACAACUGGAAUUACCUUCUCUAUUAUCUGAAGGAAAAACAACAUCAAGAAAUGUUAAAUGUACUACCAUUACACUGCUAGUCUACCAAAGCAGAGGAGAAUUUCACUUUGUAGGCCAUGUUGCUAAUGUAUAUUUUUUUAUACAAGUAUAUUGCUAAUGUUAUUUUUCGAAGCACUAAUAAGCUUAAUGACAAUGUCAAAAAUUAGCUGCUUAAGCAAGCCAUAGAUUCUCAUGCAUACUCAAACAGGGAAGCAGUGUCACACAAUAUUAACUUAACUUUACCUUACAGUCACAACUGACAAAUUACGCAAUGGAUCUAUUAAUAAGGAAAAACAACCACCAUAAUACAGGUAACAAUUGCUAUAUAAUUCCAUGCAGUUGCUUUUACCCAUCACAAUACAAUAAAUAACUAGGGGUGAAAUAUAGGACCAUAGCACAAAGUAGAACUGCUUUAUGCAUGAAAACUAGAAGAAAACCAAGAUACGCUUCCACUAUGGAACUAUCGCUCUUUUUGAUGUUCGUCACACAUCUAGCAUGACCAUUUUUUGUUGUUUGUUAUUAGCAAACAUCGGAAUUUAGACUUCUAAUUACAAAAAAUGAAAAGGAAAGAAAUUAUGGCUCGUUGCUAUAUGUAUUUCCUCAAGCCGAAUAGAAGAUGCAAUUCUGCGAAUGACAUGAUUAUAACUUCUUUUUACUACCGGGCCUUCAAUACUAGGAGAAAGAAAGGCAGACCGUAACUAUAUUGCACACCUAAAAAGUGGAAAGAGUCUAUCAUCACAACUCAAUGAACAUGUUUUCCUAAAGAAAUUGUUACUUCUCUCUUUUAGAAAAAUACCUACAUAUUUUGUUAAGAUGUAAACCAAUUCAAACGGAGCUUGUGAAUUUCAGAAAUAUGUAAUAUUAUAGGAUUCUUCGGAAAACAAUUUAUCUGAACAUCAUUAGGCCUUAAAGCGCAUUUCCUGACACUUCAAAUGAUCUUUCAGAAAAGCAAAUGACACCAAUGUCAACAGAUAAUUUUUCAGUUAAAAGGUUGAAUGAGCAAGCAGGAAGAGAAGGUGGAUCACACACUUGGGUUCUUGGAUAAUCAUAAUCUUAUAAUGGCUAGUCAGUAUAUCAAAGUUAUACCAGAUCCAGUUGGAUUGGAAUGUAUGAGCAUUAAGGAGAUCUUGAUGUGAAUGGAUGUACAAGUUGAAACAGUACCAUUAUAAUUGAGAAAUCUGUCGAUGACCUCUUUCUGUUUCCUAUUCUCUUUUAGGCGUGUUUACCUGCUUGUUACUGAGAAUUUUGAACUGGCAUUCAUUAUUUAUCAUUCCUAUAUUCUAACUUCUUUUUUUCAUUCUCUUAUAUGAUUAGAGCUAUAUUAUCACUUAAAAACAUAUUUGACGUCCUUUUACCGCAUAGGAUAUUGUUGUACGGUAAUGCAAGAUGAAUGACCAGGGGUGGACAUAAGUUUUUUAAAUAUCGAAAAACCAAAACAGAACCGAACUAAUUUGGUUCUAUGAUUCAGUUUCAGAUCUAUUUUUUUUCUAAACUUCGGUAUUCGGUUCUCAGUUAUAUGGUACCACCAAACUUUUAAUUGUCGAAGCAUUAAAUAGGAUCUAAUGGUAUUCCACAUACAAAGUAAACAUAAUAAAUAUAGCAUCUUAAUUGACAGGUCCAAGUUGGACCGUCCAACAAAUUGUCUUGAGAAAAAUUGAUCAUUUAAUAAGAAAGUAAUAUAUGAUUUCAGAUUAGUUCAAAAGUGAUCUGCAUAGCAAGAGUACAUCUUCUUGCUGCUUGAUCACCACAUCAUAAAGAGCACAAUUUUAUUUCUAGCAAAUAACUACUAAAAUUACGACUCCCCACUAUUUGAGAGAAGGGAUGAAAUGUUGGUAUUCAUUAAGAUAAUUAACUUGAUUGAUUAGAUGAAUAUAGAGAUUUUAAUAGUUCAUACGACAUUCAGGUAUUGGAAGAUGAAAGCAAUUCCAAAACAUCAAAUAGAUAUUACACUAAAGGAAAUGAGAACUAAGCCUUCUUGACCUCUCCAUAUAAUGAAAAAAAUAAGGGGAAGUCCACAUCCGUUUAUCAAAAGCUGAUUCAUUGUGCAAUUUUUAUAUCCUUUGUAUAUGAGAAGAUUAGAGAACACAUGGGGUACAGUGAGUAGUUUGUUUAGUUUAUAGUAUGAGAAGAUUAUAAGAACCGACAAUUUCAGCUCAUAUUUAUAAAAUCAGUCCAUUAAACUAAUUAUAAUGAGAUGGAUCAUUUAUAUUUCAAAUGGGUAAAUAUGGAUUUCAAUCUACUUUUAAAUCAUGAAAAUAAUAUGGGUAUCUAUAAAUUUACAGUAUUUUGGCUUUAGGAGAUUAUAGUGGGUUUGAACCAUUUUACCCAAUCCACCAUAUUAAUAUGGGAGGAUUGCAAUCUAAUCCAUCUUGGCUCAAACUGGAAUAAUGUAACAUUAAGAAAGACAAAGUAAAAAGAAUAAUUACAAAAAGAAAUAUCACCGGUGUCAAGUAGUAACUACAAAAAAAGAAACAAAGAUUUUAAGAAUUUUGGCUUUAGGAGAUUAAAGUGGGUUAGCACUAAGAGCCAUUUUACGCAAUCCACUUUUAACCCAUAUUAAUAUGGGUGAAUUGCUAUCCAAACCAUUUUAUAGCUCAAUCUGCCCAAAUCUGAUCUAAUCCCGCUCAUUUGCCACCACUAUUUUGUAAUAUUAAAAAAAAUUGUAGUACAUAUUAAUAAAAUGAUGCAUAAAUUGAUGAAUUGGUAGGAGGGACCUAAUCUUUAGCUACAGUUAAUUUAUUGCAGCUUUUGGAUGAGUCGCACCUUUCAGUGUAACUUGCCAGAACCAGCUAGUUAUGCAUUAAUAGCGCAUUAAUCAGGCCCAUACUGAAGAACAAAAUUGGAAACAAAUGAACAUUGGUUCAGUAUACUGUAUGCACUGAUAAAUAACUGAAGAAUUGAACGCUUGACUACCUCAUUAUUUCAAGUAUCAACCUAGCGGUUCUUCAACCAUUCAGAUAUUUUUGCUGGCAUAAAUGUGAAUUACGUGAUAUAUAGCUAGAAACAAAGGGAUCGUUCGGGUAAAUCUUUGCAAAAACUCUCUAAUUAAAGUGCUUGACAUGAGGAAAAAAUGAACCACUCAGACACAACAUAUAGGGAAUAAAAUAGCAAAAGAAGUUACCUGUUUAUAAUGUGCUCUGGUUCGCUCUUCCUGAAAAUUACAAAGUACUUGUGUUACUCAAAGAAUUAAAUCAACAAAACAAUUACAUAUAGAAAUGCAGACGAACACAUAUUGGAAUUAUUUAGGUGCUUACAAAAUGUUACAGCAUUGCUUAACUUGAUUAUCAAAUGCUACAGUAAACCUUUUCUAGCGAAGCUAAGUUCCCACCUCAUCACCAAGCACAUGCCCACCCCACCAAGAACCCCCUUUACUACUAAUCAAAAUGCCUAGUGAAGGACCAUGAAGAAGCAACGGUUACUUAAUGCAUCAGUAAACAAUUACCCUUUAUAAGCAAUGGCAUUCGCAAGAUUUUUCGUAAACAGUGUCACAUUUUAAAAUGAGAAGUAAAUAAAAUAAUGUAACAUCAUAUUAAAAAGGAACAAAAUUAUAAAUAAAAGACAACUCAUAUAUUACUACCAACUCUUCUUGAUGAGUUUUCAUUUUUUUAACAGUAUUAAAAAUUAAAAUAACCUCAUCAAAAAUAUUACUGAACACUUUUAUAUAGGGCAUCAAAUGAUCCCAAAAUAAUUCAUUGAAUUCUACAAAUCAUAUCAUUGGCGAGCAAGAUGAAACGAAAGAAGAAAAGAGAAAACAUGCAGCACCUCAACUAAUCAGGGAAGAAGCAACAUCCUUCUCAAUACGUCAUAUACGGUAAAGUCUACUGAUGUGACACUGGAGUAAUUGGUUCAACGUUUUGUUAACUACUAAGAGGUCGAAGGUUCGAACCUGGACGUGUAUCACUUUGUAGAUUAAAGAGCAAAAACUUUAAACACUAAACGAGAACACCGAGAUUAAAACUCCUGAACCUAUGUUGAAAACGCACUGACCAAAUGAGUUGUGUGGCUCUUUGUGUCAAAAAGUGUCAUUUUACUCAAUUAAUCCUCUAUUUUUGUCUUGGCUUUUAAUUAUAUAUAGAUAUUUAGUAAAAAAAAUUCCGACAAAGUGGUGUCACGUGAAACUACUUGAUGCCUUGACCUAAGGUAAACCCACCCAUGUUUACAAGGAAAUCACCAAUUACUUCUAUCUAGUCAAAAAAUGAUUUUAGAGAGAAAAAAAUCCAAACAAAGCAACUUUGAUUUUCAUGGGACAGCUUACAAUAUGAAAACAAACAGUACAAAAUUAUAUGCUUUCAGCUACUAUCCAACUAACAACAGAAUAGGAUUUACUAUUUGAUACUCAUGCCAUUUUAUGGAAGGCUAGCUAUCCCAAAAAUAGUAAGUAAAUAGUUUUUAGACAGUCAAAGAAGAAUAAAAAAUAAUCAUCGAACUUCCACUUCAAGAUAUUUCCAAGGUAUUUUUACAGUCAUACUAAUAUUCCACUUGCAUAUACGGGUCCUUUCCUGUGUCUUUGGAGUCGCUCAUAAUCAAGUAAGGGAUUUUUAAUGGGAUGCAAAAGGAAAAAUAAAGCUCGUAGAAAAUUACUUAUGAUUUAUAGUGCAAUGUUCCAUUUGCAAGAUAAAAGUUUGCAUCACUAAGGUAAUCUCUGAAUAUCUCACAGCUUGUUUUAAAAUGGUUGUUACAUGUUUCUUAGUUUAAAUACAAUGUUUGUUUUGUUUGUUACUUGAGUUAAAUUUUAUCGUAUCAUUAAAUCCAUCAAUUAGGUAACCAUGAAAAGUCUUCUUUUGUGAAACGUCAGAUUUGAUGUGAGCAUGUCACUACUGUUUUUUCUCUCAUUUUGUCUUUACUUAUUAUUUGAUAAAACCUAUUUUAUCCUUUAACCAUACCUUACUAUAGUAGCUCUACUGUAUCCCCUGCUUUUCUAGUAGGUUAAUGUUGAUGUGUGACAUUAUGUAAUGAUGGAAAACAAUACAAAAUCUAUCCAAAUGUUGUAUUCAUUAAAACAAUAUAGUAAAAUACAAUAUGAUACAUGAUGAAACAAUACUUAACAACCAUCCAAACAAGUAUAGUCUAAUACAAGGUUUAAUUUAUGGUAAACCUUACACAGCAUAUAUUGGUUUCCAGCAUCAAAAAUUGUAUAUUAAUAUUGCCAUAACUUACAUAUGUGAAUAGAAAGUGGAAUAACAGUGUGUAGUGCACCUGCAGCACUACUGGAGAACCCCACUCUCAAUUUUCCUUUUUACUUACGAUGUGUUUAUAAUAAAGUGCUCAUCUUUAUUUACCAAAAGUCACGAAGAUUAAUUUUCAUCAAGUUCACAUAAGGAAGACUUUCCCCUCCUCAAUCAUUCUCCUUGUUCACAUAUUUCUUUGUUAGUGCACUUUUAUUAGUUCUAAAACAAAGUUCUUCAGCGAGCCUAUCGAAACAACACAUACAAAUUUGAAAAAUUAUAGAAAAAAUCGAAACUUGCAGCUGCAAAAUUAGAUUAUUGGUGUGUUGUCUUUAAAAUGGUAAGAGAUGUGGCAGUAGACAAAAGACAAUCUCUUAUUCGCUAUGCUAAGAAGCUGAUAUAUGAUAUACUUAACCAAUUGAAUUAGCAUUGAACCUUCAUUCUCUGAAUCAAUUCAAAGUCUCAGUACAAGCAAUGCAAACAGCUAUUUUGUCAUAUACCUUUUAUUCAAAUAAUUCAAUUGUCAAUCUUAAUUUAAAACACAGGUCUAACUGCCGGAAAGUAUUAAAAUACAUUACCUUCUCUUUCAACAGCUGUUCAUUCUCCUCCUCUAAUCUAACUGCUAUUGACUCAAGUUCCACUUGAUAAGCCUAUGCCCAUAAACAAAAAUCUAAAUUCAGUUCACACAAUCAAAAAGCUAAAAUAGAUUGAAAGGCUAAUAGUGAUCACUACUAUCAGCAAAGAAUACUUUUUACCUGUUUCCGUUCUCUAGACCGGGCAGCUGAUUCUCUGUUUUUAAUCAUCCUACGUUGCCUCUGCAGAGCCGCCUUAUCUAAAGGUUCCAAAAUGGCUUUCCUCUUCCCUCUUCCACCUCCAAUCACAUCUAUUCCAUUUCCAUAUCCUUGCACGCUCUGCUGCGGCAUGGCCAUGUAUGGGGAAUCGAAUGCAAAAAUUCCACCACUCAACCUCUCAGUUCCUAGUUCAACCUUCACCUCACCUUGCACUGGCCCCUCCCCAGCCAGUGCCUCCUCCUCAACUGCUCCAGCUUUCACCAAAAAAUCCUCCAACGUCAUGAUUUCAUCCACUGCCUCCUCCUUACAUCCCGCAACUGCGGCCCUUCUCUGCUCCCUCUUCCCCUCCACAAUUUCCCUCCACACAUCAUCCACCGUCCUCCUAACCAAAGGUAUCCCACUAACCGUCGCUGUCUCGGAAUCACUGAUCGGCGUUAUCGCUCCAGCAGCAUCAAGUAACGUAAUAUUCGCAUUCAACAAAGUAUUAGCCUCCGUCCCCUGACCUUCCCCAUACACAUUCCGUAAAAAUCCAUCAACCGUCAUGGAAGUCGCCUCCAAAUUACUACUAUUAUUACUCCCGUUAUUAGAAUACUGCUGAUUCAGCAAAUCAUUCGGCAUCGUAGAGGAUGAAGACGACGAAGCCGCCGACGAUUUCCUUCGAUCGGAAUUCCGCGAGGCCGAUGAAGCCAUCAGCUUAGUUGACGCCAUUUUCCGGCGGGGCAAAAUCGUAAAACUCUUCUUCUUAGAUCAAAUCCUCAAGUGUGUAUAUACAUAGAGGUUUGUGUAAGUGAUGAUUGUGUUGUGUAAUGUGCGAUGGGGAGAAGAGAAAUGCCUAGGGUUUCGAAUAAUUUGGGGGUUUUGGGGAUUUGAGGGAGAAAAGUGGGAUUUUCAAAAAUGGAGUUCCAGAAUUGGCAAAGAGAGAUACUAGAGAAGAAGAGGGUUCUGUUGUCCCUUUUUUUUUGCCUAAAUUAGAAAAACGAGGCAACAGUUUUUUUUCAUUCUCAAACGUCGUUUUGAAUGUACAUUCAUGUCGUCUUGUUAAAUCAAAUUCUCAAAAUAAAAUUCACAUUAACUAUUUAAAUGAAAUAUUUUUUUAUUUUCUAAAACUAUAUAUCAAAAAAUUUUAUUUUAAAAUUUUAGUAUUUAAAUAAAUUGAGUGAUUUUCACAUAUGAUUUUGGAGUUUGAAGUUGAUGAAAGUUGAGUACAUGACUUGAAAAUGAUAACUCUCAUUCUUUUCUUAUUAUUGGUGAAUGUUUUCACGUGAUCUUAAUUCUAACACUUAUAUUUAGGAGUGUAUCUACAAAAUUAUCAUGGCCUCAUGGGGCUCAUACGAACCAUCUCGAUAAAAAACUUUAAUGAUAUAUAUUGAAUAGAUUUUCUAUAUUUUUGUAUGGUUAUUAAUUUUUAAUUAAAGAAAAAAGAUAACCUAAUGGUACUAAAUGGUCCAAUAUGGACCACGAAUAAAAAAAGUAUUAAAUAUUUUCAUAAGUUUGACACGUUAUGUCAUAUACUUUUUCGUUGAAGGUUAGAUUUUGAAAGAUGAAAAAGAAGUGCAAGAAAUGCAUAUACUAAUGUAUUUUUAAUAAAAAAUCAAAACAACAAUAAGGUUAUUUUAAAAGAACAUGAUUAGAAAUAAGGAGAAGAAUCUCCAUAAUCAAUUGUAGCGGUCUUAAUUUUUGAUAAUUUAUUAGAUAAAACCUCAUUAAAUUAAUAUAGGUUUGGCAAUGAAAUAUUAUAAUGUUGUAAAGCUAUUAUUUAAGACACAAAUUAAUAUUUAUUAAUUUAAAGAGUGUUUUGAUAUCGUAAAAUUCAGAAAAGUUGAAUGCAUUCACUUAUGAAAAUAUCGUUUAUGAACUUGAGAUCAUGAUCCAUGAUUAAUUAUCUUAGUUACCACAACAAAACGAACGUUAAUAGCAUAUUGGAUGGGUGAAAUGAUACAUGUUAAUAGGUCCAAAUCUUAGAAGAAAUUGUGAAUAUCAUUGAAAAAAAAUAAUAGUGAUGAUAUAGUUGAAGUUGAUACAAUGUCUUAGGAAUCAAUUACGCGUAAGGAAGUACUUAUCGCAUCUAAAAAUAUGUCACAAUUUUAUAGUGCAGUUUAAAAGAGGAAAAAUUGUAUAUAGUGACAAAUUAUUAAUUCAAAUCAAAUGUUAUAAUCACACUUUGAUUUAAUUGUGUCCUGUAGCAAACUGUUUGUCAAUCGGCUCUCUCCCUCAAACUUUCGCUCGCAACUCUUUAUCUUUCGUUCGUCCCCCAUUAUCGCUCGCCUCCCUCACUUUAUACAAUCAUAAAUGUAUAAAUUGUGUUUCUGUUUGUAUAAAGCGAGAAAAAAUCGUAUAAACACAUGUAAAUACAUAUAUCUUCGUCCGAUACACUUAUAAUCACACAAUACAAAUAUUCCACUGCCAGUUCUCUUUUUUCUUUCUAUUCUUCUCGCUUUAUACAAACACAGAUUAUAUAAAAUAUAAAGUAUAAUUUUUGUUUAUAUAAAACGAAGAGAGAAAGAGUGAUAUUUGAUAUACAAACGUUUUAUUUUAAUUCAAUUGUAUACAAAUUCAAAUUUUAUACAUAUAUAUAAAUACAUAAAAUUGAAUUGACAGUCUAUCAACGAUUUAUACAAACGAUAGGCUGCCAAAAAUUUCGUAGCUAAGCAAACAUGCAAUGGUUAAGAUAUUUUGCAUCUUUAUUAUUGAUGAACUGGUUGAACUAAUCAGUCGUUACUCUGAAUUCCAUUUGUUAUCGUUAUUUUCAAGUUAUUACAAAGUCAUGUUGUUUUCUUUCUAAGUUUUUAUAUUCGGUCACGCUCAAGCUAGCAAAUUGAUAUUAUUAUUAUUAUUAGGGAAAAUGCACAAGUACCCCCUCAACCUAUGCCCGAAAUUCCAGAGACACUUAUGCUAUACUAAGGUCCUAUUACCCCCUGAACUUAUUUUAUAUGUAAUUUUCUACCCUUUUUAGCCUACGUGCCACUAAUUUGAAAAAAAAGUCAACCAUUGUUGAGCCCACAAGAUAGUGUCACGUAGGCUAAAAAGGGGUAAAAAAUUAUUAAUAAAUAAGUUCAGGGGUAAUAGGACCUUAGUAUAGUAUAAGUGUAUGUCUGAAAUUUCGAGCAUAGGUUGAGGGGGUACUUGGGCAUUAUCUCUUAUUAUUAUUAUUAUUAUUUUUAUGGUCCCGAAAGAAAAACAGUAGGAUUCCACUAAUUAAUAUUAUAAUAAAUAUAUAUACAGGCCAUACAGUAGUAGAAUUAUCUUUUUGAUAGUAAUUGGAAUCCAACUUUGUUUUGACCGCAUUUCUUUUUAUCCUUAGAGGUCAAAACCAUUUCCACCCACUUUAUAUAUAGCUUUUCUUCAAGUGCUUCUUUUCCAAGUUGUUUGUUACGAUGCUAUGAGGUUCAAUCAAAUUUAAUAUUUUAAUAUUAUAUUUCAUUUUUAUUUUAAAGUUCAAAUCGUGAUUUUGUAGCAUAAUAUCUCACUUUCGUGCAAGUUUAAUAACCCUAGCUAUCACAAGCUCCUAACAAAAUUGAAAUUGUGAGAACUUAUUUAUUAAGAACAUAUACUCUUCAUACUUCAUAGAGUAGAUAUUAAAGAAAGAACACCAACUAGUCAAAUAGAAACAACUAUUCCUCAUCAUGAACAAGGUAGGGUUUCCAUAAAAUAUGUACACUUGCAUAUAGUGAAGUGGCUUCCAUAUUAUGUCCCAUUCCCUAUAGGUAUAGCUACAAAGUAAAUAUUAUAUAAGUAUCUUGUAGCUAGUAGUCCACAUGAAGAAGAGCAAUGCAUCUAGUCAUGAAAACACAACAAUAACUUCAUUAAUCAACUAAUGCAUCACAUGGCUGGAGUCCAAAUUAAAUAAUUUAGUGAAACAUUUUGUUUUUCAGAGUCAAACAGUACCGUCUAGAAUUGAUCGAAAAUUUGCACAUAAAAUUUUUAAUUUUUUUAAAAAUAAAAUUUAUAUAUUUAUAAACUACGUAAAAAAAGUAUUAUAAGUCACAAUAAUUUAUCACAACUCAAAAUAUUUAAAAAAUUUACCGUCAAAAAUAAAUUUAUUUAAAUCUUGAAAUCUGAAAUGUGUUACGAGAGAGUACUGUAUAUUCUAGCUAGCCCUACACAAUUGACGAUAUAAUUGUACUAAUUCUUACUCUAUCCCCAUUCUCCACAAGUCUUCAAACUUUUUUAUUUCUUUGUUAAGAGUCGGUUAAUGUUAUGUGACUUAAGCUCAGUCCAUUGCAUGUAUACAUGACUAGUGACAACAUAACACCAAUUAUAUGUAUCCUCAUAAGAACUUGGCAUGUACUGUCUCAUUUGGUAGCUUUACUCUUUGCAACUCCCAAUUGCAUCUAGUGUUUGUACCUGCAAAGUUGAUAAAUAUACUCCCAUAAGUUCAUGAACUAUAUGGAGUAGUACUAUUUUUGCUCUAGAACUCACAUCAUCAGUCAAAGUAUAUACUAAUAAGUGAUGUUUUUACCUUCUUAUUUUAAUUCUAAAUGAAUGGUAUUUCACAUCAAGAAAAUACUAUUUAUAUUGUUCUUUUCCAAAUUUAUUCAUAUUAUAUAUACAAUUGUAAUGUUCGAACAAAUUUACGCUCACUUUAAUUAAUUUUAUAAGAAACAUUUUACCUUUUAUCAACAAUAAAUUACUUUGUCCAUCAAAAUUAAAGAGAAAUCACCUAGUGUUACUGGAAUUUAAACCUAACUCCUCGCGUUCUCACCCACUAAUCAUUAUGGCUCAAAUCGACCCUUUGGUGCAUCACCCUUUUUAAAUGAGUGGAUUUUUAUGUAAUCAAGAAAUUAUCUAUACGACUCCCUCAUUACAUAUUUUCUUGGCCCUUGUUGAUCCAAUACACCCCUUUAGAAAAUUCAAAUUAGAUAAAUAUUUUACUAAACUAAUUUUAUUAACGAUACUUUAGAACACUAAACUUAAAUACUAAACUAACUUUAUUAAAAAAAAAAAAAUCUUUCGAAAAAUGAUGAGUUUUUCUUUGGUUUCUUUGUUGGUGUCCAUAGCUCAUACUGAAGUAUAGACUAAAUUAAAUCUAAUGCACUGUAGGACCUAUUCAGAAGUGAAGCUUUCAAUAAUAUUUUCUUCAUAUUAAGAUUUGAAUUUAAAACCUCUAGUUAUGAGUGGAACAAUUUUACCAUUACAUCACAAUCAUAUUUGUGAAAAAUAAAAGAGAUUUAUUGAAAGGAUACGAUGAACUAAAUUAAAAGAGUCAAAAUGCAAUAAUUAUGCUUUUUAUGAAAUAAAUGGCACUACUUACCACUUGCAGUCUAUAUAGUAGGGGGUAUUAAUUGUCUACCAGUAUUUGCUGUUAACAACCACUGAGUUUUUGGGUUUGCCUACGUCUUCAAGGUCCACCUCUCUACUCCUUCCUAUUUUGGCUUUUAACAUCAUAAAAGGUAACCACUAUUUUAGACCAAAUAUGCCAUAUUUAGAAACUUUAUUUCUUCACUUUUUUUUUUUGGCUAUUCUAGAAAAAGAUAAACUAAAUGCAACAAUAAUAAAUACUUCUUCCAUUCGGAAUUGUUUGUCAUAUUACGUUUAUUAAAGUCAUUUUUGACUAAUUUUCAAAUGUAAAUUGAAUCACAUUAAUUCGAUAUUUUAAACAAAAAGAUAGAUAUUUUAAAAUUAUAUGAAAAAUUACAAUAUUUUGCAUAUUGAUGAUGAAAAAAUACAUCUUAAAAUGUUAAUCAAAGUUUUUAUAGUUUGACUCUAAAAAUAGAAAUUAUGACAAACAAUAUCGAACAAAGGAAAUAAAUAAUUAAUCACAAUUGUCGUUUAUUAAAAAAUAAUAAAUAAAAAUAUACCAUAAUGUUCUUCUAGGUAAUCCUCACGUAGCCGCUUUGACGAUGGACUAAUGUUGUUCCUCUUCUCGACGCUAUGCUAUUUUCAUUUAACGAUUAAUAUUUACGAAACUUAAAAGUAUAUAAUAAAUUAGAAUUAAAAAUAAAUAUUAUGUUUCAAAUUAUAAAUACCUUAUGAUCGCAAUAAGAUGAUGAAUCAUUUGAAAUAUUCGCUUCAUCUUUAAAAGUUCAAAUAAAAGUUAAUGGUGAUUUUUGAGAUCAUACAAAAUAAAAAAUUCAUCACCAAGUGAUGGAAAAUUAAGAUGUUGUUUAAUAUUAUGAUUAUGUACCUGUGUCUUCCAUUAGUGUAUUUAAUCUCACCCAUUCAUCAACAAUAUCUUUCCAUCUCCUAUAAAAUUACCCAAAAAAUGAUUCUAUAUUUAACUUAAAUGAAUAUAUAUAAAUAAAGUAACUAAUUAUACAGAAGAAAAUAAAAUUAUUAGUGUUAAGAAGAAGGUUAAGGAAAACCUGAUGAGUAGUUUAACAAGUCUUCUUACAUCAUUUGAUGAAUGCUUUCGCAGCUUGUUUACAUGCCUUCCAAUAUUUGUUUUCUUCAAAAGCAAUAAAAAUAUAAAAUCAUAACAGAAAAUAAAUUUAAAAGGAUAAUGCUAAAUUGUCCUAAAUUUUCUAAAAAGUUAAUAUCCUUUUAUUUUAAAAUAAAUUAAUUUAAUUUAUUUUUUCAUUUUUAAUUAAAAAGUAUUAAAGUUAACAAACAUAAUUUUAAAUAUCAUUCUGGCCAAAUAAUUAUUCUAUAAUAAAAUCAUGAUUGUUAAUUAAAUUACCUCAAGAACCUUGAAAUUAAUGUCCAUUUCAGCAAGACUUUGAAGCUGAUCAACCAAGCAUUUCUCAGACUGAAAUUUCCAAAAGAAUUUUUAAUCUUAGCAAAAAGUAAAUAAAAUUCGUGAAAUUAGAUAUUAGGCCUAAUUCAUUCUUAAAAAUUAGUCAUGAUUUUAUUAUAUUCAACAAAAUGGUUCAACAAAACCCAAAGUAGUAUAAAGAAACCUGAUUUGGGAUUUCAAAAUGGUUCUUGAUUCUGAGGAUUUUGCUGAUCUCUAAAUCUUCUUCAUUACUAUUUUCCUCUGUUUUUAACUUGUCAUCAUCGAUAUUUCUCUCAAUUCUUUUCAUGAUUUCAUAAUUUCCAUCAGAAUUAGAAUUGUUAGAAAGCAGAGGAACAUAGAGUUUCUCAACAAUGGCGUCUCUUCGACUGCGAAGCUCGUUUCCAUGAUCAAGAAUGGCUACAGAAAUUGCUGUGUCAAUUAAACCCCACAAGUCCACACUUGAAUUCUUUAAGAUUAGACGUAAUUCAUCCAAUUCCAUGUUGUUGUUGUUUCUUAAAUUAUAAGAAAAAAAGAUGUGUUCACUAAGAAACAGAGCAUAAGGAAAAGAGAGAAGGAGGAGUUAGGGACAGAGUGAAAUGGGGACAUAUUAAUGUGAAUAAGUUUAAAAGGCUUUUUGUAGCUUUGGAACACAUUCUAUGUUUUUGUUAUGUCAUGAAUCAACUACUACAGUGUUUUCUUUGCUUAGUUUCUACUACUAUACUAAGAGGUCUACACUAUAAUAAAUAAUAAAUAGUGUCUUCGUUUCAAAAGGGAUAGUUUAGUUUAACUUGGUACGAAGUUUAAGAAAAGAAAUAAGAUUUUUUAAUCUUGUGAUUCUAAAUUAAAAUUAUGUCAAAUAUAUCAAAAUGUCCUUUAAUCUUGUGGUCUUAAAUAUGUCAUGUGAAAAGUUAAAGUUAAAGUAUUACCAAAAAAGAAAAGAGGUCAUUCUUUUUUAAACGAAAAGAAUAAUUAUUUGUAUUAUGUGUCUGUAUCUGUAUCAAAUCGAUAAAUGCAUUAUUCGUGUUUCAUAUAUAUAUUUCUAUAUGUAUAUCAAAUCAAUAAAUCAUGAUCCGUUUAUAUAUAUAUAUAUAUAAUUUUUAAAAACUUAUUUAUAAUUAAUUAACUUGCAUUUUCACGAACGCUUAAUUAUGAUAAAUUGAACAUAAUUUGAUGUGAAUGUUCGAUGGGACUUAGUAAUUCUAUAAAUAUAAGGUAAUAUUUACUUAUUCUAAUAUGCAAUGUCUUAUUUUCAAUAUUAAAAACUUCUCCUUUUUAUCAAAAGUUAGUUAUAAAAUGUUUGUAUAACUUCAAUCUAUACUUAUAUUAGUACACUACUAUUAAAAAAUAGCUAUAAACAAAUUAUGUAGCUAAAUUGGAAUGUUCAUUGUUAAUUCUAUAGAGAGAUGGAUCAAUGAUAUAUUAUAAUGAAUUAAUGACAAAGUUCAUUGCAAAUUUUAAUUUUUGUAAUGCACCGAUAACUUUAUUCUUCUGAAUAAUCACUACAAGUUAAUCAUCUCAUUUCAGUUGUUUCAGCAAUAUUCUUUAGUAUCUUUUCGCAGUGAAUUUUUUAGUGACUUGUCUACAGUAGCGGAAUAGUUUUUUUCUUUUAUAAUAGGCAAAAUGGUCUAGUGAAUUUUUAUACUUGUAUUUGUUUGUAUUAUAGACCCUGUACUUAUCGUUUUGUCAUCUAUACCCCUAAAUUCAUCUAAACACAAUUUUUUAUGUGAUAUAAUGCGUGUUGCACAAACAUAAACACGUUAAUAAAAAAAUUAAAAAAUAAUUCACAUAUAAAUAUUAAUAUGAAAAGAACAUUAAAAUUUAAAAGAUAAAUAAAUGAAAAGAAUAAAAGGAGGGGGGGGGGGGGAAGAGGAGUCAUCUUCUUCAAAUCCAUCCCUACCCCCCCCCCUCCACCCAGAUUGAUGCCUCCACCCCUACCGAAUUAUACCUAUUCCUCUGAUUUCCUUCUUUUUUUGGAUUCAUCCACCAUUUUCCUUGUUCUUCUUCUCAACACUCCACAUAUUGUCCCACCCCUAAAUAUAUUUUCAAGAGUUUAUUUUUUUUGCUACAAAUCAAUUUUGCUCAUAGCUUUUUUCAUUUUGUCAUAUUCAUUUUUUCAAAAUCUCGAUUCUAAGUGUACUUUUUUGUGAUUGCGGGUAUAAGAUAUUGAAAAAUGAAAAUUUUCAUUAAUAAGCUUGAUGAAUCAUCAAGAAUAACAAAUGGAUUUUUGUGAAUUUAUGACUAUAUUGAGCCGUCAUGGUGAAGACCAACAAAAUCAAACCAGCAAAGAUACAAUACAAUCAACACAAAAAAGAGAUGAGUAAAUUGAAGGAAAAAAAUAAAAGAGAAGAAAUUUGAAGAAAUUAUUUUUUUAAAAAAAAAAAGACAAGAGAGAAGUUCAAAUUUGUCCAACAAUGAUGUUGAGUAAAAAUAAAAAAGAAAAGAUGUCUUUAAAGAUAAAAAUCUGACUAUUUAAGGUGCCUCAUGCUCUAGUUUUAUGUGUAUCACGCUCCAUAUGAAGUCUUUCCACAUAGGAUGUCACAUCAAAAAUUGUAUUUAAAAUAUAUGUGUUUGGAUGAGUUCAAGGGUCUACGUGACAAAAGGGUAAGUAAGAAGGUUCAAAAUACAAACAGAUACAAAUACAAGGAUCUCCAUGAUCAUUUUGCCUUUAUACACUAUAAUAAAUGUAAUAUAUUGCUACGAAAUUAUUAACUAUGACAUAAAAUUUAUCACUAAUUGUUUACUUUUCGUUACGAAUUUUGCAUUUCACGUUUAAAUACAUAAGGAACACGUUUUUAGUGACGAAACACAAAAAUGUGUAGCUAAAUUUUGUCAACUAAAAUUUCCCAUCAAUAGAUAAGUUGGCUUUCCCAUCAAUAGAUAAGUUGGCGCCAUUUAUUGAGUACUAUUAGCUACAAAUCCAAAUUUAUUAGUGACACAUUAUUUUGUCACUAAUUGAAGUACCUAAUUCUAAUUUGUGACAAAUCAUUUUCUUUCGUAAAUUAAUUAAAUUUUGAACACAAAGUGUUUUCGUCACAAAAAAUUGUUAUAAAAUAACGACAAAUCACAAAUUGUAGUUAAUCAUUGUAAACUUUAACCACAAAAUAUAUAUUGCAUAAUUAUAAUCUUAUUUUUUGUCACUAAUAACUUGAAUAGUUAGUGACAGUUAUAUCAUUGUCUCUAUUUAACCUACAAUUUAGUCACAAUAUAUUUUUGUUAAAACAAAAGUAAAAUUUUCAAUCGACUACAACUUUAAUUUCGUAGUUGAAAAUUGUAAUUAUGGACUACGAAAAAUAAAGGCAAAGCUGCAUAUCUAAACAAAAAUAGCUAGUAUAUCUACUCAACUAAGUUAUAGUUUUAAAAGGGAAACCUACCUUAUUAAUUAGAUAUAAUUUUAAUAUUCAUAAUUAAAAAAAAAAAAAGAAGAUGAAAUAUAAUUUUAAUAUUCAAUAGAGAUUCAUUGAGUGAAAGUAAUUGUAGCUUUUAGACUAUAUUUUAUACGAAUUGUUAGAGGGAAAAGAAAAAAAACAAAACUUUAUUUUCAUUUAAUUUUUCCCUCCUCACCAAUUUUCCAUUUUUCACCCAGUAAAGUAAACCACGUACAAGAAACUGCCCACUCACUAUUUUUUUGAAACAAAAUAAUUAAAAUCUACCCACUCUCUUUGGUUAGCAUAAUGAACAAUUAUUUUACAAAGUUCUUAUUCAACUCCUCACAAAUAUUAUCUUAAUGGAAGAAUUCUUGAUAUUAUUUUAAUAAGUAGAUAAGUCUUUAUAGAUUCUUAUAGUAUAAUAGUUAAUGAUUUUAUAUUAAAUUAACUAUUUCUUAAACUCUAUUAUUUGUUUCACUAAUUAAUGUUAUGUUUAGAAUUAUGUUUUGUUUUAAUCAUGAUAUUAAAAAAUACUAAAAUCAUAGGGGUUUUUUUACACAGGUACAUAAAAGUGCAAAAAUUAUGCAAAAGACCACGAAUAGACGAGGAAACUAUAUAUUUUUAUAAUCUAUAAAUUUAUCAUUAUUCUCGUACCUUAUUAGACUUUUUUUUAUUUGAGGGAUUUCACAUAAAUUUGUACUCGAAUGUCACCCUGAAUAAUUAGAAAUGUAAUUAGUAGACAGUUUGGUAUGUAUUUGUGAUAUAUAUAUAUAUAUGUAUAUAUAUAUAAAAGCUAUGUACUUUUAAAAUUUGAAGUAUACAUGUAAUUAAUGGCAAACAAUUUGAAGUACAGAUUUAAAUAAUACUAUUAUAACACACUAAUUACAUACAAUUUUUCAUAAAUGAAUAAGUUAUCCUUCAAUAUUUAUCUAUAUUUAUGUCACGAAAACUGUCUUCUUUAUCCACAAAAAGUAAAUCAUAUUACUAAAAUUUUAGCUGUCACAAAUUAAUUUUAUUUAGUGAUAAAAAUAGUCUCAAAAAUCAAAAUUGCCUUCAUAUUGAUAGCAUAAUUAUAUUUUUCGCAAAAAAUUAACUUGAAUCAUCCAAUAAAGACAGCAUAUAGAGACAAAUUAUUCGCCACUAAUACCAUGUAUAUUGUGUUAGAACUAAUUUUCAACUACGAAAUUAUUAUCUUUUAGUGCAUGAUAAAACUCUUUUAACUACAAAUUAUGUAUAGAUUUAAAGACAAUCUAUAUCGUCAUUAAUUAACUUUGUAAUUGGUGACAAAUUAAAUUUGUCAGUAUUAAACGUAUUUUUAGUGACGAUAUGAUUUUUUAGCUAUAAAAUACUUACAUUUUUAAAUACAAACAAGUUUGUCAUAAAUGUGUUGUAUUUGGAGAUGAAUUUUAUUCUUGUAGUUAAUAGAAUCUUUUUAGUGACGAAACACUGAAUUGUCUUUAUAACUUUUACUGACCCACUUUUGGUGACGAUAGGCUUACGAAAUAUUUUUGGUCAUAAAAGUUUCUUCAAAACGAAAUAUAAUCUUUUAGUGACAAAAAAUAUUUAUAGGAUUGUUCAUACUCUAAAAUUUGCAAUACAACUUUUGUAAAAUUAUGUAUUGAAACGAAAUGGUCAAUUGGUGAAGAGAAGAAUUGGAUUGGAUUAUUGGGUAUCGAAUGGGUCAAUUGGUGAUUUUAUGGGCUCAGCCAAAAUUGGGUUCAACUCGUGGCUCAAAAUUAGCUCAACUUUUGGGUGUAAAUUGGCAUAAAUACCCGCAAAAAUCAAAUUAAUAAAGGUAAAUUACACAAGGGAAAUUUACAUAAAUAUACUACUAAUAAUUUUUUUUAUCAUUUAUAGCAAAUAAUAUUUUUUUCUAUUUAAUCAUUUUUAUUUAUUUAUAAUACAAGUUUAAUAUAUAUUACAAAGAACAAUUUAUCAUUUACAUAUAAUACAAGUUUUAAUGAUAGUUAAUGCAUUUAUCACACAUUUUAAUACACUUAAUACAAUGUGUCUAAUUUUUACCAAACAAACAUAAUAUAUUUUAAAAAACAAUUAUAAUUCAUAUAAAUUACAUACAUAAUUCAAUUUUAAUACAUAUUGCAGAUUUAACAUAUUAUUGCUAUAAAUAAUAAUAAAUAAAAAGUAUAGCUAAAAUCUGUAAUUAUUUAUUAAAAUGUACCAAUUUAUGUAAUUUUUCCAUUACAUAAAUCCCAUACUUUUAAUAUGAAAUUAUAAUCUAUCCUUAAUAAGUUUUUAAUACAUUAAUUCCUCAAAAAUUAAAAAAUUCGGAUACAAUAAUUGAAGCUCAAAUACAUUAAUAUGUAGCUCAAAUACAUUAAUAUGUAGCUCAGAUACAUUAAAAACUAGCUCGGAUACAUUAAACAUUGACUCAGAUACAUUAAAUAUUGGCUCGGAUACAUUAAUAUAUAACUCUAAUACAUUUAAAGAAAUAACUAAUUUUGAAGAUUUUUAAAAAUAAGUGGGGAUAAUGAAAAUAAGUGAAACAAAAGGAGUGUAUUUCUGUAAUUUCCCCAAUUAAUUAUACUUGACCAUUCUUUACCUUUAUGUCCAUUGAAUAGAAAAUUUACACAAAUUUCAUAGUAUUAAGAGUUAAUUAAAUUUUAUCUUAAUUUUUUCUAAAUUACAAAAAAAAUCUUAAAUUUGAUGAAAUCUAGAUACAUUACAUUCCAAAAUGGUCCCUAUACAUCGCGUUUCGAUUUUGGAUACAUUCCAAAAUGAUCCUGAUAUAUCACGUCUCAAUUUUAGAUACAUCACUCAACGUCCCUAUACAUCAUGUAAAGUAAUAUAUCUAAGAAUAUGAGAGAGUAGAGAUUUUUAUAAUUUUUUCAAAUGAUAAUAUUUUUUAAAAAAAUAUGGUAAAAUAAGUUAUGCAUUUAGAUAAUUUUUUCAUAAACUAAUUACCCUUUCUACCAUUGUACGUACGUUUUGCUUUAUGAAUAUUUUAAUUCAUAAUAUUGAUUAUUAGAUAUAUCUAAAGAAAAGAGAGAAAAAAAGGGAGGAGAUUAGGACGCUAACAUGGAUGCCAAGUAGGAAAAAAGUGGAAUAUGUAAGCACAAAUCCUAAUUAAAGAAAGAAGACGUGUGAAAUUUAACAUAUAUAUAAUAGGGAAAAUUGUAUAUAAUAGCAAAUUAAUAACCUAAAUUAAAUGUAAUAGCUAGGGUUUGAUUUAAUUGUGCUCCAUAGCAAACAUUAGCUAAAAUUUGCCAGCGUCUCUCUCCCAAAAAUCUCGCUCGCCUCUCUCGCUUUAUACACAGAAGUGUAUAAUUAUAUUUCUGUUUUGUAUAAAGCGAGAGAAAAUUGUAAUAUACACAUGCAAAAAUGUAUCUUCAUGUUAUACACUUAAUUAUAUAAUUUACAAACAUUUUACUUCAAAUAUUGCAGAGAAAAAGGCCAACGAAUUAUACAGUUGCGAAUUAUACAAUUGCAGUGAAAUACAAUUUUCUCUAGCUUUAUACAACAGAAGUGUAUAUAUUGUGUUUCUAUUUUUGUAUAAAGCGAGAAAACAUAUAUCUUCUUGCUAUACACUUAUAAUUAUGCAAUAUACAUACAUUUUAAUUUGAUUCAACGGUAUGCAAAACAAAUUAUACAAUUGCAGUGAAAUAGGCCAGCAAAUUAUACAAUUUAGGCCAGCGAAUUAUACAAUUAUAUAUGUAUAGCAAAUUAUACAGUUUUAUGUUUGCUAUGGAGCGCAACUAUGCAAAGUUUGUUAUAACAUACAAAUAUAAAUUUUUUGUUUGCUAUAUGUGAAAGUUGCCCUAUAUAAUAACAAGUUUUAAAAAAUAACAUUAUAAAAUUAAAAUUUUGAAUCCAAUCUUUGUGAUAAGCACUAAUAACUUCAUCAGUUAUGACAAUCACAUUGAACCCUCCACUCAACUCCUACAAUGAAUUAAUUACUAAUAUUUUCUAAAAUCCUAUUUGUCUUUAUAUGAGGAAGCCACGUGUAUUAUUAUAUACUCUUUGCGUAGAGGAAGACAUUUAUAUAUACGUAGACAUAUCAUAAUGCAUGGAAUGUAAAGUUACGUUAGGAGAGUAAUAUCCUUGAAGCAACAUAACUAAUAUCGUAACCAUAGCAAUAUUUCCUUAAAUUUGGCUAAACAUAAUAUUAUGUCAUAUGUUUCAUCCUUCUCUUACUUUGCUUGCAACUUUCUUUAUUCAUACGUGCCUAUUAACCAUGCAUUUUCUACUACCUUUAUUUAAAAAAAGAUUUAAAUUAUAUAUUGUGCCUUUCGAUUAACAGAAUUUAAAAAGAGAUUAGUGGAAGGAAGGGGGGUAAAUAAUUGCUCGUUGAGUUAAAUUGCUAAAGUAAAUUUUCUUGUCGAAUUCAAGAGAGAUUUUUAUGUAUUAUAAUAAUAAGUGGAAUUUAUUCUACUUUUAAAAUUAUUCUACAUGUAUAUGACUUAGUGAUUUUGCACGAUUAAACACGAGAAAUAAAUAUCAAUAAGACAUUGAAAAAACAAAGAUAAGAUAAGAUAUAAGAGCGAUUAGACAUAAAUUAAAAAAAAAAAAGAAGAGAAAUAUAAAGUAAAGAGAAAAGGAAGACGCAAUAAACGAACCUUUAUAUGAUUGUAUGUAUAUAAUUACAUACGUUGCUUAAUAAACUUAAUUUUGUUACGCAUAUAUAUCAUCGACCAAGUAAAUAGUUUUAACGUCUCCGUCUCAAUUUAUGUAAUGUUAACUUGACAUAACAUUUAAUAAUGUAAGAAAAACUUUUGAAACUUCUGAUAUAUAACAACUCAUAUAUAAAUGUUUGAAUGAUUAUAAAUAAAUAAUUAUAUAAAGGAUAAAUGAACAUUUUACAGUUAAAUUAUUAUAAAAUAUAAAAAACGUAUCAUUUUUGUUUAGAAGGAAUAAAAAAAGACGGUCUUUGUGACAAAUUUUAAAGUGACAGAAAAAUAAAUUGCAAUCACAAUAAAAUAAGAAAAAUUAACUUUUUUGAUAAAUAUUGCGGAUACAAUUUUAUUCCUUUCUUGAUUCUACUCUCCUAAGAUUUAUCCAUCGAGAGCCGUUAGUGGCGUAUUUCUUAAAUUAGAAUGAUUUAGAUUUGACCUCUAUAUGAAUAUUCCAUACGUUUUGUGGAAUAUUUGAAAUAUCUUUUAAGGGAAUUUAAUAUUCUUCAUAUAGGCAUGAAGUAGAUUUAGUGUUGAGUAGCCUCUAAGAAUUCUAAUUGAAAUUGAACACAUUUUCAAGAAUCUUAAUUCAAAUUGCAUAAAUCUCAUAAAAUUUUAAUAUCUACGGAUCGAAAAAAGUAAUACUUUUGUUAGAUAAUAAAUUAGGAAAAGGCAUAUAACAACCACCAAAUAUAUCAUAUCAUAUAUAUCAUCAUCUAUAAGAAAUUAAAGAUGUCACUUAUUAGCCUUAAAGUUAUCACAAGUUUUUGAUUUCAUUCAGAUUAAAUGAAUGCAUGUCAUAAAAAAGGGAUAACGUAAGAUAUCACCCUUAAUUAAAUUUUAAAACUGUAUAUCUUUAUUGCAAGUGGGGCUUUAAAAAGGGUACUGCUCAUUACAAUUAACAAUUGGACUUGCCAAUUUUUUUAGUACCCUUAAUAAUUCUCUUAUCUAUUUUAAGGUUUUAGAUAAGAAACAUGACUCUUAAAAUUUCUUGAUUAAUUUCUAACUAGCUUGAAGGAUUGAAGAUGAUGGAAGGAGAUAUAACUAUCAAAGGUAAUUACGAAUAUUUAUGAGUUAAUUUUGUAUAAGAUUUAAUUAAUUAUAUAUCUUGAUCUUCAAUAAAGUGAAUUUAUUUUAUUUUGCCAGAUAAGAAGAAAAUGACAAGAGACACACAAAUAAGCCUAAAUGUAAAUGAUGAAUAUCUUGGAGCAUUAAGAACAAAAUCAUAUGAUGAUUUCUUUACAAAAGCUCAAUUACUUGUAAAUGAAGCAUCAUCUCCUAAUUCUCAAUUAUGUACUUUCUCAAAAAUCCUCCUUGAUCCAAGCCAAGAAAUAAUUACAUCAAUUCUUGAAACAACUAUUUUUCCAACCAAAAAAUACAAUCUCAAAUCCCUUCUUACAAAUUACUUUAACAUAAGCGCGGACGCAUCAAAGUUCUGCGGUCGAAUCCUUAAAAGCAUUAGCCAAAUUCAAUCUCACUAUGGUUUUAUCGAUCAAGUCCUUGACUCGAUGGAUAAUUUUUCCAAUUUUGACCAACUUGGUUACCUAGUACUUGAGCUACGCACUUUUAUCAUUCACAACAAUCCCUUUUCUGACCUUAAAAAACAAGAUUUUACGCGAAUUAACGAUGAAUAUUCAUCGGUGUUACAAUGUUUGAAGUCUAAGAAAAAAAGUGUGGUUAGGAAAAUCAAAUUGAUCAAAUGUGUUCACAAGACUUCAGGGGUAUGUGUGACAAUGGCUUGUGGAGUAGUUGUUGUGGCAGCAUUGGUGCUAGCAGCACAUACAUUUGCAGCAAUAGUUAUGGGACCGGUGAUUUUAACGCUACCUUUAAAGCCAUUUAAGAAAAAAAUUAUGAGUUUUCGAUACUUGAAAUGUGGAUUUUUAAGAAAAGUUGGAGAUCAACUUGACGUUGCGACGAAAGGUGCAUAUAUUUUGAAUAGAGAUUUUGACAUGAUAUCUAGGCUUGUGGAUAGGCUUCAUGAUGAAAUUGAUCAUAAUAAGGAAAUGAUGCAAUUGUGUUUGGAUAAAAGGGAAGAUAGAUUUUCAUUGGAAGUGUUGAAGGAGUUGAAGAAGAGUAAUAUUGGAUUCAAGAAACAAGUGGAGGAACUUGAAGAACAUGUUUAUUUAUGUCUUUUAACGAUUAAUCGUGCAAGAGCUUUGGUAAUUAAGGAAGUUGCAAAAUCAUGUGGGGAUAAAAGUCAAUGUAGUGCCCAAUGAAAGGCUUGUAUAUGAUGAUAUUAUUCUUUGAUUAAAUUUGUAAAUAUGAGUUAUUCAUGUAAAUAGCUUCUUCAAUGAAAAAAAGAAAAGAGAAAGAAACAAAUAAUACAAGUUACACUCAUGGGCGGAUCCACGUUGAGUCCAGGGUGUUCGCUCGGCAAAAAAAAAAAAAUACACUAUAUAUAUAAGGUAAAUUUUCUAUAUUUUUGUAGAUACAUAUAUUUUGAACCUCCUCAAUAACAAAUAAAAAUAGAUGACUCAAUGUUAAGACACGUGAAUAUUAAGAUGCAUGCCCAAUGUUUGAAUCCCUCAACAACAUCUAUUUAUUUUCCAUUAUAGUUUCAGUUUAUUUUUGUUUUAAAAAAUCAAUUUUGUUUUUCAAGCAUUUUUUAUUUUAAAAACGUGUCAAAAGUGUGAUUUUAAAUCCAAAAAAGUUCAAAGGGCUCAUUUCGAAAAACUUAUUUACACGUUUAUAUUUUUAAAGUUACAUUUUGUAUCUAGCACAUAAAGAUGCAUGUAUUAUAUAUCUAUUUAAAAAUUGAAAUGUAACCGAAACACACUAAUCUGGGAGUAAAUCACGUCUCGAACCAAAUGAUUUAUCAUAUUCAAAAUUAGAAUAUAAGUGGAAUGCACAAAUCUAGGAGUAAAUCACACGUCUAACGAUAUAUGUCAUUUCCCUAGUCCAAAAACACUUCAAUUUUUUCCAAUAAUUUUUCCAUCAUUUCGAGUAUUAGGUAGGUUUCCAUGGUUUCUUCCUUAUAAUUCUUCACUAAUUACUAAUUGUGUGUGUCUGUUAAUUGAAAUUUGUUGCAUUUGAGAGUCACAACAACUAUCAUUGUGUUAUUGAGACAUUCAAAACUUUACAAAUGCAUAAUAGUUACUUGAUAGAAUUAACAUAUACGUGAAUCAAAUACACAUUAGAUAUAUGAAUAUGCAACUCAAAUAAAUAUUCAAAUACAUGUCAAAUACACCACAAGUACAUGUUAAAUAUAUACUCAGAUACAUGACAUAUACAUAGUAAAACAAUAAAUACACGAACACACAUACAUAAAAAAAGUUAUAACGUUCAUAUCUCUAAUACAUUCUCAGAUACAUCAUUGGUACAAUUCAUACACAAAGUGGAUACACCACAAAAUAUCAGAUUAUCUGAGUUAGUAAAAGAAGAUAUUCCAAGAAUUAGAACACAAUCCCAACGACACAUCUGAAAUUCGACCCAGGACCUGCCCCCGAUUUUUGACUCGACAUUUGAAUUGACACUAGAUAUCCGACUCAGGACUGGAACUCGACGUCUAAACUUGAACAUGAUCCAUCAAUUCGAAUUUUAACUUCGAUAUUCUAAUCAAAACGCGACUUACAAAUCAAAAGUUGCCUCCCACAACCAAUAAACCGAAUAUUUGACUUUCAAAUCAGAAUUUCAACCCUAAAUUUCGAAUCAAAACAGCAAAGGCAACUCGGGGCCUAACCGGGGGCUAAAUGGGGGGCCGGAAUAGGGUAAAAUAAAAAAAUUAAAGUUUUGAAAUUUGGAAAUAUUUGCAAAAAUAACACUUUUAAAUCAUUAUUUUUAGAGGGGGGGGGGGGGUUGACAGGGGAUGGAGUAGUGUAAGAUAAAAAAAUAAUAAUAAAUAUACACAUUAAAAAACAAACUUUAAUUAUUUAUUUUUUGGGAGGGGAGAUGAUAGGUUGUAAGGAUAGGCGUGGACCAAAGAAAAUAAAAAAAUUAAUUAUUUUUAUAAAAAAAUAACUCUAUAAUUUUUUCAUGGGAAGGGGGAUAAAGGGUAGGGUUGAACAGGGUAAAAAAAUCAUCUAAUUUGAACUAUUUUUCAAAAAUAAAAUUUUCAAGUAUUUAAUUUUUUUGUUUGGGGGAGGGGGGUGGUUUGGGUGUGGGGUGGUGGUUUGGGUUGUGUGUGGCGGGAGGGGGGGGGGUUGAGGGUUGGACAAACUAAAGUGACUUUUUUAAAAGAAACUUUUAGAUAAACUUAAACUACUUAGUUAUUCAUCAUAGCUAUAGUUUGCUAUAAUUAUCACUCGCGACUAAUGUAUACUAUAGUUUGCUAUAAUUACCAUUCGCGACUAAUAUUAAACAUUAAUUAUGUGGCUGAUUUCAGAUUUGUAUAAUUAGUCACAUUUGUAUAUGUAUAAUUCGCUAGAAUAUACAAAUACAUAUGUAUAAUAUACAAUUAUUUAACCAAUAUAUAUAAAAUUCACCUCUCUCCCACUCUCAGUCUUCUCUCCUCCCUCUUCCAAUCUCGCUCCCCGCUCUUUUCUCUCCCAAUCUUGCUUGCUUUUUAUACAAAUGCAUAUGUAUAAUAUACAAUUAUCUAACCAAUAUACAUAUACAAUUCACCUCUCUCCACUCUCUGCCCUCUCUCCUCCCUCUCUCAGUCUCGCUCGCCUCUCUCCUCUCUCUCUCAAUUUCACUCGCCUCUCUCCUCUCUCUCUCAAUUUCGCUUUCCAUAUGUACAAAUAAAUAUGUAUAAUAUACAAUUAUCUAACCAACAUAUAUUUACAAUUCACUUCUCUCCCACUUUUUGUCCUCUUUCUCUCCUCUCUUUCCUAGUCUCACUCGCCUCUCUCCUCCCUAUAACAUGUGGCUACGAAUUGUAAUUAUCAAACUAUAUUUAUGGUGAAUAAUUAAUCUAUUUUUAAUGGCUAUAUGUCAAAGUUUCCUAAUAAAAUAACCAAUUUUCCAAAGAGAAAAACAAAAUAAUAAUUGAAGAUGUAAGAACAUGAAAGGAUUUGGUAGGAUGUUAGGGUGUUUAAUCGAAUCUUUUGUGAAAAAUUACACAGCACAACAUAUAAGAUGGUUCUUAUUUUAAUUUCAUAUAUAUAUAUAUAUAUAUAUAUAUAUAUAUAUAUAUAUAUAUAUAUAUAUAUAUAUAUAUAUAUAGCUAGGAUGUUAGGGUUUUUAAUCAAAUUUUUUUGUGAAAAAUUACACAGCACAAGCACAACAUAUAAGAUAGUUUUUAUUUUAAUUUCAUAUAUAUAGAGUAUAAACGUUUUAAUUUUUUUACAAAAAUAGUAUAAACGUACUUUAUGGUAACGUUUUAGGCUUUAUUUGAUUUAAAAAAAAUUAACGUCGUUAACUUAAUAAACGUUACUGGCGGUAACGAUUUUAUGUUAAAACGUGACAUGACCCAUCCCUUUCACUAAACGACGUCACUUUGUUAUUAACUUAAAACUGAAAGGCUAAAUCUGCUAAGCAAUUCUAAUUUCCUAAGAUAUCUAAAAGGCUAAACCCUUUCACCCCUUUCACCCUUUCACUGUAAAAAAAAAUUGUCAGCCGCCAUUGUCACUUUCUAAGCUCCAUAAUUCCAUUUUCGAUCGGUAAUUUGUGGACGAAGAGGAGGCGUGAAAGAACAAAAACACAGGAAGACAAUGAAUGGAUUAAAAUUUCAUUUCGUGGAUAAACGGUAGUGGUAGUUUUCCAAAUCAAUUUUGGGGAUUUCUUGUUAUAUCGAGUUUCACGAUAAAUUGCGGCUAUCAAUCUUCUGGAAAGCUUGGAAUCAAGUUACUUUCCUGUGUUAGAGCCUUGAGGUAUGUUUUUUUUCCUUACAAACUAGUAGAUGGAAUGCUUGAAUUUUAGAAUUUCUAUCUUCUCGUAUUUAUAUCAUUUUGGUUAUAUAGAAUAAUCAUUCAAGAAAUUCUAAUAUGCAUGUUCUGUUUUUAUUUUGAAUUCAUGUAUCUUGUUGAUGCAAAGAGAAACAAUGAAAAGAAAAAUAAAGAAAAAAAAUGUUCACGUGAAAAUGGAAGGAAGACUAUAAUAGGUUGACCUGCAACGCGCUUCUACUAAAAUUGAGUUUAUUUUUCAAUAUUUUAAUAAAACAUUUGGUGACAGUACAUUACUUUGAUUUGGUUGUUAUAUUUUGGACUAACAAUUAUAUUUAAUUUACUUUCAUAUGGAUUUUUCAGUUUAAUAGAUACGUAUAUGACUGGUUAUAGUGCAUAUCGAUUGGAUCCCGGUCCACUUGAACCAUCGGUACUAACUCAACAACUUACCCAUAGGUCACGGGAUAUAUGGAAUGGAAGUGUUAAUAUGAUUUUAAAUACGAGGAGGUGUGAUGGAAAAUUUUGGGACCUCGUAAAGAAAUAUCCCAUUCAUCCACGAGUCUUAAAAAUGAUUGAAUUAUCAGGACUAUAUGGUGUUUAUAGAUCAAAUCGACCUUCUAUUGAUCGUAGCUUGAUCACUUCACUAGUAGAGAGAUGGCGUCCCGAGACUCAUACAUUUCACUUUAGAACGGGUGAGGCGACAAUCACCUUGCAAGAUGUAGAAGUGUUGUAUGGCUUACCUGUGAAUGGUGAUCCAGUACUUGGUGAUGAGUCGAUAAGGACCAUAGGGGAUUGGCAAAAUAUUUGUCAAAGAUUGUUAUGUUUUAUUCCACGUCCUCAAGACUUCAACCGUAGUAGCCUCAAGGUAACUGCACUUAAUGCACAUAUGCUCGAGCAACUACAGUUACCUGACUUGACAACACAAUUGUUGAAAUGAUGGUUGAACAAUCGAUUCUACAAAAUGAGGUUGAUUGAUAGUUGUAAGGCCAUAAUUUUGAGCCAACAAAUUCAUGUGAUAACCAUGAUGACCACUAACUUGAAAUGCAACAUUUUGGUCUGUCGAUACAGUCUUUACAUACAUCUCCAAAACAUUUAUAUCAAUCUUAUCCACAAAUUUUUGAGGUAAGAAAAGAAAUUGUAACAAAGAUUGGUCAUUCUCAAUUUUAAACUCAAUGAACCUUGUAUUGUUACCUUGAAUUGAACAUGGAUAUUUUCCAGAAAUAUCCAUAUGAAUAUUUUCACUAUAUGUUCCCAUUUUCUCAUGCAACAAUCCAACCAAUUCAACAUAGGUAGUUGAAGUCGACAUGCUAAUAAUCGUUCUAGCACAUUCAGUAUACCUAAAUCCGUUCAUAUCCGUAAUUAUUUCUCCACCCCAAUACAAAGCAACCAUCACAUUAUGUUCAAAACUCGUCAUCUUAAUCCUACACAUAAAGAUAAAAUAUUUUUUAAAACAAUAUUAUUAAAUUAGAAAGAUAAUUUUAAAGCUAUAAUAAGAACAUAACAAAGGAUAAACUUCACUUAUUUAAUUCAUACCUAAUGAAAUUUUCUAAAUAUUAUUUUUAAAAUGGACCACACAAGGAAAAAUUUUGCUGAAUUAUAUUUGAACAUGCAAAAUAUUACAACAACAUUUAUUUAUAGUCACUUUGGUCAGUUUGAAAAAUGGAGGAAUAUGACUUUAACAGAGUGUUGUAAUUGAUAGCAACGUUUUUAAGGUAAAACGUCACUAUGAGUAACGUUUUAUAGCUAAAUAUAUUCUAAAUUUGCAGAAGUAGAAGGCCCGUGAUUGGAUAAGAAACGGGACUCAAAGUAACAUUUUAAGUGUAAAACGUUACUCAAAGUAACGUUUUACAGUUGAAUGAUUUGACUCCGCCUUUGCAGGAUUGGAGUCAGUGGCCCGUGAUUGGAUUCUCCAAAAACGUACUCUUGAGUAACGUUUUACACCUAAAACGUUACUCACAGUUACGUUUAUGCAUUUAACGUCGCCAACCCGUUAACUCUUUGUCCGUUGAAUUUUUAUAAUGAAAAUAUUCUAAAACGUUACCAUAAAAUACGUUUAUACUAGUUUUGUGAAAAAAGUUAAAAACGUUUAUUUUGGUGAAUUGGUUUUAAAAAUAGCUCAUUUUGAUCAACAGAUACGUGUACACAUCAGAUAUAUAAAUAAACAACUCAACUAUAAGUAUAGGUUAUGUACAUGCUCAGAUACAUGACAUAUGCAUAGUAAAAUCAGCAAAUACACGAACACAAAUAUAUAUAAGUUAUAACGUGUAUAUCUCUAAUACAUUCUCAAAUACAUCAUUGUUACAACUCAUAUACAAAGUGGAUACACCACAAAAUAUACCAGAUACAUUUCCCAGAUUACGUAACUUAGUAAAAGACGUUAUUUUAAGCUUUCUUGAUUGUUUAUGUUAAUUUUUUGAAUAAUUUUUUUUUUUUUUGUAACGCUCUGAUUUUUAUUCAAAUAUUGGGGCGGGGGGUUAAGUGCGUAGAUACAUGUGGACUCUAUCUUCAAAUUUGAUAAAAUCAUUAAAUACUGGUAUGAAGGAAGAAUGUUUUCUCGAAAAGCAUUUAACUGGAUUUUUUUUAUUUUAGUUUGUGAAUAAAUUUUUUUUUCAGAAUUCCUUUUAGUAUUUCAUUUGUGAAUUAAAAACAUUUUUAAUCGAAUAUUUUUUUACUAGAGAGUAGAAAAUAAUUUUUGAUCUGAUAAACUAUCUCAACAAUCAAUUUAGGACAUGACCUCGAUAAGUGAACUAGGACAUAAUCCCGACGACACAUCUGAAAUUCAACCCAGGACAAAAUCAUGACUUUCUAUUCGAGACCCGACAUACAAAUUGAGACUAAAUAUCCGAUCUAGGACCUGAUCCCAACACCCGUAUUUGAACAUGAUCCAUCAAUAUAAUUUCGACUUCGAUACUUGAAUCAAGACCUAAUUUACGAAUCAGGAUCGAACCCCUACAACCAACAAUAGAUGCGAGACUAAAGAUUCAACUUUCAAAUCAUAAUUUCGACCCCAACUUUUGAACAGGGCCAACCACACAACACUCGAAACCUAACUUUCAUAUUGAAAUUUAUUUUAUUUUCUUUUUAAAUAAUCUUAAAUUUCUUUAUGUGUGAGACAACUGAAAAUAUUUUCAGAAAAUAAACUUUAAUUUUUUCUUGGGGUGGGGGAAUAAUAGGAAAAAACAAAAAUUUAAAACUUGAAAAUAUUUUUAAAAAUAAACUUUUAAAUCAUAGUUUUCAAGGGGGGUGGGGUGGUAGGGGUAGAGGUGAGGUAGGGCAGGGUAGAAGGAUAAAAUAUUUUAUUUUUAAAAAAAUUAAUUAUUUAUUUAUUGGGAGGAGUGGUAGUUGGAAUAGGUGUGGGCUAAAGAAGAUGAAAAUUUAAUUAUUUUUGUUCAAAAAUAAAUUUUUAAUUUUUUGUGGGAAGCGGGGUAGGGGUAGUCAGUGUUGAGCGGGGUAAAAGAAUUGAAAAUAUUUAAAAUUAAAUUGUUUUCAAAAAUAAAAUUAUAAGUUGUUAUUUUUUUUUUUGUUGGGGAGAGGGCUACUUUGGGUGAAGGGACAGAAGUAGGAAUAAAAUAAUUUUUUUUUUGAAUGGGGAGGGUCGGGGCACGAAGAGAGGUUAGAAAAAAAAUUAUAAUUUAAAAAAUAAAUUAAUAGGAAAUAUUUUUUAAAAUAUUUAAUUCAAUUAAAUAUUUUCUAAAAUGAAAAGUUAAAUGAAUAAAGUAAAAAUAUUUGUAGAAAAUAAGAAAGAAAAAGUCUAAUAUAAAUUUAUUUUUAGAGAAAAGUUUAGAUAGAUUAGAACCAAAAGAGCAUUGUAGUCUUUAAUCCUAAUCGUGCCAAUACAAGACAAAAAGGUGUCACUGCCAAAUAGCAACACUGUAUAGAGUAAAAUAAUCAAAAAAAAUUAAUAAUUAAUCUUCCAAAGAGAGAGAAACACAACAAUAAUCGAAGAUGUAAUUACAAAAAAGGAUCCGGAAGAUUGUUAGGGUGUUUAAUCGAAUAUUUUGUGAAAAAAAUACACAUUACACAACAAAACAUAUAAGACAGUUUUUAUUUUAAUUUCUCUCAUAUUUAUAUAUAUAAUAUAAAUUUAGAGUUUUGUACGUAUAAGAUUAUAUAUUGACUUACUGAUUUCGGAACAAAACUUUACCUUCAAAUUCAAACUUUAUAUAUGAUACUCCAGUGCUUCAUUUGUUUAAAAAUGAUUAUCUAAUUUGAUUUGGAACGAAGUAUAAGAAAAGAAAAAUAAUGUUUUUAAUUUUGUGAUUUUAAAUAAAGUUAUAUAAAAUGUACCAAAAUUCUCUUUAAUCUAAUGGUUUUAAACAAGUGACGUGAAAAGCUUUUUUUAAAAAAAUCAUUCUUUUUUAAACAAAUUAAAAAAAAUAAAGACAUCCUUUUUAAAACAAACGAAGUAAUAUUUUUUUAAAUAUUUUAACGAAAACUCUAGAUCUAUAAUUCAUUGGGGAUAAUUAAUAAUGUACUCUCUACCACGUGCACAGUCACAUCAAAUCAAAUUAAAAAAACACAUUAAAGUCUAGAUAACAGAUCAUCCACUGCUCAAUAAUGGCUACAUGUUUUUUCCAAAAAUUGCUCUUUGUCAAUUUGUGUCCACUUCUUCAGAAAACAUAAAAAAAAAAAAAAAUACAUUUUAAAAAGUUUCUUCUGGGAAUAUUACAAAUAUAAAGUUCUUUGCCAAAAUAUGUAUAUUUUUUUUUUAUAAAAAAAAAACUCAAAAUCUACUCUGUAACCUUAUAGCCAUUGACUCAAAACAGAAUCAUCACUUUGAAUAUUCUACUACCCAUCAACUAACGAACUAAUCAUAUUCCUAUUAUGCGAUAUAAUUUAAUAUAAUUAUAAUUUUAAAAUAAUUUAAAAAUAGUUAUUUUAUUGUAAAUUGUUUUAUUAAAAAUAAAAUAAAUUAAAUAUUAAUUUUUUUUGAAUAAAUUAAAAAAUGAAUAAUAUAAAUUGAGCUAGAGAUAUAAUAGAGUAUAAUUAUAUUUCGAUUUCACGAUGGCAUGUCAGGAUUCUGACAAGUGCCAACUGGAACAUAAUUCUAUUAAAUUGCUGUCAAACAUGUGCAUUAUAAUUGGUCAUUGGUUACUAUAUUAAAAUUAAAAAAAUUAUUUUCUUUUCCUAUAUUUUUUUUAAUUAAAAAAAUUCAGUUUUGAUUGAAUUAAAACAAUAGAAUCAAUGAUUUCAUUAUUUUUCACCAGCAAACAAUUGUUUUUUUUUACUACUAAUAAAAAUGUUUCAUUUCCAUCUUUAUUGCCUUCUUAAUAAAUUAAAUAAGAAUUAACUAACAAGGAUGCUAGGCACGAAGAAAAAUAAAUAUUUUUAAUUUAUUUUAAAUAUAUAAUCUAGUAAACUUUACGAGGAUGAAAUGGACCAGGAGUGAGAGUUCAAGCUCAUAGGUUGAGCUGCAUAUAUAGGGGAAUACAAAAUCGAAUUGAAUCGUAAAUUAAGAAAAAUUUUGACUAUUAGCUUGAAUUUUGGUGUGACUUGAUUUGAUAUUGAAAAAAAAUUCUACUAUAUUUGGGUUGAUUUGGUUUUAACUAAAAAACAACUUGAGAUUAUAUUGAUAAUUUUAAAAAUUUAUUUUAUACAUAGAAAUAUUUACUUUAAUAUAAUUUUUAAAUAUUUCUUAUAAUUUUCACAGUUUUUAUCUUUUAAUAUAUUAUUUUAAGUUUGAAACUUAAAAUAAUGAUUCAACAAAGAUAUAGUCCAUAGAUGUUAGUAAUUAUAAUAAAGCUUAAAUCAAAAUCAAAUUAAUAUUAGUGCAAAAAAGAAAAUUUAUUUUAAAAAAAUGACAAUAGUAUUUAAUAUUUAUUAUUUAGUUUUACAUUGGUUUAGACGAUUAAAAUACAUAAUCCAAUUUUAAUUUCUUUUAAUAUUUAGUUAUAUAACUAAUACUUACUAAACUUAUUUUAGCGUGAUUUAAUACUUUCGAAUUAUGAUCAUUUUCAUUAUGACUUACUAAUUUGCAAUAUUUGUUUAACGCGAAUUCAUUAUUAUUUUUUGUUGUUGGAUAUUUUAGUGUCGUUAAUCAUUUCAUAUUUUGUGUUAUUUUUCUUAAGAAACAGCUUAAAUAGUUGUAUUUUGGUAGUACUAAAAAAGUAUUUAAAGUACAAGUUAAUAAUAUGUUUAUAUGAAAACUUUAGCGAAAAAACUCAAAUAUCUGAAAAACCUAAAAAAUUUCGAAAAAACUUGAGGUUGAAAAACUCAAGUUUCAUUGAUUUAGUUUAUAAAUUUUAAAAUCCGACAUAAAUAAUUUGAUUUGAUAUUUAAAAACCCAAAUCAAACUGACCAUGUGCACGCCUAACUGGAUGUGAGUAGGAAGGAACAAGAUACUAAGUAAUAAACUUGGAAUGUCAUUUAUAUAACUUAUGUUUUAUGUUGCCAUAACAAUAUUUUCCUGACUUUCAAGUAAACUUAUUCUCUCUAUUUCAUAUUAAUCGAAUUUGUGGGCAAUAUACUCUUAUUAAAAUAAAAAUCAUUCAAAAACAUAAUUUAAAUCAUAUUUUUGGUUAUAAAAUUUAAUUUAUGUCCUAAAUAAUUUGAUUAUAGCAAAAGGAUAAAUAAUUUGAAACAUCCAUCUUCGAAGACUUCAACUAUAAACAUUUCUAUAACUGAACAAUGAAAUAAUUUAAAAACUAAUAUAAAAGGGAGAGAGAGACUAUUUUGUAAGAAAUAUUAUGCAAAAGAAUACACCCUUUUUAAGUCUUGGAUUGAGCAGAAAAGAAGACUUUUUUCAUCAGUUUUUCAAGAAUAUUUAGUGUGAAGUGAUUAGCAUUCUCUUUGAUAAUCUUAAUGAGUAAGUGUUCCUCUACAACCCAACAAAGGAAUGAAGCUUCUUUUAUCAAAAACUGCACACUAUCUUGGUGUUUUUUUUUUCUAGCUUCCCUCCAUUUUCAUCCAUAAGAAAACCAAUUAUUGAUGAUAAUAAUCUCCAACUUUGAAUGAGUUUUUUCAAUCUAUAAGACGAAAAUGAUAAAGUUGCUUUCUUGGUAAUUACAUGUUGGACACCUGGUAGUUGAGUAUUCACUUUCUUUAAUGAUUGAAUCGCCAAAAGGAUUAGUCUUUUUGGUAUCUUCUGUUAUGUGGGGUUUUCCUUUUAUGCAACUUCUUAAACAUAUUUGUUGUUUGUAGUGUUCCUGGUGUGCUCUAUUUGAUAAUAUGAUGUAUUUUGUGAGUUUCCUGUAGAUGUUGUUAUAAUUACUAUUCUUUUUGAAGUUUGUGCUGAUUUUAUACAAUGCGAUGCUGUUGACUGUUUGGUUGUGUUUCUUUCUUCUUUCUAAUUGGUUGUUGCAGAGGGUAGAUUAGCUUUUAACAUUGCUUGUGGUGUAGUUUGGAAAGUUUUAGCUUUAAAUCAAGAUUUGUUUUUUCAUUGUGGGGUUGCUGAAUUUUGGUGAAUGGAAGUGUUCUGCAUUUUGGGGUUGCUGAUAUUUUCUCAUUUCUUAGCAGGUUUUGAUGCACAGGAUUGUUUAUGAAUUCUUUGGUUGCUGAAUUUGCAAGUUUUUUAUGUUAGUUGCUGAAUCUGGAGUUUAGUUGAAUUUGAGUUCUCUUACAGUUGUUUGCGAAGCUUGAAAUUUUAGAAGAGUAGGUGUUCAGUUUGGUGAAUUUAAGUGGUUUUGGAGUUCAUCAUUUGAAAUGGAUAGUAGUGGGCUUAAUGGAAAUCAGAGUACAAGGGAUUCAGAAGUACCGAACAAUGCUGAUGAACGGUGUGAUGCUACCUUUUCCGAUGAAUUAGAUGGCUGGAGAACAAGUUCUUCAUCACUUAAGGACAUUAGGUCUUCAGAUGAGCAUACUGAUGAGUGUUUGACUCCAGAAAUGAAAUACGAGAGCACACAUCGGAGUUCUAGUCCUCCGCCUCAAGCUCGGAGAGGUUAGUGCUUCAUCUUCCUAAGCUUUUCUCUGUUGAUAAAUAAUGAAUUUGAGAAAACCUGCUACAGAUUCUUCCUUGUGCAUUUAGUUUAGUCUUCUCUCAAUAAAUUUAGAAUAAGAGUCAUGAUCUUGGCAAAAUGUUAUAUUGACAAGGAUGUAAAUGAUAGUUAGAGGGGAGAAGUAUGAGCGAGUGCCAAGUUACUGGGAUAGUAGGACUUCAGAAUGAUCCUGUGGUUUUUUCUAAAAAAAAACUUUUUUGCUUUUUGUUUCAUAAUGCUGUUCACUAGGGUGUAAUUUGUCUUUGUGGGACGAGUAUACUAAUAAGUAUAAUUCUUCUUUGAUUGAUAGUAAAACUAUUUCUUGUGUUGUAUCUUUAUUCUAUUUAAUAUAAAGUGAAUCAUGUAUGUGUUUUUGUUCUAUGUUGGAUGACAAAAUGGUCUAGGAAACUAUCUUAUUUAUGAUGUUAAGCAUCAUUGUUGUCCUCUGGCUAACAGUUUGAUGAAUGGAACUAUUAUUUUCUGUCCCACCAAACGGGCUGGUUCCUUUUCCUUUAUUAUUCUCUCUCAUUACUACUUGUCAUCUAUGAAAUCAAUCUAGAAGGAGUUCAAAUAAUCCUAUCUAGAUCGACAUGUAAGCUUAGUUGUGAAUUUCAGACUAUUAAGGCUUGUCCUAUAUUACUCAGCAAGCAUUAUAGAAAAGAUGAGAGUAACUUUUCCUGUCAUAGACCUGUAUAAAUAAAUAAAAGUGUUCUGGCUCUAAGUUUUAAGUAUAUAACUGUGCCUCAUCUUACAACUCUGUUCUAAAAGGAGGGUUCAUUGACAUUUUUCAUCUCAAGGUCAAAUUAUGCCCUUGUCAUCCUUUUCUGUCUCUGGAAUUCCUUGAGCUAAUACACCUCUGUACAGCUAUCUGUCGAAAGUCUUGCUUCCUUAUAAUUGACCAUCUGGUUGUUGAUUUUGGUUCAAGUUACUUUAAGGGUCACAUAUUCUAUGAAGAGACUGAACUUUUUUUGGGGCUGCAGUGUCUUGCUCGAGUUUCAUGAGCUAAAUUAUAUUCACCUGCUUGUUUGGUCCAAAUGUGAAGAAUUCUUUCCAGUGCUCUAUAUUCCAAGUUUCACCGCUACCCCUACAAAGGAAAACCAAUGCAUCAACGAAAUUAAUGACAAGCAAAACUAACAUCAUUUGUGGAGGACAGGGUUUGACAGACAACGAUGUCAAACCAAGUUACUAAAAGAUGGAACCUUGAUUUAAAACCAAACAUGAAAAAUAUCAAAUACCCAAAAGUCUCCAGAGAACUAACUUUAACUGCUCCGUCUCCUUACAAGAGAAAAAUGCUUUUGCUCACGGUUUCUUCUAUGCUUCCCUCAAAGCUAAGGUACAUUAUAGACUUCCUCCUUUGUCACUUCUCACAUCAGCUCCACUUUCCUCCCUCCAAAGCAAAAGCUAUCUCCUGUAUCACAUUUAGGAUAUUCUGCCAGUAUGCCGUAUUGCUGACAAUGAUUUCAUGUAUAGAGUGGCAAAAUACUCAUGAAUUAAACUUGGGAACCUCUUAGCAUUGUCUUUCUGAAAAUUUAGUAGUAAGAAAAUAUUGAUUUGGUCUUCUAUAAGCAAUUGAAGCAAAUCGUUGCUGCAUAUGAUUCUUUGUUUUUUCUUUUCUUUGCUUUUUCUCUUCUCUUUUGCGUACUUGCUUCAGAAGGGCUUAGACAUUUAUAUCUAUGUUGAUUGGAUAAAGCUGACUAUUGUGGUUUACUGGAUUAGAUGUAUUUCUUUCUCAUACAGGACUUUUGCAUUUUUUUUUUUUUUUUGUUUAACUUGUAGGUUUGGAGCACUGCAUUACUGCACCUGUGACUAUUGGCGGAGGUCUUUUCCCUGAAGGCCAGGAUAUGGCAUUUUCAAGAUCUUUGACUGAGAGGAGGGUUAGUCCAAGACAUAAUGUAAUAUUGGAUAGACUUUCUGAACGUGGAAAGGUAAUUUUGUUAUUGACGUCUCCAGCUUUGAGAUGCCUAUUAUCCGACAACCAAUUGUGUAGUGCUUUGCUGUGAGAUUCUAUAAUAGUCAACAUGGCGUAGGAGUUGAAUAGAUUUACUAGUCUUGGUUACGAUAUGCAUGUAAAUGUGUCAAAAGUUGUUGCAAUUUGUUAGAGUUUAAUAUUUUGUCCUUGACACUAGUUUUGGCUUGAAUUUGUUUGAUUUGAUUGUAAACUUGAAGCAUGGAAAGAUCCUUUAAUGUUGGAGAGUGAUAAGGAGUAGAAAAGCUGAUAUGGGAAGUGCUAAGUGCAUGAAUAACGAGACUGCUUGUUAUCUGAAUAAAUAUGAUUUACCUGAACCAAUAAAACUUAAAAGAAUCCUAGAAUGCUGAGCAUUAUUUUUUCAAAUGAUGCUUAGACCAUGUGAAGCUGGCAAUUUGUAUUGACCAAGUACUUAUUUAGACUUACUGAUACAAAAUUUACUUUGACCAUUUGGUUUUUGAGCUAUUUUUUUGCUUUUAACUGAUGGAGUUGAUAUGUAUGUUGUAGGGCUCCGCUGAGUCAAGUUGCUAUUUAAUAAGUGGCUGAAACAAAACCACCCUCUUUAACAAAGUCAAUUUUUUCUGCACAUAAUCACAUGUAUCCGGCCUGAAUCACCGCUUCAUACAUUAGGUUGUCCAUGCCUGUAUAUGUAAAAAUAGCAGCUAAUCAAACAGGUUAAGAAUUCUUGCUAUUUGCCUAUGUAAGUAUGGAUUAUGGAGACCCAGGACUGCCCCUCUGCAGCGUCUGAAAGAACCACCACAAAUUACUUACAUGUGUUUUUUUACUUUAUCCAUCUGGAAAAUGAUAUACCUUUUCAUUUUCUUGCCAUUAAGUUGCUGAAUCCUUCUUAUUCACUUACCAUUUCCUCAUAUUUCCUUCUGUUCUUAAUGUCACCAGCAAAAGCUCAUCGCAGAGCUGGUAAAGAUCCAAGGGGAUGGAACAGUAGAGGUUGACCUUACUAAGAGUACGCCUGAAACUUCUGAAUUGUUGGAGCUGCGAUCUGUUGAAGAACCCACUCUUACUGUAGACAGGAUUAUCACAGAUUUUAAUAAGUCAGUUCCAAAGUUGAAAAUCGUGGUGCUUAUUGUUGGAACCAGGGGAGAUGUUCAACCAUUUUUGGCUAUGGCCAAGAGACUUCAGGCAUGUUGGGAGUUCUAAAUCACCAUGUUUAUAGCUGUACUGGUCAUACAUGUUCUAUAUCGUUUUCUUCUUAACCAUCUGUGCUUGCCUUUAUUAUUAUAUCAUUGCAUUCUAUGUUUUUCAGCAUCCUUUACAGAAUAACCCAAAUUUCGGCUUUGAAUGACAAUUCGUUGGAGAGGUCUGUUAGAUGGACUUCUAAGUUCUAUUUUACUAGACUUAGUUUCUCCACUUUUCAAGUCUUCUUAGUCACCAACUUUUAAAAUUGAUUGUUGAGAUGCUGUAAGGUAAAAGGAUUAGAUUGUGUCCCUUGGACCUGGGUAAACCAAUUGAGAUUUCAUUUGAGAAUAUAUUGACGGAGAGAAUUUUUAGAGGUGAAUUUGGACCUAUAUGGUUGAAGCAAGUAUCAAAAACAAAGGUCACUUGGACCUUGCAAUUACUUUGCGCAAGGAAAAUUUUGUCUGCUUCAGAGCUGAGGUCUUUUGCUGCUUGACUGGCAAAACAUUCUUAAUAUGCUCUUUACAGUGUGGGUACCAUUGGAUUUAAUUUCUUUUCCUGUCUAAGGUUGGUUUAGCUUUAUUUCUUGCUGUUGCCUCUUCUGGAGCACGAUUAUUUAUUUGCCUAUUAUUUAAUUUUCUCAUCAUUUUUGUGGCCAAUAUUGGACAUUCAUGUGAAAUAAUUGAUUAUAUUUCAACUAUAGAUUUUGUGUUUCCAUAUUUCGUGUAGUAGAAUUUUGUUGAUGUUUGUGCACCUUAAUAUCUUUGUAUUUUGGUUGAGAAAAUUGUUCAUUUGUAGAGUAAAUCGUUCGUUCCUUUUCUAAUCAGUUUUAUGCAUUGACAGGCGUUUGGUCAUCAUGUCAGGCUGGCAACUCAUUCUAACUUCCGUGAUUUUGUCAAAUCAGGAGGCAUAGACUACUACCCAUUGGGUGGUGAUCCUCGGGUAUUGGCAGGAUGUAAGAGGUCUUUGGCAUGCUUCUUCGUUUUUCUCGUUCUUGUUUUUGUCUAUGUUAUGAGUACUCUGCUAUGGGUAUGUAUUAGCCCUUUCUUUCUGGGUGGGUAAGUAUCUGGUAUGAGUAAACAUAGUUUUCUGCAAUUUUGGGGUGUGCUUCAAAGAAUCCACAUAAAGUUCUCACAUGUGUUCCACACACGCCCUCCCCCCACAUCCCUUGCACGCCCAAGACUAGACGAAGCAUGGAUAUCAUAACAUAGUGCCCUACAUUAGGUAACACAAUAAUGAUGAUGGGAGUGGCUCUAAUUAGUGUUAUCAAAAGCAAAAAGCGCAAAAAAUCUCUAAGAUCUGUUGGGCAUUUAAGCGCAACUAACGUGUGGGCUUUAAUGAAAAAAAGAGCAAAGGGAGAAAAAAUGCAAAGCUAUGUUUAGUCCAAGAUUAAUAAUUAUAAGCACGAAGGAAUGACAAAUAUAUGAAGAAAGAAACUGAAAAAAAUAAUAUGAUAAAGUAAAAUAUCAAUUUUUUAGUGCCGCCUCUUCUAAAGAGGCUCAUUGGCAAGAAAAUGUAUGUCAUAUAACCUUGACGAGGAAACAAAAUCGCACCUUAAAUAAGUCGAAACACUUUUUGAGCCUCGCAUCAGGGCGCCUUUGACAACUCUGGCGCUAAUACCAAGCUAAGAAGAUGGGUUUAGGCCUAAGUCAAUCUCAAAAGUUGGUUCAUGCGGUAAGGGUUGCCCAAAUCACUAGGAGACUAUAGCCACACUUUCAACCAAUGGUGAACACUAACAUAAUCCUAUGAGCAAUCGUGGUAAUAUCAAGCUUCUACUUUUUUCCUUUUAGUUAACUUACGCACAGUUUGAAAAUUUUUCUUAAAUUUUUGGGAAGUUUUCAACAUACUUAACAGUCAAAUUUGUACUGGAAUCUAGUAUGAAAUAAGUGGCUCAUCACAUACCUGUUCAAGUAGUAAUAUGGAAUUCCUGUUUGCUGAUAUCAUUUAAUAUGGAUUAAGUUCGUAUGUUCUGUGGAAUUGCAGAUAUGGCCAGGAACAAAGGUCUCAUUCCUUCUGGACCAGGAGAGAUAUCUGUACAACGAAAGCAGCUAAAGGCUAUAAUUGAAUCUCUUCUUCCGGCUUGCACUGAGCCAGAUAUUGAAACUGGUGAACCUUUCAGAGCACAAGCGAUUAUUGCAAAUCCUCCUGCUUAUGGUGAGUUCGAAAAUAAUCUCUAUACUCACCACUCAUUUCACCUUUUUGAUAUCUGGACAUCUAAUUCAUGUUUGGUCCAUGAUUUAUAAUAUCACAUGGAGUUGUACAUCACUGCUAGUUCUCCAAAAGAUACAUUUCUGUCUUCUCUUGUUUUUCUUUUUGGGGUGGGGGUGGCGGGUGGUGGUGGUCAUAUUUUGCCAUCAUAGAGAACAUAUGUUUGACUAAAUUAGAAAGAUAUAUGUGAGAUACUAUAAGUAGAGGAGCUACUAUAUUCUGAGAUGGUCUCUUAGUCGCAUUGUGGAAUUUAUCUUAGAAAGGAUUAACAUGAAGUCAACAAAUAUGAAUUAAAUGAACAUAUUAGUGUGUAUGAAGUGAGGAUGGGUCACUAUGACCUCCGGACACAAGAAUCUCAAAGAUAACCUUGAAAUCAUACUCAGGUUAGAAUCGUUUGAAAUGUCUUUGGCCAAAUAACUCUGUUUAUUUACUAUGAGUUUAAUCUCAUUUGACUCUUCUAAUGUGGAGACCAGAAGCUAUCUAGUUUUGACCUUGGGAGGAGUUAAGUCUGAAAAGUUACUCCACCGCCUUAGCUGGGUUUGACUGUUCAUAUGUUACAUAUUUAAUCUCACACUAUCUUCACAGUGCUCCUCUGCUUCUUUUCAAUUAGAGUAGACCUAUGUCAAGAAGUUGAGUUAUUAGCCUAUAAAGAAAUCCACCUGAUUGUAUUUUCUGUAUCAAAUUCACGAGCAGUGUUAAUCUGCUUCGAAUAAGUACAAGCCCUUCCAAACUGAAAAACUUAUUUUGGGAGGUCAUUAGCUGAAUCUAUGGAGGUGUGUAUUCUGCACAGCUUUGGCAAGUUGCAAACCGGUUUGGGUUUACUAAACAAAGAGCUUAGAAGGAAGAAGACUUAAUCUUGAGCUUGUGCUCUGUAAAUAAAUGUCGAAUAAAAUAUAAACUGCUUUAUAUGGUUUUCCUCAAUGGUCCCCAAAACAAUAUUCAUUUUUAUGCUUUCCGGGACUUUAUAGACUCCUUGUAUCAUAGAUAAUUCUAGUCCAUCAAUUGUACAGAUAUCAGCAACCUCUUGCUGCUAUUUUUGUUAACAACAUUUAUCAGGAUUAGUCAACACAACAGGAUGCGAUUUAGUCCAAGUCAACUUAUAAGCAUUGUUUUAUUUUUUUGGACAGGACAUGCACACGUUGCUGAAGCUCUUGGGGUACCCCUCCACAUCUUCUUCACAAUGCCCUGGACGUAAGCUCUGAUUGACACUUUAACUUUAUUUUAUUGGAUAUUUCGUAUUAACAAUAUGACAAGUGGAUGCACCUGCAAUUGCUGUCUUUGUCAAUAUGCGACCUUGUAAAGUCCAUUCCUCUUAUAAAACAUUGAUGAAACAAAAUACUGCUAUCUGAUUUCUAUUUUCUUUUCUACAAAAGUUUCCUCUUUGAGAAAAGCCAAUUUGUAAUAGGUGGUUGUUCUUCACUAUGUGAAUGUUUUUUAGAUUUGAUAUUGACUAGACCAUUAUAAGGUGGCAUUUGAUACCUUACUCGGCCUUGUGGUUAAGAUCAAGUGUAGUUUCUGUUCUCACCAGCUUUAACAUCUGAUACAUGGACACUGGCCCACAUUAUAUCAACCAUUGGCGUUUCAUUUAAAAAAUUGAGAAACAGUUUUUGCAAAAUUCUUCUAGUUACAACAACCAUACGAAAGAAACGUAUGAGUUUUGCUACUUUAUUUAGAUGGAGUUUUGGUUGAAACACAAUUUUUGAAAUUCCUCAAACUUUUCUUAGGUGGAGCUGCAUCGGACACAAUUUUUGCUGAAACUUGAAAAACUUUUUGCAGAAACUGCUAUUUAAUAUUUCAAUUGAACGCCUUAGUCUGUGACAUACAAAGAUUAGAUGCAAGUGCCCAAUUUCUGGAGUAGUUGGUUCUUCUGAAUUAGGAAGUUUUAUAGAUCAAUUGGAAGAACUAUUAUGCACAUAGGAUAUUAUGCGAGUCAGUUGCUGAGUUCAGUGUCAUUCUUCAUUAAAUUCUCCCAUUUAAUAUUUUCAACAAGGUACCUUCUCAUAGACUUUGUUAAUAGACAGGCCAACUUCUGAAUUUCCUCACCCGAUGGCUCGUGUACCUCAACCUGCUGCGUAUUGGGUAUGUUAUCAGUUUCUUCUUUUGAAAAAUAUUUUUCCAGUAAUUCUUCUGAUUCCUGUUAAAACUCUAUUUGUCUUCUGCACAUUUCAGCUUUCCUACAUACUCGUGGAUUUACUUGUCUGGUGGGGCAUAAGAGGCUACAUCAACGAUUUUAGGAAAAAGAAGUUAAACCUUCCUCCUAUCGCCUACUUCAGUACAUACCACGGAUCAAUUUCUCACUUCCCAACUGGCUACAUGUGGAGUCCACAUGUUGUGCCAAAGCCUAAAGGUAUAUGUCAGCUCCUCAAUGGUAUCUGGAUGCUUGUUUUCGUCGUAUUGGUCAUUCCACUUCUUUUGUUGAAGCAAAACUAAUGAUUUGUAAAUCUCAAAAUGAACGGAUCAGUUUCUUGUGGAGUAUUUCUGUGCUAGUCUCUCUUUCUUCAUUCCCAUUAAUCCCCUUCCCCAUCCCUGAAUUCAUGUAAAGAUCUUUUCUUCUUUUUCUAGCUCUACUUCACCCAUUGGCUUAGUAAUGAUGUGUGCUCAUACAAUCAGUCCACUUGAUCUAUCAUAAAAAUAUUGAAGCAUUCGUUUUUUGCAGAUUGGGGCUCUUUGGUUGAUAUUGUUGGCUAUUGUUUCUUAAACCUUGGGAGAAACUACCAACCUCCUGAAGAAUUUAUCAAGUGGAUCCAAAAUGGGCCUAAACCUGUAUAUAUUGGGUUUGGGAGCAUGGUAAGGUUUUCUAAUAUAAACUCCCAGAAGUCUUAGAAGUAUCAGAUGAUCCUUUAUCCCACUCAGCCACUCUUGCAAGAUAUAUCGAGUCUGAUGUCUUAUAAUUUAAAAGCAACUUAUGACUAGGUUUACUACUGUAGGUGGAAUUCUUAGUUUACUACCGACAGUCUAGUGACAGUAUCCGUUUCUGAAUGAUUUAAUUCGUACUUGAUAAACUUGCAAUAGUGGAUGUAAACCAGCUUCAAUCAAUCUAACUGCAUUUUCGUCUCACACAAUUUUAAUUGUUAAAUAGAUCUCUAAGGUGCCUGUGCUCAAGAUCUUAGCAGUCUGAUCUAGAAUAAUCACUUUGGUCUCCUACUUCACUUUUGUUUUUGAAGAUAUCCAACUUGUUCAUUCCUUUUGUUCUUUUUUUUAGCCUCUUGAAGAUACCAUUAAAACUACAGAUAUAAUUUUGGAGGCACUAAGGAAUACUGGGCAGAGGGGAAUUCUUGACCGAGGUUGGGGAGAUCUUGGUACUUGUAAGUUCUCUCAUGAUUUGCAUUUCUUUUUUCAACUUAUUACAUUCUGCAUGUUUCUGACUGACCAUAAAAUUGAUCAUAUAUAGGUUGCAAAAUAAAGCUAAUUUUUUUGAAGAAACAAAAAGAUAUAGGCACAACUCUCGUAAUUUAUUGCAUAUAGCAUAUUGAAGCUCUAGUGCUCUACUGUGCGUUCACUGGAAGGGUUAAGACCUGGAUGAACCUCAAAAACACCACAAGAAGAACCUUGGAGGGGAUGGUUUAUUAAAUAAAAUUCUCUUUUAAGUUAUUUAGCUGACAUAAUAAGUCUCCCCCUUUGACCUUCCUCUAACCCCGAACAUACAACCGAAAAACCAGUUUCCAAGGCCAAUUACUUGCUUGACAAAAUAUGAGGCCUAUGAUGGUGGUAUGGAGUUGGGGUUACAACAACAUAAACAUUAAGUGGAUAGAUCAAGAGAACAGUUUGUUUGUCAUUAUAUUACUGGAUGGACGCCACAUACACAAGUGCACUUAUGUAGUAUUGGUAAAUAAUGUGGAUAUUUCCGUUCAUUUGUGAUUGGAUUGCAUGUGAGAAUAUUCUAACACCAAGAAACAUCUUUUCUUGUUUUUUUACCUCUUAUUCUGUACCAGUUCAAGAGAUUCCUGAAGAUGUUUUUCUUGUUGCGGAGUACCCUCAUGAUUGGCUUUUUCCUCAAUGCGCAGCUGUUGUGAGUACUAUUGCUUUACAAAUUACUCCUACCUACUCAUGUUAUAUAUCUUUUGAAUGCUUUUCUGGAUAGCAAACUGGGAGAUGGGAUCGGUUCUGAUAAACUGAUGGUCAAUGGUUGGUUAUUAGGGAUUUUACAAACUCUAGUAUAACUGACCUUCUAAACUCCAAUCUUCUCGAUAUCUGGAUAUUGAAAAAUAUUUAUUUUCUGAUGUGCUCGUGGGAAAUACCUGCUUGCAGGUUCAUCACGGUGGUGCUGGAACCACAGCUGCGGGACUGCGUGCUGGGGUAAUGUUCUUUCUCAAUCUCAUAUCAGUAGUAUUAUUCUAAAGCAAUCAUCUUUUGCUGGAUCUUUUGCCCUUUGAGUCAUAUAGAAAGAUCAGAUGGUCUUAUGCAAUGUCUGCAAUUUUUUAAUCCAGUGUCCAACAACUAUAGUACCAUUCUUCGGUGAUCAAUUCUUCUGGGGCGAUAGAAUUCAUGAAAAGGGACUGGGACCUGCUCCAAUUCCUAUUGACAAGCUUAGUGUAGAAGGACUCUCUGAUGCUAUAACAUUUAUGCUUCAGCCUGAUGUAAGUGUCUAUGCAUCUCCCUACCUAAUGACAUACCAAUCUGUCACUGCAGAACACAAACGUGUUUUGGAAAUGCUCGUUAUAGACUUUGCUUGCUGAUGGAAACUUAACUUAUACAGGUGAAAUCCCGAGUAAUGGAACUAGCUGUAUUAUUAGAGAACGAAGAUGGUGUUGCAGGUGCAGUUGAUGCUUUCCAUCGGCAUUUGCCUUCAGAAAUGCCAUUGCCAACCCCAACCCCGGCUUAUGAGGAUAUCGAUGGUCCAAAUCCGUUACAAUGGCUUUUCACAAGGAUUGGAAGAAUCUGUUGCCUGCCUUGUGGUUCUUGGCUCUGAAACUGCAUUUAUAGAGUUGCAUAGUUGUGUUAUUUCAUAUUUUUUUUUGAUUAAUUGGUUGUAUUGGUUCAUCACAUCAUUCUUUCUUCUUGGCUUGUAAAAUAAGUUACAUGGCAAAACUUUAUAGACAUAUUUAUUGCUAUUAUUUUCAUAGUGAUUUUGUAACAACACCAAGCUCUUGUUCAUUUUAGUGUUCAAUGAUCGCUUUGCAGAGACAGAGGUGAUUAUUUUGUACUUGCGUAAAUUUACGUAAUUAUCUGUACUUUUAUCUAAAUACGUAAUUGCUUAUUUUAAGAAUUACUUUCCAUCCAGCCAUUAAGCCAAAAAAUCUUUUUUUUUUCAAACAGUCUCAACGUCCUCGUUGAGAGUCGCUCUGCGAGACGUCUAGUUACUCUCCUUAAUUACAUAAAAUCACAUAGAAAUUAAUAAAUAUGUUUAUUAGUAAAGAAAUAAACUUCAAGCAGAAAAUGCUUGAAUUUAAGGUGAAAUGGUUGAAGUAUAGAUAAAACUGACUGAAUUCAGUUAUAUAUGAUUGUGGUUCAGGCAAAAUAACUUAAAUUAAUAUGUACUUAAUAUUACAUAAAAAUAAAUGAACUUCAACUAUAUAAAACUUCAAAAAUAAAAUAAACUUGAAACUAUAUCAAAUUAGGUAGAUUUGAAAUAUGUAAUCACUACAAACAUUAUAUUCAUUGUAACCACCAUCCAAACAUAGCAUUAGAGUUUAGAGACAUCUUUUUUCGAUUAUUCAGCAAAAUAUCAUUUAUUUACUAACUCUGAUGAUAAUCUUAUAAUAUUUUGAUGAGAAAAGGGUUAAAACCUCAAUUUUAAUUUAUUAGUUGAAUAUAUCCCUGCCGUUAAAACAAACCCUCGCCGUUACCAAUUUUUCACCAUUUAUACCUCUCAAUUGACGGAAAUUUCCAAAUCAAUCAAAAUUGAUCCGAUUUUAUAAAAAUUAGGAAAAAUUAGCAAAUUAGUCAAAAAAUCUAACAUAAUUAGUAAAAACCUUUAUACUUUAUAAAAUUUAGUAAAAGUGUCAUUAUUUUAGAAAACAUUUCAUAUCCUAAUAAAUUAUAUUUAAUUAAUAAACUAAAGUUGAGAGGUAUUUUUGACCCUUUUUCCAAUUUUGAUUCUAUGUAAACUAAUAUUGUGAGGUGCAGCAUUAACUCCACAUUUGAAACAUUAGUCUCGAGGGCCUUUAUCUUUGGUCUCAAAUACUUGUUUUCCAUCAAUAAAAACUGUAACUUUGCCUCCAUCGUCUACGUCAUGAAUUAAACUAACAUUGUCGUAUAGAGCAGUAGCAAAAAUAUGUCCAUUAUAAUAAUAAAUAACUCAUCAUAAAUUCUCAAUAUUAUUGUUGUAAGGCUCAAUGAAUUUGUACAAUUGUUGCUCCUGAUGUCCCAUUUGGCACAACCCUCAAAUUUCCUAAUCAAGUAGAUUUGGAUAGAUUUUUUUUUAUCAAGAUUAUAUAUAAAUAUUUUAAAAAUAAUAAUGUACUAUAAAUAUAAAUAUGUGAAUUCGAAUUUUGGUGCGAUGCUGAGUAAGGGUAUUAGGAUCAUGAGGCUUGUCAUCCGCAUAAAUUCAGCCCACAGUCAAUGAGUUCCAUUAUCGAUACUAUAACAUUUUUCAAGUGGAAUAUCAUAUGAUAUUGGGUUUUUACUAGGUGUCUGAUAUUCGUAUUAGAGUUCGACUUAUUUUAAAUUUAUAUCGAAAAGUCUCAUAUUGAGAGAUAAAGAGCUCUCAAACAAGUGACUAUAUAUGUAUCUAGUUAAGAAUGAAAGACUCCAUCAUAACCCUUGUUGGUCCAAAUGUUAUAUUCAAUAAAACUAUAUAUGUAGUACGAUAUAUUGGUAUCCAUUAUUCUUGAAAUAUUGGAUAAGUGUCAUAAAUAAAGUACACAUAUUUAAAAAAAUAAAUAGAAAUUUAUAAUCUAAUAGGCAAAUAUUAUGAGAGGUCUUAUACUUAGUAAAUUCACAAAUCGAAAGUUCUGUAAUGCCAGUUAUUCUAUCUGUUUUUCAUUUUAAAUGGAUUAUAGUUAUUUUUUCACAUUUUGAACUUUUUGUGUAUAGUUAAUAAUCAAAUCAAAACCAAAGUGAAAUAAAUAACAACCAAACCAAUACAUAUAUAUUAUAUUUAAUUUAAUUUAAUUUUAAUAAUUUUAAAACCGAUUAAAUUGGUUUGAAUCAAAUCAAACUUGUGAACACCCCAUACUCCCAAUUAAUUUCUUUCUUUCAUCUUUUUAUUUUUUUCUUUUUAAUAAUAGAAAAAAGAGUGUUUCGUUUUAUAGCUCUCAUUUACAUCCACAAUAUACUUCUUUCAUACAUCAAACUGAAAAUCAACUUGAUCAAUUUUUGAAAUUUAAUUAGAUUAUAUUAAUUUGAUAUUUAAAAUAAUAUUUAAAUAUUUAAAAUUAUGCUAAAAAUUAUCCUACAGUACUUUUUUUUUUAAUAUAUCAAAUGAAUUUUAAACAAUUAAAAUUUAUUUUAUUAGACUCUAAAACUAUAUGACAACUAAUAAGAAACGGAUAUAAUUACUCACCUAUUUUGGUUUUCAUGUUAAUACAUAUACUCCACCAUAAAUAUACUCUGAAAAUCUUUUUUUUUUUUUUUUGAAAUCUUUAAUUUAAUAAUGCAAGGAAAAGGAAAAGGAAAUUGAGAAAGCUAAUCAAACUUGUUACGGUCAAGUCGAGAAUCCUAGUACUUCACUAGCACCGACCGACCAAAAAGAUAAAAUGAAGCGGUCGCCGGCGAUCUUGAAAAACCGGCGAGGAGGUGGUUUGGGAUUUGCUGCAAUUGCUUACAUCGGAGUAGACUAUCUCCGGUUUAUUUCUCCGGCAUGGCAUGACCGGUUACAGCCGACGCUAUGGACCAUAUUGGCGAUCGCUGCUAUUAUUCGGGUUCCAUUUUACAAACACUGGUCAUCAGAGCUCCGUUCAGCUAUACCAUUUAUUUUCGCUAUGCUUUUUUUGCUCUCUGCUCUUCUUUUUGAAGCCAUUUCUGUCCGCUCUGUCACUGCCGUUCUUGGUCUUGAAUGGAACAGGUAUGUAUAUGCUUUAAAGUAGUGCUCUUUUUUAAUUCAUAAUUUUAUUGAUUUGUUUCAAUUUUUUGAAGUUUUGGCAAAUUUGUGUAUAUUGGGAAAUAUGGGUUUCAGAUUUGGAUGGGAAAACUGACUUGGGGUUGAGUGCAUUUUUGAGCUUGUUAAUGAUAAGUUUGAGUUUGUAUUGUGAAGAAUGGAAAUGAUAAUUUCUUGUUUGCAUCCCAAAUCUGAUCUAAUUUGUGGUUUUCUCAAUUGCUCUAUAGAUUUUGUUACAUUGUAAAAUCUAAGCAGAGUUAGAUGCAGAAAUUGGAUGAACUAUUAGAGAGAAUUUGGAGCUACAUCAUUUUUACUCUGAAUGAUCAGAAAUUGUUAUUGAGUUACCUUCAAAAUCACACAUACAUACUUUUGAAUUUUUUCAUUGAAGAUUGCAUAUAUCCAUUUAUGGGAAAAACACAAGGUUUGGAUUUCUAUACUGGGAUUAAUUAAAGCUGAUAGAUCAGACCAAAAAAAUUGGUAUAGGUCAAUCUCACUUAUCCUGGAGACAGAAUUAAGAGGGAUGCAUUUUUCUAUAUGCUUCGGUUUGCUUAAGUUAUGUUGCUCCGACUCUCCAAAAUGCUGCCGCACCCAUGACUGAUCUUCCAUAAAUGCACUACGUUUGGAGGAUCCAACAUGCAUCUCGACAACAAUUUUGUGCAGUACAUUGGUAUGGGUAAUCCUUUGUUAGAUUUCAAAAGUAAUGAAAAUCUUAAGUGGAUUAGUUUGUGCUCUUGGUAUGUCUUGUGUCUGUGAAUAAUGGUAUUUUGCGUAUAAUUCUUUCUUGUGAUUAAUUAAAUUCUGUACGUGAUGCUCAUCAUAAAUUAAAUCCUCACAUUCUUCUGCCAAGUGAUCCAAAUAAGACUGGGAUCAUGGCACUGUUGCUUUUUAGAUACAUCUUUUGGAAAUGACAAAGCAUACGUUGUUUAAGUUUUUACCAUGUCACCAGAUUGUUAGAAUUGGGGAAUGGGCGACUUUUUGGAUUUUUUAAAUUGGGGACUUCUCUGACUGAAUUCAAGAUGAGUAGACAGAGCUUGGAAACUAAUAGAGGAAGUGGAGGAAAACCGGGAAGGUAUAAGGCUUAGGAAAUCGAGGAUGGGAACUUCUUUGAGAAUUUUGAUAAAGAAGAGGGAGUUUGGAAACCGAGGAGGCAAAGAGACAACUGUGUAAGGAUGAAGAUGUCAGGUGAUAAAAAAAGGGAUCUUUUUGAGCUUUUUCCAAAGCUUCUGUACUGAGACACUUUCAAGCAAAAUAAAAACAGAUAGCUAGUAAAGUCAUAACUAAAAGAGAGAACUAAUUGUGCUGUAUUUGAAAUCAUAUAUUAACCUGUGUUGCAUGUCUUGGUUAGCUUGGAUUGGUUAGGUGUGAUCUGUCUUGGGAUUCUAGAUAUGCUAACGUCAUCUAGAUGUGUAAGGAUACAUGGUCUAGAUUCUAGUGAGAUACAAUACAACAAUGUCUUUUAAUAGCAGAAUUUCACAAAGAUGCUGAAUUGAUAGUUCUAAAAUGCUGUCUAAGGCGAGUAAUAUAAAGGAAAAUCUGGCUUGCAUCAUCACAAUUAACAAACUUUGCCUCCAGUAUCACCACUAUUAGAAGUUAAACAGUUUGACAUUGAUUUCCUUUCCUGUUCUUGUUUUUGAGAAAUAUGUCUAUCGUUGAAGCACAAUGUGAAGUGGUGAAAGGCUUCUUGAAGCAUGGAUAAAUUUCAUUUUUUUUAAAAAAAAAGUCUUACGGAUAUCUGUAGACACGAUCAGAAUGCCCUAAAGUGGUUAUGUUAUCAAUCAUGGCACGCAACCUUGUUUUGCCUCCUAGAAGAUUGAAAGUUUAGACGCAUACUUGGUCCCAAUUUACAAUGUUUGGCUUGUGUCCAGAAAAAUAAAUUAACAAUUGAGUCUUUUUCCUUUUGUAAGCAAAAAUAGCAAUUAUAACUUUGCUUCAUUAUGUUUGAUCUCUCUUCUUUCUUAAAUGACCAUCUAUAGUCUUUACAAGUUCUUCUCUUUGCAAUUUAUUGACAGUGAUGCAUCACCUCUUCCUGAUGUUGGUCAGUGGUUGGUGCUGUCAUUGAAUGAGAAACUACCUCAAACAGUGGUUAAUAUAUUGAGAGCUCGUAUAAUUGGAUUACAUCAUUUUCUGAUGCUGUUUAUCAUGCUUGCUUUCUCUGUACUCUUUGAAUCGGUUGAAGCUCCUGGUCUUGGGCUUGGUGCAAGAUUCAUGUUCACAAUGGGAAUCGGAAGGCUACUUCGGGCCAUAACUUUUAUCUCCACAAUUCUACCAUCUGCUCGACCAUGGUGUGCAUCUGCUAGAUUCCUUGUUCCUCAGCACCCUCAUCCUUGGGCUCAGAAAUAUUAUGUACCAUAUGCCACAGAUUCAAAUGCCAUACGGAACGUCAUAAACUGGGACACAGCAUAUGGUAUUUCUCCCUUCUGAUCUUCUCUUCUGUCCUGAAAUUCUUACUUGGUUCUUCUUUAUGAACUGCCAGUCAGAAUGAUCCAAAAUUGAAAAAGCUCUAUACAUUUGUUCAAUAAGAAAUGCUGCCUGCGAUCAGGAAAUCUCAUAAAGCCAGUUUCUUUUAGGUCUUUGAUGCUGUUGGUUGAAUUCUGUACAUAGUAUUGAUCUUUCAUUUCUGUCUCUACUUUCGCUUUCAGCUGAUCCUGGGGAAUACGAUCCGGAGUUUCGACCAGAUUGGGGUUCAAUGAGCUUUCUGAUUGAUUUCCUUCGGCCUACAGCUCCUGAGGGAUCAUCUGCUUGGUAUCAUCUGCUAAAGAAAGCGUCAGGGGGUUGCAAUGACCUUAUAUAUAGUGGCCACAUGCUUGUUGCCGUGCUGACAGCUAUGGCAUGGACGGUAUGCGUCUAUCAUUCCCUAAAUUUGAAGUCUAAAUUCCUGUGUCCAACCAAUCUCAUCUGGCUUAAAACUUGAUAAACAUAUGUAGGAAGCCUAUGGUGGCUAUAGCUCAGCACUCAUCUGGAUUUUUGUGAUUCAUAGCGCUCAAAGAGAAAUACGAGAACGCCAUCAUUACAGUGUAGAUGUCGUUGUGGCCAUCUAUGUGGGAAUAAUGCUCUGGAAAAUGACAGGUCUUUUUUGGCCAAUGAAGGAUCGGUCAAAGGCUACGAGGCUUCGUAGGCUCGAGAAGAUUCAGGGUAGGCUAAUGCGAGCAGCAAAGGACGAUGAUAUAGAGCGAAUACGUGAACUUCUUAAGGAGGUAGAAGUGAGCAGCCAUGUUAGGGAAAACUCCAGUAGCAAAGCAAUGUGGCUCUUUUCAGGUGGAACCAUUAUCUUUACUCUUUGUAUGGUUCUUCUUGCCUUCACAUUGACCAGCGACGGGUGAGACAGCCAAUUUUCAACUCCAACAAAAUGCUCUACAACAGGUAAGAUGAUUACGAGACGCAGAAUUUGUAACAUUAGGCUAGGCCAGAAUAGGCAUUCAACUGGAGUUUUUGUUGUUUGUAUGUAAUGCUUUGGCUUCAAUUUUCUCUCCUGGUGGAGUGGUAUUUACUGUUAUAUAUGAAGAGAAAAAUGACUAUUUAUUGAAUGCCUUUUGUUUACUAAAAUUGUUUACUCGAAGGCCCUUUUAUGCUUUUUACCUCUGUGAUCUAGUAAAAACUUCCCUUUCAAGUUUCAAGUAUAAUUUUGAUGGACUCGCUUUACCCCUUUUUGAGUGACUGCAGGGUGCGGGGGGUCUUGACGGAGAGAGCCGAGGAUUUUUCAGAAACAAUCUCUCUACCCUUAAGGUUUGCAACCCUAUCUUUGGAUCCCAAAAUCUUCAUACUGGGUGUAGAAACAAUUUAAACGUGUUUAGUCGAAAAUGUUGAAUUAGUUUCAGUGUAGUACUCUAUAUUACAACUUGAUCAUCACAAAUAAAUCCAUUUACAGAAUUGCUAUUAAAUUUGACUCACGUGUUGCCAAUUCAGCUUUUGCACUUAAUCUAUUAAUCACAUUUUCGAAGAUCAAGUUUGUACGUUAAUACAAAAAAACUAUUUACAAAUGGAGAGAUCCACUCACUUUUGUCUUCUUCGUAUUAGUUGGAUCUGCUCAUGAAAAUAUGAGUAACACUCAACUUCUUUUAAUCAUGAAACAAUAACUGUUUUAAUCCAUUUAAAUUCAAUUCAAUUCAAACUCCGACUCACUAAUAAUGGAUUAAUGUAAUGUGUAACAAAAGCAAAGAAGCCGUGCAAGAGACUUUUGCAAUUAAAAAUCGUAAACAAAGCUUCAAAGGCACGAUUUAGUUGCCUUAUUGUACAACCCACCGCAUCUAAUCCAAACUUUUUUCUUAUUUCUUCAAUCUUCUUCGCACUCCUUCAAACGCAUAAUCUUCCAACUUUCUCGCGUUUUCUUCCUUCCAAAAAUGGCAUUUUCUAUAGCUGCUGCCGGAGCCGCUACCGGAGCCGGAGCUUUGGCUUCUCCAUCGGCGAAUGGCUCUUCUUCUACCAAGUUUUCUUACUUGGCUUCUUUGCAAUUUCCCAGAGAGCUUCGUCGUGUUCAAAUUGGGAACUAUGGGUUGAAGUCAAAGAAAGGGUCUUCACGUCUUGUUCCUCUGGUAUUUCAUUUCUUUUAACUCAAAUUCGAAAAGGGUGUUUUCUUUUUGGCUUCUAAAAUUAUUUUUGUUUAAUGUUGUAUGUAAAAUUUUCUUUGAUUUUAUCGUGUGGAGAGAUUUUCCUGCUGGAGUUUUGGCUUGUGGAGUUUGAUUUCUUAGAAUUUGGAGUAUUAAGAUGGAUUGACUUUGUGCUUGUUGUGAAUUACCCUUUCAUUUGACAAAAAAUUGCUUCAGUGACAUCUGUAUUGGGGGUUUUAUAUGCUACAUUUCUGUUUUGAAUGGCUAUUAAAUGUUAAAUGUGUAAUUUUAGGUGUAACUAUCAGUUUAUAUACGGAGUCGAGGCCUUGAGGUACUAAACAUAUCUGUAGUUUGUCUUUUUGCUGUUCCAUUUCUCUGGUUGAAUUCUUUUUUUUUUUUUUGAUUGGGGUGGGGGUGGAAGAGUCUUAUGUUGGUGAAGAGCAGAAGAGGGUGAAAUUGUAAUAGUUUUAGUAAAGAUGUGACCUGUUGUUUAUUCUCCUCUUUGAGUUGUUAUUUGCACUUAGUAUCAAACUAUUAGAUUAGAAAUCAAGAUUCUGUUUUACUUGAAUUUGUGUACAAGCCGUGAGGAUCCCUGCAGCAUUAGCAAAUAAAGGCAGAUAUUGCAAGACAUUCCUCCGUCUAUUUUGGUAUUCAGCUCAGGCUUUUGUUAUUUUAGAGUAACAGAUAGACUAAACCUGGCAUAAUCAAAAAAUUCUCUCUUGUGAAGUUUUGUAUAUGCAGAAGCCUGAAUGACAUGAUAACCAAGUCAUCCUUCUCAAUGAACCUUACACCCCCCCCCCCCCUCUCUUCACGGGCAUUGAAAAUGUGCUGUCUGACGCAUAUCCUCGCAACUUGAUAUGCAUAGACGAUGGGUAUAAUCGUCACUUCUGCUUAUUGGCUAGUCCUCAAAGUAUAAGUUUUGUUAAGUAUUAGGAAGAAACAACUCAUUGAUAAGCUAGUGCAAAGGGGAAAAUAUUAAUUACACCAUUUUCUAAAGGUGAACUUUGGUUAGAUGAAAUUUGAAUUUUCAAAAGAAAUGAGAGUAGAAUCAGAUUCACUGUAUAUUUGUAGAAGUUUUUCAGGUAUUUUCUGAUCCUCCAAAAAAAUAGAUGUUGUAUAAAUCAGGGAAGGGUGAAAUGAACUAUAUAUUUUUUUUGGAUACAAAUUAGUACACUUAUUUUGUGUGGAAAGUGAGAGAAGUGAGCGACUGUUUUGUUUCAUACAGGAGUUGAGAGAGUACUAUCUGACCAAGUAAAUAAUAAAUUACAGUAGAUGUAAACUGUCAGAGAACAAAAUAUACUUUUUUUUUCAUUUGCUAUAAUGUGAUGCAAGGUCGUUGUUGUUCAUUAGCAAUAUGCUCUUGGGGGACUUUAGACUUCUGCUUUUCUAUUUAUUCAGUGCCUUCUUGUUGAAUGCUUCAUUUUCUGUUACAACUAGAUGUUAUUUGUUUAGCAAUGUAAUCAGCUUGAGCUGCUGAAUUGCAUCAUCUUGAUUAAAUCCACUUUUGAUUUUAUCCCUCACUGACAUCAUUAUCUCAAAUCUGCUGACAUUUGCCCAUUAUGUACUCUUUGAAAAUAUCGCAUUCUAAGUUUUUGCUUUUAUAGAAAUGAUGGUCAUUGCUUAGAUUGAUUAAAUCGUAUCUGUAUAAUUAGGUUGAAGCAAAGAAGCAAACAUUUUCUUCCUUUGAAGAUAUGUUGGAGAACUCUGAGAAACCAUUAUUGGUCGACUUCUAUGCAACCUGGUACGCUGAACUCUCCUUGGCAGCCUUCAACCUUUAUUUACAUCAAAAGUAGAAGAAUUGCUAAGUGGAUAUAGCUAUCUGUCUCAAUCUUAAGUUCUUUGAAGUCGCAUGUGGGGUCAAAAGCUUCGCUACUGUUUCUAUUCAGAUAAUAAUGAGAGUAUUCUCAUAUUACAUGCAGGUGUGGUCCUUGCCAGUUCAUGGUUCCUAUUCUAAACGAAGUUGGUGAAUCGAUGAAAGAUAAAAUUCAAGUGGUGAAAAUUGAUACAGAGAAGUACCCAGCUCUCGCAGACAAGUACAAAAUACAGGCGUUGCCAACCUUCAUAUUGUUCAAGGAUGGAGACGUUUGUGAUCGCUUUGUAAGUGGAAUAGACCUUGUUAUUACUUGUUUUCAUGUUGUUUUUUCGAUAGUGUUCAUGCCAAAGCUACCAGAACAUCUUUUUGAAUGAUUUUGGUAGUAACUAGUAGGACGCUUUUAAAGUUACCAAGUAGAUAAAUUUCCUCUCUCAUUCAAACUUCUAUUACUUGUGAGUUUUGAGCAUAUUAUGCCUCUUUCCGUCUUGCAUUUGUACACCCCUAAAGCCAGAAGAAGUAGAAUAAAGAAAUGACCAAAUAGCUGAUUGAAAACGGUCAUGAAACAAAAAACUGCACGAGGUUGGGAUCUUUGGAAGUGUAUAUAGCUUUUAAGAUUUUAUUUGAGUGAGAAAAAUGCUAGUCAGUUCACUUUCUACUCUCGAGGUAAAGGUAAGGUCUUCCCCAAUCCCACUUUGAGGGACUAUACUGGAUAUAUGAGUAUAAGAAAACUGCAAGUCAAGCACAACAGUAACAAGACUUGAGUAGUCAAAAAGUGAAUACAUGAAAAAAUCAAAGGGGGUCCAACAUCAACUAAUAUACAUAAAAAACUAAUAUAAACAGUGUAACUUUUCGUCCUAGCUCCGCCCCUGGACUUGAGGGUUUGGUGGAUAUUUUUUUUUGUUGCAAAUUUUCUAGUUGAUUUAGUAUUUAGCUCAAGUGUAUCUUGUGUAAGUAACUGUUUCAAUGUCUUGUUUCAGGAGGGCGCACUCAAUGCUCCUCAAUUGAUGCAACGCAUAAAAUCUGCACUGGAAGUAAAGCAGUAGUCUUAGCGUGCUGCCUUUCUAGUGCUCGAAUCAUCGUUUUGAAGUUAUUCAUGUUUAAAUUUCAAUGAUCGUGUUCUGUGGAAGCCUUCAGUUUCUCGCUCCAUGUAUUUGCAAAGAAAAUUGAUUAGAUACAGGUGUACAAUGAUUAAUCAAUUUGCCCUAACUGCUCUAAUUUUUUUCUCCCUUAAAAUAUGAUUAAACUUUAAUUUUUUAACGGAAUGGCAAACUUUGAUCAACUGAUGUUCAAUGUAUUAAUAAUUCACCAGAUACAAAAAGCAUUUGCAUUGUCUGAAUAAAGUAGCAGAGACUUUUCUUUCUGAAAAUCAAACCAAUACGAAAAUGUCUGAGAACAAAUGGUGAUUUAAGAAAUCGAGCUUUAAAUAAAAUCUUAAAAGUUCAGAUAAUCAAUCAAUUUAGUUAAUAUACGUGCUCAUGUAUCCUUUUACCAUCCAAUACCAACAGAAAGCAAAAGGAAUAGCAGGUGAAAGAUGGAGAUGAGAGCAAAAGAAGCCAUAUCAAUAGGCCAAGACCUCACUCCUCCAAUCCCCCCGCUUUCACUUUGCCUCCACCAUUCUACACUUCUCUCUCACUGCUCUUCUUGCUUUUCUCCCCUCCCUCCUCCUCCUUCCCUUCACUAUCCUCCCUUCUUCUCCCCUAAAAAUCCCAAUUCAAAUCACUCCAUUCGCUACUGUUCCCUUCAAUGCUCUUCUCUCGACUCCCCUAUUCACUUCUCCUCUUCAGAAUUCCACUUCUUUCACCUCUUUCCUCAACCCCUUUACACCAAUUUCCCUACUUCCUCCGACCUUCGUCUCUCCCUCCGCCUCCUCCACCUCUUCCAAACGCUUCAUCUCAUCCAAGAAUCAAAUGGGUCUUUAUUAAAUUUGGAAAGAAUUGGUGGGUUGAUGACGAAUUUCAGGAAAGUAAUGUUCUUGGAAGAACACUGCAAUGAUAAUGAUCUUUCUGGAAGAAUUCGUGAUGGGGCAAAGGCUUUGGCAGCUUCUAGAAGAAUGCGUGUCGGUUUGGAGACCAACGGAGAGUAUACUGUGGAAGCUGCAGUGCUCUGUUUAGUGCUGACGAAUGCAGUGGAAGUGUACGAUAAAGAUGGGAGAAGUUUAGGGGUGGGUGUUUAUGAUGUACCAUUUUCAUGGGUCAAUCAUAGCUGCUCUCCUAAUGCUUCUUACAGGUUUUGUACAGCAUCAGAUUCAGGAGGGAUAUUGGAGAGUAGGAUAUGUCCAGCAGCUACGGAGACUGGUGCUGCUGGCAUUGGACAUGAAUCAAUUAGUAGUAAUACUGAACUUCAGAAAUCCAUGUCAGUUAUUGGUAAUGAACUACUGUAAUUUCUUUCCAAAGUUAUGAUUUUUUUGAUAAUCUUGAUGGAGAGCAAAUGUGAUUUUCUUUCUGCUUUCCAUUCGUUGUUUGGCGAUAGGUGGAAGUGAAGCAUGUGGUCCGAAGAUAAUCCUUAGAAGUAUAAAGGGCAUCCAAAGAAGUGAAGAAGUGUUGAUUUCAUACACUGACUUGUUACAGCCUAAGGUACAGUUGUUCUCAAUCUUUUGAAGGACAUGACACAAUUUUAUAUUAUCAAGGACAUCACUAUAGAUAGGAAAGAGUGGAUGUCGUGUAUUAGGGUAGAAGGCUAGUAGAAGAGAGUGUCGCCUUUCCUUGCAUAGGUUUAGUGCCUGUCAUAGGACUAGUUGUACCCUUGUAGUUCUUGUGGUAUGAUGUUUAUUGUAUUUUGAUGAUCACAUUAUUUUAGUUGUUGUUACUGUUUCUCUCUUGUAUACUCAACACUGCUUUUUUUUAUUAACCACUAUGCUUUGUCCAUUGUUUUCAUCUUCUUUUACUUGGUUUUUGAUGCACUUGAGCUGAGGGUCUUCCGUAAACAGGCUCUCUACCUCCACGAGGUAGCGGUAAGGUUUGAGUGCGCUCUACCCUCCCCUGACCCCGCUUUGUGGAAUUUCAUUGGGUAUGUUGUUGUUGUUGUGUUUCUUAUCAAAUGUUUCUUGAUGGAGAACCUUCUGAACUCAGGUAUGAACUAUGAAUCAAUUGCCAGUUAGAUACAUUUUGUAUGACUGAACAAAUGCUGGUUCCAAUGCCGAAUAAUUUCACUGUAACAUUAUCAAUUCGAUUUAUUUGAGUUGUUGCUUAGAUUGUUUACCAGAAUUGUUCUUCUUUUUCAAAUCCAGUAUAUAGGGAUGAUGACAGCUAAGUUCUACAAGUUAUUUUUAAUGAUGUUCUAUGUUAACCAUAUCAACUUUCAAAAGAAAAAAGAAACAGUUUUAAUAGUGACUUUACUUGUCUUCCAGGUGAUGAGGCAAUCAGAGUUGUGGUCGAAGUACAGGUUCAGUUGCUGCUGUAAACGAUGUAGAUCAAUGCCUAUGACUUAUAUGGAUCAUUGUCUGCAGGUAAAAUCAUAUGGUUUGAGAACAAUGGUUAGAAGGGUAUGCAUGUACUGUCGAACCGUAAUUGUAAUACCAUCAUUUUUGUCCAACAGUAAGCUCCUUCUUUAAAUGAUUCCAGUUUCACCUCUUUGAUUUUCCGUACCUUAUAAAUUUUAUGUUUGGUAAUUGCAGCAUAUCCUGUUAAUUCGAGUUGUAGAGGGUAAUCUGGAAAUUGGAGCAUUUUUCUUUUAUUAUGAUCUAUUUUUUGUGUAAUUGACCACUAAAUAGUUGUAAUUUGGAGGGUUCCUUUAUUCAUUACUUUGAUUUUGCUUCCAUUGUUUUGUUUUUUUGGGAUGAGUACUUUGCUGCCAUUGUUGUUUCAGCAUAUUUGUCUUUUAUUUUCCUCAAAUUUGGUCUGACAUCAAAUUGUGUGGCAAUCAGAAUGCACUUAGUAAAAGAAUUAGGCCACAGUUGAUACACGUAUGGAGGUUUGAUGAUCAUGGAGAUGAGAUGUGACAAUAAAUGUUUGUUUCAAAGAAACUAAGGUGUUCAAACUUGGUAAGUGCUCACCAAGGCAAAAAUAAAAAAGGAAAAGGACUAAGAGGUGAUUUCUGGUGCAACCCCAUCACAACUAGAAGUGCUCCGAAUCUCCUCCCACUGUCCUUACUCGGGUCUUGGCUCUAUUGUACAUGUCCUUAAUCCGAUUCCGACCUAGUGUAUGCCACAGGAACAGCUCUAGCCUCCAAGCAUCUUCAUAGAACCUCCCUCGGAACUUUGUCAUAUGUCUUUUCUAUGUCAAUGAAACAGCAUGUUUAUCAUCAAAAGCAAUAAGAAAUUAAAAAUAGCCCAAAAACAUCCAGGCUGGUGUUUAACAAUCUGCUAAGAAGUCUAGUUUAUAUAUUUUCUCUUGUAAUUUUCCAUAUUGUUUGUUUUCUUCCUUUAAAUCUCUGGGAGUUUUUUUCCUUUUAAGCCAAGUUCUGCUUUGAAGUUCGUAGUCAAGCAGAGUUGAAGAUCAUUGCUCUUCUUGUUUUUUCUCCUAAGAAUUAUGACAUAUCUAAGCCUUUAGGAUCAUUAACAUCUUUUGUGAAUUUUCUUGUGCAGGAAAUCUUAAUUUUAAAUCUCGAUAGUUCAAAUAUGGCUACUGGUGACAACUUCUAUGAGGAACAUGUAAUGGAGAAGCUGAUUGAUUGCUUGGAUGACGCUAUAGAUGACUUCCUGUCAUUUAAUAACCCCAAGAAUUGUUGUGAAAAACUCGAGAUCCUGCUUACUCAAGAUCAUGUUAACGUUCUUCUAAAGCCUGACGGAGAAAAAUUACAUCAACUCUUCAGAUUACAUCCUCUUCACCAUGUCUCUUUGCAUGCCAUCCUGACACUUGCUUCUGCAUACAAAGUCUCUGUAAGUGAACUGCUGGCCCUAGACCCCGAAGGCCAUGAACAUCAAACCAAAGCUUUUAGUCUUAGUAGAAAGAGUGCAGCAUAUUCCUUGUUGCUUGCAGGUGCCACCCAGCAUUUAUUAGAAUCCGAGUCUUCUCUCAUUGUGCCUGUAUCAAAUUUUUGGAUGACUGCUGGUGAGACUCUACUAAGUCUUGUCAGAAGCUCCACUUGGAACUUACUUUCAAUGGAAAGACACGUUGAGGAAUUUUCAUUUUCGUCGCAUCAAAUUUGUGGCAAAUGCACACUGCUUGAUAGGUUUAGAGAUAAAUUUGCCGAUUGUCAUGAUGAAAAUGCAGAGUUUGCUGAUGUAACUAGCCAAUUUUUGAGUUGUGUUACCGAUACAACAUCAAAAAUCUGGGAUUUCCUCACAAAGGAAGGUGGUUACUUGAAAGUAGUUGAAGAUCCCAUUAACUUUAGAUGGCUUGGGAGUAGGAUGCCAUCUUUUAGUCAGUUUGCAACUCAUGCAACAAGUCCUAGUGCAGACAAAACAGAUUCUGGAUUGGAAGCAGAAGAUAAUCACAACGAGAUACGGGUAAACUUGUUCCUGCUUGGUAUUCACUGCUUAAUCUAUGGAGCUUUUUUGUCAACUGUAUGUUUUGGUCCUAAUUCGCCACUCAUGUCUAAAGUUGAAAGUCUUCUUAGUGUCGAAGGUAUUCUGAACGGUUAACUUAAGCCAUUGGUUGCCUACAAAUCCCUAUUGUGUGAAAUGCCAAACCAUAUGUUACCUGUUUUGUGAUUUAGGUAAACGCAAGGAAAUUUUCAAACUAAACAUUUCACAGUUAUAACAUCCACCAGUCAAAACCUCACUUAGUUGGAAAUAUUUGUUUGAAAUUUCUAAACGCUCACACAAGUAUAUACACAUCCAGAUGAAAUCAAACUAUACUAUAUAAAAAUAUCAUAAUAAUUGAAGGUUCCACCUAAUAUAGAAAUCCCCAUCACAACAUUUUCUCAUCACUCACGCUGGCUAAUAUUUUUGGACAUUGUCUAUACAACUAUAAAUAAUGGACAUUUUGGAGAAGAAAAUAUCUGUGAAUUGACAUUAAUUUAAGAGAAGCAAUACAAUAUGGCUGAAGAGAAACACCAACACCAUCACCAUUUGUUCCACCACAAGAACAAGGAGGAUGAGGGUGGACCAGUUGAUUAUGAAAAAGAAGUGAAGCACCACAGCCAUCUCGAGAAGAUUGGUGAACUUGGUGCUGUUGCUGCUGGUGCUUUGGCCUUAGUAUGUAAAUAUAAUAACAUAUAUUCGAUAUUUUGUUUUUAUAUACGUUACAUUUGAUACAAGUCUUCUUUAAUUUCUUACGCCGUUUGUGGUUGAAUUAUUAAAUAUAUAGCAUGAGAAACACAAGGCAAAGAAGGACCCAGAGCAUGCACACAAGCACAAGAUAGAGGAAGAGAUUGCAGCUGUUGCUGCAGUUGGGGCAGGUGGAUUUGCAUUCCAUGAACAUCAUCAGAAAAAAGAUGCCAAGAAAGAAAAAAAGGAAGUUGAGGGUGGACACCACCACCACCACCACUACUAAUCAAAUUUAACUUUUUUAGGCACCUAUGGACUCUAUGUUUUGUCUAAUAUAAAUAAAUAAAAGAUACUACUAUAUAUGUGUUUUGUAUCCAAUAUUAAUCUCUCUCUAGAUUGUAUGAUUUGGUGUUUCUAUGUUAAUCUCACUAUGUAAUACUUUGAGCCCGUUUGGAUGGGCUUAAUAAAAGCAGCUUUAAAAAAGUACUUUUGAAAGUGCUGAAACUUAUUUUUAAAAUAAGUAGUUAUGCGUUUGGAUAAAAGUGUUGAAGUUAAAAAAAAAGUUGUUGAUGUAUUUGGCAAAUAAGUGCUGAUAAACAACUUUUUAAAUCAAAAUGUCUGAAAUACCAUCAAAAGCAGUUAACAUAAUAAAAGUUAAUUAAUUUAUAUUUUACAGCCAUAAAUAAUUAUAUUUUGCUAUCAUUCACAUAUUUCUUUCUCAUCACAAAUUAUUUAUAAAAGGAAUAUAAACUUAUUAUAGAUUUUAAAGAUAUAUAAUUUGAAUAGAUCAAAGAACGAUUUAAGAUUUAAUUUAGUUUCAUCCAUAGGUAAUAAUAAUUGUUUAUCAUUCACAUAUUUCUUUAUUAUCACAAAUUAUUUAUAAGAGGAAUAUAAAUUUUUAUUUUUCAAGAUAUUAUCGACAUCAAUCGAGAGAAAAGGAAGAAAGCUAAUAAAAAAUAAUCGAAAAAACUUACUUCAAGGUUUAUCUUUACUUCAAAUUGGAAGAACAGGAAGAAGUUCAGCAGCUAUGCCAAAUGUGAAGGGGAAAAUGGAAGAAAGAGAAGUUAGGGUUAUGUGAGUUAUUUGGAGAUUGUAUAAAAAUAUUAAGGGCAAAAAGGUAAAAAUGUGGUCAACUUAAAACAGCUUAUAAGCUAAAAAAAAAAACACCUUUACCCCAGCUUUUAACUUUUGACUUAAAAUAAGUUUUUUUAAACUUAAAAUAAGUUAUUUUGAGUAUUGUCAAACAACUAAAUAAGUCAAAAACCAGCUUUUAAGUCAGUUUGACCAGCUUUUAAGCUGAGCCAAACAGGCUCUUUGUCUAUGGAUUAAUUUGCUUUUUGAGUGUUAUUUUUUAUAUUUUGAUCGAUGUAUAAUUUUAUUACGAUAUUAUUUUUCCCAUUAUUUUGUUAUUAUUUGUUGAUUCUUACAUGUACUUCCAUUACUAUUUAUUGUUUUUUUUAUUGAAUCUAGGUCUAUUAUAUCAAUAUCUUUACCUUUGAGAUGUAGAUACAAAUACAAUCGGCAAACAUUUUACUUUCUUCAAAUCUUACUUUGUUGGAUUAUAUUAAAUAUAUUAUUAUUAUUAAUUUUUUCAAUCUUUAACAUUUUGACUAAUUUAAAUUUAUACCGUGUAUGAACUUGGUAGGAGGUGGCAGUGAAAAACAAAACAUAAGAUUUACUUGAAUGAUAGUGACAAGUAUUUGUUUUUCUCCUUUGCCUCAUGUGCUGUUAGUAGUCUUAAUAGCUAAGUAAUUCCAUAUUUUGGUGGAUGAUUCACAAUCUUCACCCUCUAAUUAUGAAGAUAAAUUACAUAUUUUAUAUACCUUUGAAAAACAUGAAGAUAAAUUAGUAAUAAAGAGAAUAAUAUUCUUUAAUUUACUAAUGUCACUUACUAAUUACUAUGAAUGGAUAUAAUUAUCUCAGGUUUGUAAUUAUCUUUUUAAGUGAUAAUAGUUUGUUGGUGAAUAUAUCAUAAUUACCGUUGAAAACAAAGUGAACAGAAAUAAAUAAAUAAAUAUUUUUAUUAAGUCGUAACUAUCUCACAAUUUUUAAGGUGAUUCAAAUUCAUUGCAGUAUAAUUUUCAUCAAUUCAAUAAUAUAACUUUUGACUUGUCCCCUCUAAAAUAGUUUAACUCAAUUCGCACAAGCUCAUUCUUAUGAAAAGCGAUCAACUUUUGUCAUAAGUGAAAUCUAAUAAUGAUGCUCCUAUAAUUUCGACAUCCCACUCAUACAGUAUACAAAUCUUAUCAAGAGUUUUUAAGCUCACCCUCCAUAAAUCAUUAUAGAAUAAAUACAUUCACAUCAAAGGAAGAGAAUAGAAAAAAAAUAUAAUAGUGCAUAUAUAACUAGUUAUCAAAUAAUUCUUUCUUUCUGUUGAACCUAAUUAUAUGAUCUCUAGUUCCAGAUUGAAUUUUUCAUAUGUUACUCAAAAUUUCAGGAGCUUUAAUUUCAUCACCUCGACAUCUUCAAACUUUUUAUCUUAUUUAUAAGUGAAUUUGCAAGAUUAUCACAAAAUUUGACAUAAUCAAAUUUUAACUAUAUUACUUGUCAAAUAUGAUCUCAAAACAUUUAUUUUGCUUGUGGAUAUGAAUUUGCUGUUAUAAUAACGGUUUAAACUAUACCCAUAGCGUUGAUGUUAUCACAAUAAAUCAAAAUUAAAGAAAGUAAUUUUCAAUUGCACCACUUGUGAAAAAUGAUUAUCGUUAUUAGCUCAAUAAAGAUACUACCAUAGUAAAUCGAAAUAAACACGUUUCAGAAGAACUUUUAUUUUUCAGUUGUAUUUGUAUUUAAAUUAUAGUCAUACAAAUGUUACCACAAAUUCCAAAAAAAAAAAUUAUUUCUUCAAUUAAACACCUAGUUAAGCAACACUUGAACAUAAUAAAUUAAAACUAAGAAAAUAAUAUAAAUAUUCUUUAAAAGAAAUAUCGAUCGAUGAAUAAUUCCGCCCCUACACGCAGACGAAAAAAAAAGAAGUUUGAAAAGGGAAAUGCGAACCAUAUUGUACGCGUUAUUUGUUUUCUGAUUUCAGUAAGCAAAAGGAAAUUUUCAAACUAAAGCAUUUUCAUUUGAUAAUUAUUUAAAUUCAACUUGUUUUAUUAGGUGCUAAGAAACAUCUUAGUAAUAUCAUCCACCAGUCAAAAUUAAAUCCCAACUUAGUUCGAAAUAAUUAUUUGAAAUUUCUAACCUUCACACUAGUAAUUAAUUAAUAAUAUAUAUUAUUUACUUCCAGAAGAAGUCAAAUUUAAUUUUCUAUGACAAGAUGAUAUCUAAAAUACAAAUUAAAUUGAACAUGUUUGGUCGAAUUUUCUCGUCCUUCAUGACAACUACGUAAUAUUUUUGGACAUUACAAUUCACCGGCCUAUAAAUAAUGGAGUAGCUAGAAAAAACAAAAUAUCAAAGCAUAAAUUGUCUAUCGACGUUUAAUCAACAAUUAAUUUAGUGAAGAAAAUAUUAUAAUAUUAAUAUGGCUGAAGAGAAACAACAUCACCGUUUGUUCCACCACAAGAACAGAGAGGAAGAAGGUGGUCCAGUUGAUCAUAAAAAAAAAGUGAAGCACCAUAGCCAUCUCCAGAAAAUUGGUGAACUUGGUGCUGUUGCUGCCGGUGCUUACGCCUUGGUACGUAAACAUUACUUCCUCCAUCUCAUUUUAUUUGACUAGGCACGAAGUUUAACAAUGAAUAAUCGAAAUUUAAAUCAUUUCAUCAAUCGUGUAUCAUUCUUUUUUAGACUGACUAAAAAGUAAAGUAAGUCACAUAAAUUGGAAUUGGAAUAGGAAGAAUAUUUAAUAACAUAUGUUAUGUCCAUUGAUAUAAAAUAUUUCAUAUACAUGUCCUAAAUUUUUGUGUCUAGUUAUUUCAAAUAGGAUAUGUAUGGUACUAUUAUACUCUAUGUUCUAUGUGGAAUAUAUAUAGUUGGACUAGUGAUUUCGCUCCAAGUUUAAAGUGAUCAUAUAGCUUUUCUAAUGUCAUAAUACUCCCUUCGUCUUAUAUAAUCGUUACUUUUUAUUUCCAAGCUUAUGUCGAAAAGUAGUAAAAAAACGAUAGAUAAUUUGAAGCGAACAUGUAUGUACUAAAAAUGCAUGUAAAUAUACAGCAUGAGAAGCACAAGGCAAAGAAAGACCCAGAGAAUGCACACAAACACAAGAUAAAACAAGAGAUAGCAGCAGUAGCUGCAGUUGGUGCUGGUGGAUUUGCAUUCCAUGAACAUCAUCAGAAGAAAGAAGCCAAGAAAGAGAAAAAGGCAGCUGAGAAAGGACGACACCACUAAUUAAAUUUAAGUCACCCAUCUAUGGACUGCAUAAAAUAAAUAAAAGUUACUAUAUAUGUAUAUAUAUUAUGUGUUUUAUGUUCAGUUUAAAUUUAAUUUAUGUCCAGUGUGUAUUAGAAUGGUGUUUCUCACCUUGUAACACUUUUUCUAUAAUUCUAUUCAUUAAUUUGUUUUUUCAAUGUUAAUCUUAUUUUUCUUCCUUGUGUAAUUUUUUUUUAUUUUUUUUAAAAUGUAACUUUCAUGCUUUUUGGUGGUGUAACCCUUUUAUUUAUUUAAUCUAAUAAGCUAUACAUAGAAAACAAAUGAUAGCCUAAACUACCGUAAACACAUGUUUGAUUCAUGAAUCCGACUGGAAAAAAAGUGGUAUAGCAAGUAUUUUUAAAAUCUACCAAAAUUGUAAGUAAUUAUAUAUAGUAUAUAAAGUGGUGAGUUUGCUAAUAGCCUAUAUUACUUAGCCCAUAUUAGUUCAUAAUCUAUGUAAUAUAUUUUUUUUAUUCGAAAAAAACAUUGAUACAUGACAUUUUACAUAAAUAAAAUAUUUCAACUUGACAUAAAUAGUAAACUAUCAUUAUUAAUUAAAACUUAAAGAUUAAAAUAUUACUAUCCAUAAAAAAAUUAAUUUUUAAUUAAAAAAUUCAUACUUCACCUCCCCUUCCCCGUAUUAUUUUAUUUUUUCAAAAUAAUUUUUUCCCCCAUCCAUUUAACCCUUCAAUCCUAAUUUUUAUUUUAUUUUAUUUUAUGUUAGAUAUGCACGCACAUAUAUUUUAAGAAAAAUAUGCUAUUAGUGUAUCGAAUAAAACAUUAAUAAGUAAAAAAUUAAAACAUGUCUUGCAGUGACAAGUAAAAAGUAUUUUUGAUAUGUGUAUAUAUCUAACACAAAAUAAAAAAAAUUAAAUGGAGUGGAUAAUAUUAUUUAUUCUUUUAAAAAAUAAAAUAAUAUUUAAAUUAGUAUUUCAGCAGGCAGGGGAAGAGAGAGGGGGGUUGAAACUCAAAAAAUGAUAUUAAAUAUUAAAUAACCUAGCGUUAUUUUAAUUUUUUUACUAAUAUAACUAUACAAGUGUCACGACCCAAAUCGUGUCCUCCUGUGUGAGCGAACCAACCAAUCUAAACCUUAACAUUUCAAUAUAAUAUCAACAGAAAAUAAUGCGAAAGACUUAAACUCAUUAAUAAAAUCAAUAACUAUUAUUAUCCCCAAAAUCUGGAAGUCAUCAUCACAAGAACAUCUACUUCAAAUUACUAAAUCUAAGAGUUUCUAAGAAGCUAAAAAUACAUAAAAGCUAGUCCAUGCCGGAACUUCAAGGCAUCAAGACAUGAAGAGGAAGAUCCAGUCCAAGCUAGAAGCAUUAGCUCACCCUGAUAUCCGGAAUAAUGAAGACUGGCUAGAGUUGCGGUUGAGUUGAAGACGAUGGCACGUUUGCUGCACUCCACAAAUAACAAAGAAGAAAACAUAAAAGUAGGGGGUCAGUACAAACACAAGUACUGAGUAGGUAUCAUCGGCCAACUCAAAAUAGAAAACAGUAUAUAUCAAGUAAUAUCAUAAAAUCAACUAUGAUACUCAACAUGUAGCAUUUACAAUUACCAUAACCCUUGGUUACAACACCAAGCUCAUCAAUGAGGACUCACGCCUCCUCAUCAUACUCAUUUGGGAUUUAGGUUCAUUAGAUUGAGUAUAUUAACAUCUUUCAAGAUUCAUUAUCUUUAUUCCUCUCGUGUCGGUACGUGACACUCCGCUCCUCAAUAUACUAUCCUGGUGUCGGAACGUGACACUCCGAUCCUCAUUCUAUCCUGGUACCGGAACGUGGCACCCGAUCCAUAUUCUAUCCUGGUGUCGGAACGUGACACUCCGAUCCUCAUUCUAUCCUGGUGUCGGAACGUGACACUCCGAUCCUCAUUCUAUCCUGGUACCAGAACGUGGCACCCGAUCCAUAUUCUAUCCUGGUGUCGGAACGUGACACUCCGAUCCUCAUUCUAUCCUGGUGUCGAAACGUGACACUCCAAUCCUCAUUCUAUCCUGGUGUCAGAACGUGACACUCCGAUCCUCAUUCUAUCCUGGUACCGGAACGUGGCACCCGAUCCAUAUUCUAUUCUGGUGUCGGAACGUGACACUCCGAUCCUCAUAUACUAUCCUGGUACCGGAACGUGGCACCCGAUCCUCAUAUACUAUCCUGGUACCGGAACGUAGCACCCGAUCCCCUAAUCUCCUUCUAUCAAUUCAUCAAGCCUCCUUUCUUACCAAGGCAUCAUCAAUCUCAUUAUUUUAGUUCAUCACGCCUUCUUUUAUACCAAGACCUCAUCAUUAACAAAGAGAUUAGGGUUUUUCAAGAUUUGGGAUUCAAUAACUUCAUCAUGCUUAUAUAAUCACAAUUAUAUAAUUACAUUCAUGCAAGCAUACAAGUAAGCACAUAGCAGGAUUUACAAUAUUAUCAAUACAUAUCAUUCGCUAUUAAGAGUUUACUACGAAUAUCGUAAGAGAAACCAUAACCUACCUCCACCGAAGACUAGUGAUCAAGCAAGCAAAUUCCCAAAGCUUUGUUCUUCUUCUCUCCCUGUUCGUUCGUUUUCUCCCUCUCUUGUGCUUUCAAAUUCUCUUUCUUUUACCCUAAUUAGCAUAUAAUUAAGAAUAAAAGGUGGUAAUAAUAACCCACUAAUUAAUUUAAGGUUACCUCUUUUAACCCCCAAGAAGUUUAGUUAUUAAUAUAAACCCACGAAAUAUAUAAUUAUAGCAGGAAUAGUCCAAAACGCCCCUUUAAAACUUAACCAGAAAUCCGACUCCGACUGGGAUUACACAACCUGUGACGGCCCGUCGCGCCCGCGACAGUUCGUCAUGCAGGUUCGUCAGAGACUCGAUUUCCUUAAGGAGUCUGUGAUGGCCCGUCGAACCUACGACGGUCCGUCCUGCACUUCUGUCACGACGUUCUGAGAAUCGUUCCCUGUACCAAAUUCUCAAGAGUUGAAGUGUUUUUAAACGGUGGAUCACGACGGUUCAUCAUGCCUGUGAUGGUCCGUCCUGCAGGUCCGUCACAGAGUUCAGAGAGUCGAUUUCAGCACCCAAAUUUCAGAAUUUCUAAGUGUUUUGGGAUGAGACACCCUCGACGGUCCGUCGUGCCCAUGACGUUCCGUCGUCUCAGCCUGUUUUUUCAGAAAUAAAAUAUGCUGCUCAAAACGACAAAACAGGUCAUUACAUUAGAUACCAAUUUACCCAUCGUUCGUCCCCGAACGAUCACAAGAAGGAAAAUAAGGGCGAAAAGGAGUACCUGAAUCUGUGAACAGGUGUGGAUAUCUUUCUCGCAUAUCAACCUCCUUCUCCCAAGUGGCUUCUUCAACGGGUCGAUUCUUCCAUUGAACUUUGAUAGAUGCAAUCUCCCUUGAUCUCAACUUGCGAAUUUCUCUAUCUAGAAUAGCAACAGGCUCCUCCUCAUAGGACAAAUUCUCAUCAAGCAAAACUGAAUCCCAACGGAUAAUGUAGUUUUCAUCCCCAUGGUAUCUUUUCAACAUCGACACAUGGAAUACCGGAUGUACUCCGGACAGCCCUGGAGGCAAGGCUAACUCAUAAGCCACCUCCCCUACUCGCUUAAGUACUUCAAAGGGACCAAUGUACCUUGGGCUUAGCUUGCCUCUUUUACCAAACCGCAUCACCCCUUUCAUUGGCGAAACUUUCAACAAGACUUGUUCACCCUCCAUGAACUCUAAGUCUCUAACCUUCCGAUCUGCAUAUUCUUUUGCCUACUUUGCACCGCUAGAAGCUUUUCUUGAAUAGAUUUCACUUUCUCUAUCGAAUCCCUCAAAAGAUCAGUACCCCAAGGUCUAACCUCGAAUGCAUCAAACCAACCAAUGGGGGACCUACAUCUCCUACCAUACAAUGCUUCAAAUGGAGCCAUAUCAAUGCUUGAGUGAUAGCUAUUAUUGUAUGAAAACUCCGCUAAGGGUAAGAAGUUAUCCCAAUGGCCACCAAAUUCUAUUACACACGCACGAAGCAUAUCCUCCAACACUUGAAUCGUUCGCUCAGACUGGCCAUCGGUCUGAGGAUGGAACGCGGUACUAAGGUCCAACCUAGUACCUAAUUCAGCAUGCAAUGUUCUCCAAAACUUAGAAGUAAACUGCAUACCUCUAUCUGAUAUGAUGGAGAGUGGAACCCCAUGCAACCGAACAAUUUCUGAGAUAUAGAUUUUGGCUAACUUCUCUGCAUUGUAAGUCACCUUUACCGGAAUGAAAUGAGCAGACUUAGUUAACCUAUCAACAAUCACCCAAAUAGAGUCGUACUUACCCAUCGUCUUUGGAAGACCAACCACGAAGUUCAUUGCGAUUCUCUCCCAUUUCCAUUCCGGAAUGGGCAUUCUCUAAAGUGUUCCUCCGGGCCUUUGGUGUUCAUACUUUACUUGUUGACAGUUUGGACAUUUGGCAAUAAAAUCCACAAUAUCACGCUUCAUUCUACUCCACCAAAAGUGUUGCUUUAGGUCACGGUACAUCUUGGUUGCACCCGGAUGUAUCAAAUACCUUGAACUAUGAGCCUCUGUCAAAAUAGUGUUGAUCAAAUCAUCGACGCGGGGUACACAUACCCUUCCCUUAAUCCUUAAAACACCUUCCUCAUCGAUUUGUGCUUCCUUAGCCUCUCCUCGCAAUACCUUAUCUUGGAUUCUGCGCAGUUUCUCAUCAUCAAACUGUCUUCCCUUAAUCUUGUCAAGGAAGGAAGAUCUUGCCUCCACACAAGCUAAAAAUCCUCCCUUCUCAUUUACUUCUAAUCUCAUAAGGUCGUUAGCCAGAAUCUGAACUUCUCUAGCCAAUGGGCGUCUAGAAGCUUGCAAGUGAGCUAGACUUCCCAUUCUUCCCGCCUUUCUACUUAAAGCAUCCGCUACAACAUUCGCCUUCCCCGGAUGAUACAAAAUAGUGAUGUCGUAGUCCUUCAGUAGUUCCAUCCAUCUCAUCUGUCUCAAGUUCAAAUCUUUCUGAGUAAAGACAUACUGUAGGCUACGAUGAUCCGUAUAGACCUCACACUUAACCCCAUAUAAAUGGUGUCUCCAUUGCUUUAAUGCAAACACUACCGCGGCCAAUUCCAAAUCAUGAGUUGGAUAGUUACGUUCAUGCACUUUUAAUUGUCUUGAAGCAUAAACAAUCACAUUCUUCUCUUGCAUUAGCACUGCACCCAAACCCGAAUAGGAUGCAUCACAAUAGACAACGAAAUUCUUACCUUUCACUGGCAAGGUAAGGAUUGGUGCGGUAGUCAACAAAGUCUUGAGCUUCUGGAAGCUUUCUUCACAUUCUUCCGACCAUACAAAUGGAACAUUCUGCUUAGUCAAGUUCGUCAAUUGGGAAGCAAUGGAAGAGAAUCCCUUGACAAAUCGACGGUAAUAGCUAGCUAACCCAACAAAACUCCUUAUUUCUAACACAUUAGUAGGUCUUACCCAAUUUUUCACUGUCUCAAUCUUAGAAGGAUCCACCAUCACUCCAUCCUUAAAAACCACGUGCCCCAAGAAGGACACCGCAUCUAGCCAAAAACUCACACUUGGAGAAUUUGGCAUAAAGCUUUUUCUCCCUCAACAUUUCCAAUACCAUUCUCAAAUGCUCUUCAUGUUCCUUCUUGCUCUUUGAGUAUACCAAUAUGUCAUCAAUGAAUACGAUCACAAAGAGAUCCAGAUAUGACUUAAAAAUCCCGUUCAUCAAGCUCAUGAACGCAGCAGGGGCAUUCGUAAGGCCAAAAGACAUCACUACAAAUUCGUAAUGCCUAUACCUGGUUCUAAAAGCAGUCUUUGGCACAUUCAUUGCCCAUAUUUUCAAUUGAUGAUAACCGGAUCUUAAGUCAAUCUUAGAGAAGACACAAGCACCUUGUAACUGAUCGAACAAGUCAUCAAUGCAAGGAAGAGGAUACUUGUUCUUUAUGGUUACCUUUUUUAGUUGUCUGUAGUCUAUGCACAUUCGAAAACUCCCAUCCUUCUUCUUCACAAACAAAAUUGGAGCACCCCAAGGAGAUGCACUUGGUCUAAUGAAGCCUUUGUUCAACAACUCUUGAAGUUGGGCUUUUAACUCUCUUAACUCCGCGGGAGCCAUUCUAUAAGGGGGUAUAGAAAUGGGGCGAGUACCCGGUCCAAGAUCAAUACAGAAGUCAAUAUCCCUAUCUGGCUGCAUACCAGGAAGAUCUGCAGGGAACACAUCCAAAAACUCACGAACCACCGAAACCGACUCAAUCGAAGGUACUUGGAUAGUGUCAUCCUUGAGAUGUGCCAAGAAAGCUAAACACCCUUUACUAACCAUUUUCUUAGCACGAAGAAAAGAGAUGAUACGUACCGGAUUGGAAGUGUAGUCACCCUCCCACACUAACGGAUCUGUCCCAGGCUUGGCUAACAUCACCGUUUUAGCAUUACAAUCCAAGAUCGCAAAUUGUGGAGAAAGCCAAGUCAUACCCAAAAUUACAUCAAAAUCACCCAUUUCUAAGAUAACCAAAUCUACAUAAGUGUUGCUCCCCAUAAAGUUCACCAAACAAGACCUAUAUACCUUUUCAACUACCACAGACUCACCCACCGGAGUAGAAACACGAAUAGGCAUAUCAAGCAAUUCACAAUGUAAAUCAAAGACCAUUAGAAAAUGCGGAAGAUACAUAUGAAAAUGUAGAGCCAGGGUCAAACAAUACAAAAACCAUGCAAUCACAAACCAGAAGAUUACCUGUGAUGACAGCAUCAGAUGUCUCCGCCUCCGAUCUCCCAGGGAAAGCAUAACAAUGGGCCCUUUCGUUUGUUUGUCCGUUGCCCCUACCAUGUUGUGAUGUAGUGGCUCCAGUUUGCCCAUCACCCCGGCCGUUUUGGUGACCACCAUUACCUCGACCACCGUGUCCUCCAGAAUGACGACCUCUUUCAUAACCACCCCUACCUCUAACAUUUGGAGGUCUGUAACUCUGUUUUAGACAAUACCUCUUAAUGUAUCCAGUCUCCCCACAUCCAUAACACUCUCUGGGUUCAAGUAUAGGUCUCUCAGAGAAGUGUUGACCGGUCUGAGGUGGACCCCCAACUACAGUCUGUAGUGAAGACUGAAUGGGUCGAACUGAGUAACCUCCGGAACCCUGUCCUCUAGAGUAAGAACCAUUAAACUCACCUCCCUUUCGAAACCUCUUUGAUGUCGAUGCCAAGGUGAAUUCAUCUGGCUUCACUCCUUCCACCUCUACCACGAAAUCUACCACUUCUUGGAAGGAUUUUGCCGUAGCCGCUACUUGUAAGGCUGAAAUCCGCAACUCUGACCUCAACCCCUUCACAAAAUGACGAAUCCGCUCUUGUGGACUGAAACAAAGUUGGGUGGCAUAUCUGGAUAGUGCAUGAAAAUUAGCCUCAUAUGCAUUGACCGACAUCCUACCUUGCUCUAGGCUCAAGAACUCAUCCCUUUUACUAUCCCUUAAAGUCCGGGGGAUAUACUUCUCCAAAACUAGAGAAUGAGGCUCAAGUCAUAGGUGGUGCCUCUGUUGUUUGACACUCAACAUGUGACCACCACCACAUUUUGGCGUUCCCUUGAAACUGAUAAGUCACAAACUCCACACCAAACCGUUCUACUAUACCCAUCUUGUGUAGUAGCUCGUGACAGUCAACCAGAAAAUCAUAAGCAUCCUCCGAUUCAGCACCCUUGAAGACUGGAGGUUUCAAUUUCAAGAACUUGCUGACAAGUUCAGGCUGAUCAUUUGUCAUUAUAGGCCCAGUAGUCAGACGUGGAAACGUGCCUAUUUCCAAUGGGACAUCCAUGCGGGGAGCCGCAGUAGCCGCAUGUUGUACCUCCAGAGCCUGAGGUGCUGGUGCAGAAAACACUGGAGGUGUCUGGCCUUGAUCAGAUAACCCUCUAAGAUAAGCGAGAACCUGAUUGAUCAUCUCUGGGGUAGGUUGGGGUGGCAAUUUCUCAUUUUGCACUUGUUCAUUCUCCCCAUCCUUCCCUUCUCUUAUUACUUCCUCAGUCGGUAGAGGAGUCACUGCCCUAGUAUCAGAUGGGCUAGGUGCUCAUCCUCUUCCCCUAGAGGACGUCCUCCCACGACCUCUUCCACGGCCUCUUGCCGCUACUCUUCCUCUAGCUACAGCCCCAGUGGCUGGCUCAGACGCACCCUGUUCCAUCGGUGCUGGUGUUGGCGCGGUUGUUGCUCUAGUUCUAACCAUCUGCGAAAUAGAGUGAAGAUGGUCAGAUACCAAUUUGUAUCACCUAGAUACCAAUUGGACCCAAGUAAUAGCACGAAAGAAAGAAAGAAAGAAUGGAAUUUUCCUAAAGUCUUAUAGCCUCUCAAAGAAAAGUAAAGGCGUCCCUCUACCGUUCCUUAAGACUCUACUAGACUCGUUCUUGUGUGAUGAGACCAACGAACCUAAUGCUCUGAUACCAAGUUUGUCACGACCCAAAUCGGGCCGCGACUGGCACCCACACUUACCCUCCUGUGUGAGCGAACCAACCAAUCUAAACCUUAACAUUUCAAUAUAAUAUCAACAGAAAAUAAUGCGGAAGACUUAAACUCAUUAAUAAAAUCAAUAACUAUUAUUAUCCCCAAAAUCUGGAAGUCAUCAUCACAAGAACAUCUACUUCAAAUUACUAAAUCUAAGAGUUUCUAAGAAGCUAAAAAUACAUAAAAUCUAGUCCAUGCUGAAACUUCAAGGCAUCAAGACAUGAAGAGGAAGAUCCAGUCCAAGCUAGAAGCAUUAGCUCACCCUAAUAUCCGGAAUAAUGAAGACUGGCUAGAGUUGCGGUUGAGUUGAAGACGAUGGCACGUUUGCUACACUCCACAAAUAACAAAGAAGAAAACAUAAAAGUAGGGGGUCAGUACAAACACAAGUACUGAGUAGGUAUCAUCGGCCAACUCAAAAUAGAAAACAGUAUAUAUCAAGUAAUAUCAUAAAAUCAACUAUGAUACUCAACAUAUAGCAUUUACAAUUACCAUAACCCUUGGUUACAACACCAAGCUCAUCAAUGAGGACUCACGCCUCCUCAUCAUACUCAUUUGGGAUUUAGGUUCAUUAGAUUGAGUAUAUUAACAUCUUUCAAGAUUCAUUAUCUUUAUUCCUCUCGUGUCGGUACGUGACACUCCGCUCCUCAAUAUACUAUCCUGGUGUCGGAAUGUGACACUCCGAUCCUCAUUCUAUCCUGGUACCGGAACGUGACACCCGAUCCAUAUUCUAUCCUGGUGUCGGAACGUGAUACUCCGAUCCUCAUUCUAUCCUGGUGUCGGAACGUGACACUCCGAUCCUCAUUCUAUCCUGGUAGCGGAACGUGGCACUCGAUCCAUAUUCUAUCCUGGUGUCGGAACGUGACACUCCGAUCCUCAUUCUAUCCUGGUGUCGGAACGUGACACUCCGAUCCUCAUUCUAUCCUGGUGUCGGAACAUGACACUCCGAUCCUCAUUCUAUCCUGGUACCGGAACGUGGCACCCAAUCCAUAUUCUAUUCUGGUGUCGGAACGUGACACUCCGAUCCUCAUAUACUAUCCUGGUACCGGAACGUGGCACCCGAUUCUCAUAUACUAUCCUGGUACCGGAACGUGGCACCCGAUCCCCUAAUCUCCUUCUAUCAAUUCAUCAAGCCUUCUUUCUUAACAAGGCAUCAUCAAUCUCAUUAUUUUAGUUCAUCACGCCUUCUUUUAUACUAAGGCCUCAUCAUUAAUAAAGAGAUUAGGAUUUUUCAAGAUUUGGGAUUCAAUAACUUCAUCAUGCUUAUAUAAUCACAAUUAUAUAAUUACAUUCAUGCAAGCAUACAAGUAAGCACAUAGCAGGAUUUACAAUAUUAUCAAUACAUAUCAUUCGCUAUUAAGAGUUUACUAUGAAUAUCGUAAGAGAAACCAUAACCUACCUCCACCGAAGACUAGUGAUCAAGCAAGCAAAUUCCCAAAGCUUUGUUCUUCUUCUCUCCCUGUUCGUUCGUUUUCUCCCUCUCUUGUGCUUUCAAAUUCUCUUUCUUUUACCCUAAUUAGCAUAUAAUUAAGAAUAAAAGGUGGUAAUAAUAACCCACUAAUUGAUUUAAGGUUACCUCUUUUAACCCUCAAGAAAUUUAAUUAUUAAUAUAAACCCACGAAAUAUAUAAUUAUAGUAGGAAUAGUCCAAAAUGCCCCUUUAAAACUUAACCAGAAAUUUGACUCCGACUGGGAUUACGCAACCUGUGACGUCCCGUCGCGCCCGCGACGGUUCGUCAUGCAGGUUCGUCAGAGACUCGAUUUCCUUAAGGAGUCUGUGACGGCCCGUCGUACCUACGACGGUCCGUUCUGCACUUCCGUCACGACGUUCAGAGAAUCGUUCCCUGUACCAAAUUCUCAAGAGUUGAAGUGUUUUGAAACGGUGGAUCACGACGGUUCGUCGUGCCUGUGACGGUCCGUCCUGCAGGUCCGUCACAGAGUUCAGAGAGUCGAUUUCAGCACCCAAAUUUCAGAAUUUCUAAGUGUUUUGGGACGAGACACCCUCGACGGUCCGUCGUGCCCAUGACGUUCCGUCGUGGGUUCCGUCGUCUCAGCCUGUUUUUUCAGAAAUAAAAUCUGCUGCUCAAAACGACUAAACAGGUCGUUACAACAAGAGUUAUUCAAUUAAUAUAGUCCCUCCAAGGACAUCCAAUAAAAAAAAAGAGAUUCAAUAAAACUCAUUUUUAUUUUACCCAUCUUCAUUAUUCUCGCCCGUAAAAUAUAGAAAUAAAAACAACAUAAUUAAACAUAUUUUUAACUAUCGUAUAGAUACAUAUUUUACCUAUAGUUUAGACGUAUUCCAAGUUCAUCUCCCUAUUCUAUUUCUUUCUUCUUUCUCCCUCAUAAAUCUUCUUCACUAAACCAUCUUGUGAUGGUCGAACAACCGAUACAAACAAGCACAUAGAAGCGAAGAAGUCAAGAUAGUCAUAAGCUAAAGCAGGAUAAAUUGUUCAAUCUAUAUAAUAAAAAAGGACUUCUUGAUAAUGCGCACAACUUAAUUUGUAUAUUUGCAACCAACAAACACAGAAACAUCGAUUGUAUGGCACAAAGGAACUAUAAAUCCAGGUUUCACAAGUAAAGUUCUUAAUUCACAACAUACUGUAUGUAUCUAUCUUACAAUCUCGAUUUUGCGUUGUAUUAGACACCAUGAGAUAUGUCUGACGUAAUUAUUAUUAAUCUAUUACAAUGUUGUGUAUUAAAUACAUGUAUAUAUAAGAAAGUAUUGGUAUUAAACUAAGAUUAUAUGCUUUAUGAAUCUUGUGUUACAUAAGAUACAAAAGAUGUAUCCAACAUUAAUUCAUGUAUAUUACACAUGUUCUAUAGAGUAUCAGAAUUACUUACAUGUAUAACAUGUAUCUGAUCUAAUAUUAACAACAACGUAAUGCAUGUGUCAUACUUAUUAAUUUAAUGUAUAUGAAUUAUCUCGUAUACAGGUUAAAUGAAAUAUGUCAAAAACUUGUUUUAAAAGACUUGAGUACUGAGUUGAGGAAAAGUAUAGUUGAGUUCAUUUUCUUUAAAAUGAUAUAUGCGAACUAAGUAUUUCCAAGAGUAAAUGAUUUUACAUUUAAGAUGAGGAAACUGAGAUUUCCAAUAGAGUUUUAACCAGUUUGAGUACCAUCUCUUUUAAGGGAAAGAUUUUGAAUUAUAAUCUCAAACUACAAAAAAGUUAUGUUUUUAUACAUAUGAACUGAAUAUAAUUUUAGGAGUAGUAUUGAACACCGUGGGGACGAGUUUCACAUAACUCAAGUCUCCAUAAAUUAUGUAUCCAAUGUAGGAAGAAAGGGUCAUACUUUUAAAAUUAUUCCUUAAUGUUUUUUAGCAUAGACUAGUGGAUCCAAUUAGUUGAGAGGUUAUAUACCCCGACAAAGUAUAGUAAAGUUCUGACAGCGUGGGCGAGACGAUGUAUCAUCACUUACUCAUAGUGAUGAGAAACUCACAUAGAGUUAUAUUAUAUUCUUUAUAUAUACUAACUGAGUUAUUAUUGUAUUCUUCAAUACAUUUAGUUGUUAUCUACUGUGUUAAAAGUUUUUCAUAUAUAUUGCAUCUUUUACUAUUUUUUUAAUCGUUGAGUAUCAUGAGUUGAGUAUCUUUGAGUUGAAUAUCAUAUCUCUGAAUUGAGUAUCUUAUUUUUAAGUUGAAUUGAGUGAGUUGUGAAGAGGUAAGUUGUCCUUUUUUAUCAAGUUCAUGCCUAUAUUUAUGCUUAAGAAUUCCCCUUACAUGCUCAUACAUUCCACGUAGCGAACCAUUUGGCAUGUAUGAUUGCACGAUGCAAAUAUAGAUAUUCAGGAUCAUCAACAGGCUUUUCGUUGAGGUCAUGUGAUAUUUCAGUCAACUCUUGGUGAACCUUUUUUUUUAUUUCGGAGGACUUCACCUUUAUCUUACCAUUAGUAGUUUUGAGAUGUCGUGGGUCUUGUCCCGAUAUCCUUUUGUAAUAGUAGGGGUUUUGUAGAUAGACAAUAGAGUUUAAGAAGUCUGUUUUUUAUUUAUUUUGUUAAAUGCUUUAAAGACUUGAGUUGCCUAUUUCUAACGAGUUGAAUAUAAUGUUUUAUUUAGAGUUUAUCAUUUGAAUCAAAGUUUUGUUAUUGAUUUUAAUGAAUUCAGUUUUAAGCGGUUGUAUGCUUGAGUUAUUCUUCCAAUUGUAGUAAGUCAUGAUGAUUGUUCUCUUGGGGACCAACAAUGGUUCUCGAGUGUUAGUCAUGCCCAAGGUGUAGGUUCGGAUUAUGACAAACUUGAUAUCAGAGCACAGAGUUUAAAAGUCCUAGGGAGUCUAUGAAGUUGUGUAUGUAGAAACCUAGUUAUUAGUGUGAAGUGCACCAUAUUUACAAUUAGGAGGCUUCAACAUUUAGGAACUAUAUAAAUUUUUUCAUACUCUUAAUCAUGCAAUAGAGUUAUGUUAUAGAGAUUAAUUCAUAAUCCUGUGUUUCUUAGAUUCAUCCAAUUUAUUCAUUAUCGUGUGUUUCUCAGAUUCAUCCAAUUUAUUCUUUAUCGUGUGUUUCUCAGAUUCAUUCGACUACUCGUCAUACUAGAGGUGGUUGAACAUUCAGUCCUUUAUCGAUGAGUUGUUCUUAGAAAAGGCUUGAGGAAAUCAUGCGACUCCAGAGGGGCUUGAUAGAAGCCCCUUAGCGGCUUAAGUAGAUAUGCACUUAUGUUCAUAUGAAGUGUGCGUUUGAGUUAACGAGUAGUACACUAUUUCCUAAAAUCAGUUGAGACCUUUAAGAAGAUGGUAUGUUUAGAGCUUGGGUAGUAUUUUCGCUUUAAAGAUAGUAUGAAUUACGAGAUUAUAAGUAGUGAAAGUGUCAUGGGUUAGAGGAAAGUAUGUGAAGUUUCAAUACUCUAAGGAAAGGAGAUAGUGUUGGAGCGGAUUAUGUCAAUGUGUCAUCGUGUUAGAGAAGACUAACUUUUAUGUUGCAUAAUCGAGUAGAGUAUUCAUGAGGUGGUAGACCCAAACUACGCUUAUGAAUUUUGAAGGGGGAAACCCCAUGGUAUUUAGAGAAUGAUAGAACUAUUUUGAGAGAUAAUGUGUAGUAAAUGAGUAAGUAGUACUUAAGUUGCGAGGUCGAAUAUGAUGGUAAUUUGUGAGUAUGGAGACUAAGCAGUAAGGAUUGACUACUUGUCAUAAGUAUUAGGUUUUAUUUGCCCUAAAUUUCUUACCAUAAAUAGGUUUUCCUUUUAGGAAAAGGUUUUGAAUUGACUAAUCUUUUUCUUGUAGGAAAUUUAUGGGUCACAAGCUUGAUACGUUAUCACUUGUGUGAACCUCCCAUGUAUUCCGAGUGAAUUGGUUGAGGUUGUUUCUCUCUGUAUUUUGUACUCUCAUAUUUAUAGUGGAUUGCUCAUCUCCUUUGUAGACGUAGGUCGAUUGACCGAACCACGUUAAAUCUUUGUGUCUUUUGGUAUAUUUCUCGUUGUCUUCUUACUCGUAGUCUUUUGAGGUUUGCUUUGCUAGCUUCCGCGUUACACCUGCUUAUCUUUUAUCCUAACAAUAAGGUCUUAGUGGACGAGUGUUUCUAAAUUGUAUCCAAUAGUUGUAAGUUAGUAUAGUAAGCGAGCAAUCAUAUUGAUAUUUAGAUUUUGUAAUAAACAUUAAGCUUGAAAUUGAGAUGAGUAUCUUGACAAAAGAAUGAAAACAAAAGUUGAUGAUGUUAGUCUGGAGAUUUGAUCUAGAAGACUUGACAUAGAGUAGGUGAGAAAUUGAGGUGAUUAGUUGUAAUAGAAAUGAGUGGUACAAGUGAGAUACUCUAAGGGCCCAUUUGGCCAUAGAUUUCCCAAUUAAUAUUUGGGGGGAAAUUUGGCAAAUGAUGUUUGUCCAUACAGUUUGCCAUUAUUUGAAAAUAUUUUUGGCAAAUAUUCCAAAUUUCAAAAUACUAGUUUUUUCUAGUAUUCGGGUCAAAUCUCAUUAUUUGAAAUUUUUUAAAAAUUAAAAUCUUACCCCAAACUUUUAUCUUUUACAAAAACACCCUUUAUAGUAGUUGUUUGUGUUGUAUUACAUAAUUUUUUACGUGAACACCAAAGUAGUGAUGAAAUAUUCAGUUGAAUAUUAAAUGAUGAUAUGGUUGUUGAUGAAAAAUCGGUUCACGAUUUAUGGAAUGAUGCUUGUUGCACUCACUCCAAACUACCACAUUGCUCUAGUGUCAUGGACACUACUUGUUAUUGUUGCAACGAACAUCCAAUUGACUUGUAAUAUAAACUUAUAGUUGAUUUUGAUAGUUUUUAAAACUAAUGGGUAUAAAUCAUAUUUUUCUAAAAAGGUGAAACAUAUUUCCCAAAUACCAUAGUCAAACCCAUGAUGAAAUUUCACCUAAAUUUUCACUCAAAUAAUAUUUGCCAAGAAUAUUAAAAAAUCUAUGAUUAUACGUUUAAUUAGUGAAUUGUAGUUAUCUAUAAAUAUAAGUGAUACAAAUAAAAUAUAUUUAAUAUAUUAUUAUUAUUAUUUUUAUUAAUUAAUUUUAAUAUUUAUAUUGACUUUUUGACUAAUUUAAAUUCAUACCGCGUAAGAUGGGCUCGGUAGAAGGUGGCAGUGGAAAACAAAACAUAAGAUUUGACAUGAAUGGCAGUUACGUACAUGACAUUUUCAUGUUGUAGUAGGGUCAUAAUGUUUGUUUUUCUCUUUUGCCACGUGCUAUUAGCCUUAAUAGCUAAGUAAUUCCAUAUUUUUGGUAGAUGAUUAACAAUCUUUGCCAUCUAAUAUUUGAUGAUAUACGCGUUGUAUAACAAAUCUAUUACAAAUUUAUUAAGACUUUACGAUGGUGAUAAAGACGAUUUUAUAUUCUCGUUAUAAAAUUUUAUGAUGCUCGAAUUUAUAACGAAAUAAUGACAUAUUUUUAGUUAAAUAAAUCUAAUUUCAAAAGUGAUAUUCGAAGAAAACAAAUAGCAAAAACAUUCAUUUGGUGAGCAACCAUAAACCAAAGGCCAAAGUCACAACUAAUUGUCAAUGGGUUUUUGUAAUGAUAAAAACUUCAACUAAUAAGACCAUUAUGGUAGGAUAGUAAGUGAUUGUUUUUGAGAAAUUUUAGAAAAAAUUGUAUUAAGUAGUAAAUUAUCAAUUCAAAUUAAAUAGUCAUAGUUUAUUUUAAUUAUAAUUUGUAGCAAAUAUCUCAUUUUUUGUCAUCUGAUUCGGUAUAUAAUUAGCCUUUUUUGGUAUAUAAUUAGUCAUUUUAUACAUUUGAGUAUAAAAUAUAUUUGUGUUUGUAUAAAGCAACAAAAAUAUAUAUAUACAAAUACAAAUACAUACAUUUUCGUCCUACACACUUAUAAUUAUACAAAUACAUAUUCUAUUAUACAAAUUACAAUGUAUAAAUGAAUUUAUACAAAACUUAUCAAUUUGUAUAAAAUUGAUUGUUUGUAGCGAGAUAUACAAAUCAAAAGGUGCAGUUAUGCAAACUAUAGCUAUAAUAUGUAUCUUAUGUUUGUUAUAUGUGAAAGUAUUUUCUUUUAGUUAGAGAUUUUAAAUUUAAAUUUUAACAAUAGAUUAAUCUUUAAUUAAAAAAUACUAGUUUUACUCCUCCAAAAUAGAAUUUUUCUGUGCAAAAUUCGGGUUAAUAUCAUGUUUGUAAUCAUCUUUUUAAGUGAGAUAAUAAUUGUUGGUGAAUAUAUUACAAUUAUAGUUAAAAAUAAUGAAUACAUAAAUAUUUUUCCUAAGUCUCAGAUAUCUCACAAUCUUUAAACUGUAAAGUAAUUUUAUUCAUUAUAGAAUAAUUUUUAUCGGUCCAAUAAUAUAAUUUUUGACUUAUCUCCUUUAAAAUAUAAUAGCUCAAUUCAAACAAGCUCAUUCUCGUAGAAAGCAAACAACUUUUACAGGCAUAUAACUAAAAUUUGACAAUGAUGGAUUGAUGCUGUUAUAAUUUCGACACUCCACUUACACAACAUAUACAUUUCAUCAAAAAUUUUAAACUCAACCUUCACAAUCAUUACAUGAUAAAUAUAAUGAAGAAAAGUAUAAUAGUGCAUUCAUAACUAGUUAUCAUAUAAGUCAUUUUUUUCACUGAACACAAUUAUAGGAUCUUUAGCCUUCAGAUUGGAUUUCUUCGUAUGACUCAGAUUUUUUUGAGUUUUAAAUUCAUCCCCCUAGAUGUGGUUUAAACUCUUUAUCUUCUUAAGAAUAGUGAAUCUGUAAGAUUAUCACAAAAUUUGACAUAACUAAAGUUAAUGAAAUCACUUGUCAAAUAUGAUUUCACAAUAUUGUUUUUCCCUCGUAAAUCUUAAUUUACUGUUAUAAUAAUAAUUUUAAAUUGUACCAAUUCCAUUGGUGAUAUCACAAUAAAUCAAAAUUAAAGAAAGUAAUUUUUUGAUUGAACCACUUAUAAAAAUAUAAUUAUUGUUACCAAGUCUGUGAAGAUUUUACUACAAUAUAUUAAAAUAUACAAGUCUUAGAAGAACUUUUACUUUCUCUUCAUUUAUUUUUCAAUGGUACUUAUGUUUCCACUUAGAUAAAAAUUCUUAUUUUGAUAAUCUAUAGACACACAAAUGUCUGACACUUCGUCUAAGAUUUAGAUUACAAAUUUUAAAAAAUCCAUUUCCUUUUUUAAUAUAACACCAAAUUGACCAGUAUCACAUGAUUAAUUAAAACGAAGAUAGUAAUAAAAAUACUAUUUCUUUCUUUAUAAGAAACGUCGAGCAAUGCCCUUACACGCAGACUUUAAAAAAGAAGAAGUGAAAUACCAAACCAUGUACGCGUUAUCUACUUUGUGAGUUCAAUAAACAAAAGGAAAUUUUCAAACUAACAUUUUCCUUUGAUAAUAAUAUCCACUUGAAUUGUUUGAUUAGGUCCUAAAAUCACAGAAGCUUCUAUCCUAAUAAUAGCAUCCACUUAGUUCGAAAUAAUUAUUGAAAUUUCUGACGUUCACACAAGUAAUUACAAAUUAAUAAUAUUAUAUACUUCCAGAAGAAGUCAGGUUUAAUUUUCUCUAGCAAGGUGAUAUAUAAAAAAUUAAAUUGAAGGUGUGCCACCUAAUUCAUGGACGAAUUUUCUCAUCCUUCAUGUCAACUACGUAAUAUUUUUGGAUAUUACAAUUCAUAGGGGCUAUAAAUAAUGGAGUAGCUAGCUAGAAAAACAAAAUAUCAAAGCACAAAUUGUCUAUCGACGUUUAAUCAACAAUUAAUUUAGAGAAGCAAACAUAAUAUAACAUAUAUGGCUGAAGAGAAACAACAUCACCGUUUGUUCCACCACAAGAACAAAGAGGAAGAAGGUGGUCCAGUUGAUCAUGAAAAAAAUGUAAAGCACCAUAGCCAUCUCCAGAAAAUUGGUGAACUUGGUGCUGUUGCUGCCGGUGCUUAUGCCUUGGUACGUAAAUAAGUUCAUCGAUAUACUAUAUUUCAUUUAUGUCAUAAGUUUUCUUUAAUUUCUUAAAUCAUGCGUCCAAUUAUUUAAAAUAGGAUAUGUACGGGGUACUAUUGUAUGUGGAGAUAAAUAGUUGGACUAAUGACGCAUGAGUUCGCCCCAAAUCUAAAGUGAUCCUAUGACUUUCUUUACGUCAUACUUCAUUCGUUUCAAAAUAAGUGUUUUAUUUUUUUUAGAUCUAAUUUGAUCACUAUUUUUUAAAAAAUUAAUUGGAAUAGAUCAACACAAAAUUAGUUUUAAAAUUUAAAUUUAGAUAUUCAACAACUAUUACAAAAUUUACUACAAGUUACGAUUAUUCUCAUGUGUCGAUAUAAUGAAAAAGGCAUUAUUAAAUGAAAAUCGACUUUCACAUAUCAUAUCGAGAAGUACUAAUAGAAAUGACAGAUAAUUUGAAGCGAAUGAUUUGAGAAAUACCUUAGAUGACAUUGCACCAUAUACUUAUGGUUGAUAAAUGAAAAUAAUAAGUGUAUUUUUUCUCUUACAUAUCUCUUCAAUAUCUUAGUGUUUUGUUGUUACAUAAAUAUAUAUAGCAUGAGAAGCAUAAGGCAAAGAAGGAUCCAGAGAAUGCACACAAACACAAGAUAAAACAAGAGAUAGCAGCAGUAGCUGCAGUUGGUGCUGGUGGAUUUGCAUUCCAUGAACAUCAUCAGAAAAAAGAUGCCAAGAAAGAAAAAAAGGCUGCUGAGAAAGGACACCACCACUAAUUAAAUUUAACUACUACUAUCAUUUUAGCAGCUAUAUAUAUAUCUAUGGACUGCCUAUAAAAUAAAUAAAAGUUACUACGAUUAUGUGUUUUUGUAGUGUGGAUGUUUCUAUGUUAAUCUCACCUUGUAACACUUUUUCUAUAAUUCUAUUCAUUAAUUUGGUUUUUGAAUGUUAAUCUUUUUUUCUUCCUUGUGUUCUUUUUUUUAAUGUAAAUGUUAUGCUUUUGAUGGUGUAAACCUUUUAUUUAAUCUAAGAUAUAUAGAGAGAACAAUAGAGGGAGACUAUAGCCUAAAUCUCUGGAAAUUUUUUUUAGGAUUAAUAUACAAUCAUGAAAAAUGAUUAUGGUCAAUGAAAAUUAAAGAAUAAUAGUUCACAGUGACUCAAAAUACAUUAUUUCUUUUUUUGUGUCUUAUAUAGGGAAUCUGAAUCUUGUCAAGGGUGUAAGAGCCAGUUGCAUCCUUGGGCACAUUGUUAGGAUCAAAGAUCAGGAUAUUCUUUUUAUAUAGAUAGUAUUUAGCUAAUGCACCGGUCAGUUAGAAAUGCAAGAUGUUGAUCAAUGAAGUUCAAUGUACAAGUCAUAUGGUGUGAAUCGGUUAGUUUGUUAGAGAAUGUACAGUUGUACAUAGUUAGGUUGAUAACUAAAUGUGUAUAAGCUGAAUUAUAAAUAGUCAGCUUCAUGAAUGUAAUAGUUAGCUAAGUCAAUUCAAUGUAAAAGUAAUCUCUUCUUUUCUUCUCUCUUCUAUCCUUUUCUUUCUCUACAAGUUAGCAACUUAUGAAUCUCCAUUAAUGGAGUUUACAUGGUAUCAGAGCAGGGCCCGUCUCAUCCGAUGUUGGGGCUCUCCAAAAUUAAAAAUUGCCACGCACCAGAUGCUAAGCACUCGGCGUGAGGUGAGGUGUUAAAGAAUGACAAAAGUCCCACAUUGGUGGUUAAUGAGAUGGGUGGACUCCUUAUAAGGCUUAGACAAUCCUCCUCCCUUUGAGCUAACUUUUGGGGUAUGAGUUAGGCCUAAGACCUAAUUUAACAUGAUUUGUGUUAUGUUGCGUGUCCCAAAGUCUUAGAUAGGUUUGCCUCUAAAGCAAUUCCUGCUGUCUUCAUGAGCUAUUCUUCAACUCAAAAAUGGUAUAUUUUAUAUGAUGUUCAUGUUCACUCAUUUUUUGUGAGCAGACAUGUGGUUUUUUUUCAUGAACAUCUAUAUCCAUUUAAAUAUCUCAAAGCAUCUUUUAAUCCCAUAUUUCCCGUCUUAGAAACAGUAGUUUUUCAUGAACAUCUAUAUCCAUUUAAAGAUCUCAAAGCAUUUUCUAAUCCCAUAUUUCCAGUCUUAGAAACAGUCCUGAUAUUGAAAGUCUAGGUUAGUCGUCUGUCACUUUACCCUCCACUACAAACUCAGUUGUACCAAAUCAGAGCCGACUCCAGAUGUGUCUACUGCAGUUGAUCCAGCCAGGAGAUCAACUAGGCAGAGUAAACCCCCCAUAUGGUUGCAGGACUUUGUCACUACAUCUAAAGGCAAUGCAUGUGCCUACCUAUUACUAAUAAGCUCUCUUACUCUCAUUUGUCACAAACUUACAACCAGGUGUUGAAGGCUUACUCAGCUGUAUGUGAACCUGCAUCCUUUCAUGAAGCUAUUUCUGAUCCUGCAUGGGUAAAAGCUAUAAAACUGGAAAUAGCAGUUUUAGAAAGUAAUAAGAUAUGGAGCAUAGUUGAUCUUCCACCUGGUAAAAAACCCAUUGGUUGUCGAUGGAUUUAUAAAAUUAAGUAUCUCUCCUCGGGGGAAAUAGAAAGAUAUAAAGCACGGUUGGUGGCAAAGGGGUUCAGUCAGAAAGAAGGAAUUGAUUUUAGUGAAACCUUUAGUCCUGUGGCUAAGAUGGUUACAGUCAGGUCAGUGGUUGCUCUUGCAUCUUCUAGAGGGUGGUACAUCUAUCAGAUGGAUGUCCAUAAUGCUUUCCUCAAUGGUAAUAUACUAGAAAAGGUAUACAUGAGUAUUCCCAGUGGUUUUGCUAGACAGGGGGAGACUCAGAAGGCCUGCAAACACCACAAGUCAUUAUAUGGACUCAAGCAGGCACCAAGGUAAUGGAACAUGAAGCUAACAGAAGCAUUAGUAGAUAGGGUUCAAACAGAGUCACUAUGAUUACUCUUUAUUCACAAAGUUGGUUGGCUAUGACACAGUGAUAGUACUAGUGUAUGUGGAUGAUCUUAUAGUUACUGGAAGCAAUCAGAAACUCUUGUGUGACACCAGACAGGAGAUUCAAAAGAAGUUCAAGAUGAAGGACCAAGGUGAACUAAAGUUUUUUCUGGGAAUUGAGUUUUCUAGGCCUGACAAAGGCAUACUCAUGUCUCAAAGAAAAUAUGCAUUAGAGCUAAUUUCUUAAUCUAGGCUGGGGGGAGCAAAGCCAGCCUGCACACCGCAUGAGAUGAAUCAGAAACUCAUUUUUGUACAGUAUGAUGAACACAUCAAUAAUGGAAUUCCUGAAGGUGGAACAAUUCUUACCGACAUUACAAAAUACCAAAGAUUGGAAAGGAAACUUUUGUACAUUACCAUGACUAGACCUAAUCUUGCAUUCUCUGUACAAAUAUUGAAUCAAUUCAUGCAUUGUCCAAAAAAAUCACACAUGGAGGCAGCUUUAAGAGUGGUGAGAUAUAUUAAAGAGGCACCUGGUUUAGGCUUGUUAAUGCCAGCAAAUGACACCAAUAAACUGACAGUGUGAUUUUGACUGGGGAGCAUGUGUGGAAACGAGAAGAUCAGGUACAGGAUAUGCAAUAAAGUUUGGAGAAGGUCUUGUCUCUUGGAAGUCAAAGAAGCAAGAGAUUGUGUCAAGGAGUUCAGAAAGAAUGACCCUAUUUCUGUUUUAGUUUGUUUAAUAAGAAUGACCUAUUUUCCUUUUGGCAACAGUUUGACCUUAAUUUUUCACGUACCAUGUUUAAGACCACAAGAUUAAAGCGCAUUUUGGUACAUUUGGCAUAACUUUAAUUUGAAACCACAACAUUAAAAAGUCUUUUUCCUUUUCUUAUACUCCGUUUCAAGUCAAACUAGGUCUUUUGAAACAAAGGGAGUACUAUAUUAGUGUUUUUGGUACCAUCUAUUUUCUAUCAUUUAACAUUGUUGGAAGAAACAAUGGUUUGAUAAGGGAAUGUCCUAGUGGUGGCUGAAGUCGCAUUUCUAAUCCAACAAUAAACAGUAGGUAGUUUUUUUUUAUUUGUCCAAGUCUUGAUGGAUGGAAUACACAUUAUAUGUGUUGGUGGGAGGUAACAGGUACCUCGUUUUAUUAGCCUAGGUGUCUACAAACUGUCGGGACACCAUAAUUAUUUUAAAAAGUAGCAGAAUUAAUGUUCCCAUAUCUGUUGGCACUUUUACAAAUUAUCUUUUAAAUGUUGAGCAAAAGUGAGACUGUGAAGAUACUAAACAUUGUUUAGAUAUCUUCUAACAAGCUGUCUGUUUGUUUAUUUACUACUUGCUUGGCAUACAUAUGAUCAAUUAUUGUAGAUACAAAGUUGUUUGCAGGAAUUGGUUGCUACAGCUGACCGGUUCCUCUUAUGGAUUAUGUUUUUCUAGUGUUGGCCUAUCCUAUGACUUUGUUUCUUAUCACAUAUUAUCCAGUCUAUUCCAGUUGAUGAUGAUGUGUUAGCAGAAGCAGAAUAAUUGGCACAUAUUGCAGAUGAUCGUGAUCUCGAAAGAUGCCACAAUUUAAAUAUUAUUUGUUGAUCAAUUUCUUUGCUUUUAUUUCUUUUAGGAGGUGGAUAUAUUGAGUUUGAAUAUUAUUAAGUGAAUUAUAAUGUUUGAGUUUGGUAAGUUUGCUUAUUAUUACCUUUUUCUCUUUGUGAAUUUGUUGUUAAGAAAGUCCAACUAACAUAAAUCUAAUUUAUUUAAUGGAUAAUUAGUCACACAAUUGGGUAACUUAGCAUUUAUGCAUGUUUGCAUUUUGUCCAUUUUAUAAAAUCCACAAAAUGCAUAAAUGCUAAGUUGCCCAAUUGUGUGACUAAUUAUCCAUUAAAUAAAUUAGAUUUAUGUUAGUUGGACUUUAUAUAUAUAUGUGUGUGUUUUGCAUAAGUUUGUUAUGGUUUUGGUUCUGUACAUGCUCCCUCUCUUGUUCUGAAGCUCAUGGUUAGUCAUGAUUCCAUAUCUUGCUCAAGUUUUGUGUUUCUUUCAUUUAGUAUGCUCAUUUUGUACUUGAUCAAUUUACUCCAUCUAAUGAACUUCGCGGACUGCCAUUUAGGUCUUUAGAGAUGAUUUUUUUGUUGUUGUUGUUUGCUCCUGUUUUAUUCAUGGAUGUUUCUCCUAUUUAUUUGUUUCUUGUUGAGAUUAGUUUGAUAAAAGCCUCAAACGAAUGCUUCCAAAAUUUAUUUUCCUUUAGAAUUCUAAGCUGAGAAUAUGAAGAGUUGUCUGCUUACUUUUCUGUUUCUCCUCAAAUUUUAUUGUUUUCCCUAGUUCUCAUAUAACGAUAAGGUUUGUCGAUCCAAAGAGGUAUCAUUUUUGAAAGAAAAAAAAUUAUUGUCAUCUUUCUACUGUUGCUUAAUUCUCAUCUCUAGGUUGAAACCAUUGUGUUAUGUAUAAUUUUAUCUAAAAUAGGAUUAUUGGAUUACUCAUUCAUAUACUUGUAAUCCGAGAAUGUUUAUUCGUGAAGUUGUCUUUGUUUGAACAUUUUUGGACAAUGAAUUUGUUGGUUUGAAGAGUUACGACAAUUGGUUUGGGUUGUUGCGUUACUUCGUUUGAAUCACGAUGAGUUAAAAUCUUGCCUUUGUAUAUGUGCAAGUACCCUGUCCAACAUCCCCUGUCUUUUCUUCAUAUGACUUAAAUUUAAAAAUAGUAUAUCAUUGUAUGUAUUUUAUGUUGCAAGUUGGUUAUUACACUUAACAUAUAAAGACUUUGUGUUCUUUUCUUAACUCUUCUGUCUUUAAUUGCAUGGGAAAUCCUCGCUCGAGUCCAUUGUGGGGCUCCCAUUUCUCUUUGCAUUUCAAGAGGGAGCCAUAAAGGCUCUAAAUGUCAUUCAUCGAGUCAAUUCGUCAAAAUCGGCGUAUGAAGUCAAAUUUCAAAGUUUAGGAGAUUGAAGAAAUUUGAAGAAGACUAACUAGAAGACUUCUUUAGUUUUUUUUUUAUAUUUUGUGUUUCUUUUGUAAUGGGCCUAAGCCCUUAUGGUUUUAUUUUCUUGUACCUAUUCUUGUAUGUCUAGACUAGGACAGGUACAAAAGAAAGAAAUGGGUCGAAAAUCCAAAAAACAGGCGGAUCCAAAACUUGGUCAAGGCGAACAGAACCUGAGUUUGGACCCAAAUCUCUCUCUCUCACUUUACUAUUUGUUUACGUAUUUUUGCUUAAAUGUCGUUAGCUUAGGAUUAGAAACUCCAAACCCCGUCGAACGCCUUUUAAAUUUUGUCAAACUUAAAAUUAACUUUUUAACGAUAAUUUGUUUCAAAUUUGCAAAGCUUGUUAGAUAAAACCUUAGGAAAGUUUAACUUUGAAAUAGAUUCGCAAAAUUGUGAAAUAAACAAUAAAGAUUGCAAAACUUGUCGACUUGUUUAAAUGAAAUAAAAGUUCAACUUCAAAUUGCAAAAGUUACAAAAAAUAGUCAAAUAAGUUAAUCGCCGGAAAAUCGUAUUUAACGGAGUGUCACCUUCCUAAGACACUAAUAGGAAUCCCGAACUCUUUAACAUUUUCCAAACAAUUUUCCUGUUUUAAAGUUGUUUAGAAAAUAAGUUUUCUUAAUUUUCUCAAAAUUAAGUGGCGACUCCUAAAAAGUCGAAAAUCCUCUGAGAUAAAACAAACUCUUUUCGAAAAUCAUUUUUUUCGAUAAAACAAAAUAAAUUAAAAUGAAUAGAAAGAAAAGUUAAAACAGUGGGAGUACUAAGAAUUGUAUGCGUCUAUAUCUUUUUUUUAUAUCAUUUAACUUAGUGGUACAAGCUUUCUGCCUAUUAUAUAGAACGAGUAAGCGCCAUUUGUUGCAAGAUAUCUUUUUAUAACAAAAUACAAGUUAAUUUUCAGAUUUAAAAAAUAUUUAAGAAGUUUUUGAAAAGGGAGUUACAUGAAUUUUAUUAUUUUAGGAGUUAAUAACUUAGUUACACUUUAGUUUGUAAUAUUAAAUAUUUUAUUAAAUUUUGGUGCCCCAAAGACGUCCAAAUACAUGUUACUUGAGGUCAAAUUUAAGUGUAAUUUGAAAAAAAAAAGAUCGUUGUAACCAAGUGUAUUAGCAUAUAUUUAGGAUACAUAGUAAAUCUCCUUCACCUCUUUCCCAUCUUGCUUGCCACUCUCUCGUAUAUCUAAUAUUCUAGAUACAUGUGAAUCACUCCUGAUAUAUGUACAUAGUUUGAUUCACAUAAUAUAUGUAUAGGAUACAUACAAAUUUCACUUGUUUUUUUUUCUAUUUUUUGUGUAUCACGUAACAAAAAUAUAUAUAUCUCAGUGUAGAAUACAUAAAAAAAAUUUUAAUUAGUGAUAAAAUAUAUAAUAUAUUAAAAAUAUAAAUAAUAAUAAUAUAUAUAAUAAUAAAGUAUGUCUAAUUAGGUAGUUUUUCUUUUUGAAAACUGAAAUGAGAAAAAGCAAAACAUAAAAUUGACUUGAAUGACAGCUACAUGACAUUUUCAUCUUGUAGUAGGGACAUAUGAUUUGUUUUUUUCCUUUGCCACAUGUGUUCUGUUAUCCUUAAUCUCCAAGUAAUCCCAUAUUUUGGUUGAUGAUUCACAAUAUAAUCUAUCUAAUUAUGCACCUCCUUCUACUUAAAGAAGAAAAAUGUGAUGGCGAUUGGCAAUUGGGAAGAUAAUUAAAAUCUGUUGAGUACUCUUUCAUCCGCAAUGGCAUUCAGUCGAUGGAACAAUAGUGAAAGAGAUGUUUAAAAAAAUUAUUUACAUUUAAAAUGAUUUUAGAUUUGACGCAAUCCGAAAAAAUUAGUCUAUAAAAAAAAUUAUUUAAAAUCAUGCAAGAGCUCAAUUAACUUCAUCCGCCUUUGAUGUGAGUUUUUCUACAUUCAUCACGCUUCCCAUCCCCGAACCCCAACACUCUAUACUCCGAUCCAUGACGUGAACAAAUUAUUCAAGCGUUCAAUUUGACUCUAAUAUCAUACUAAAUAAACCUAAUUUAAUAGUAAAAAUUAGCUUAACAAUUUACUAAUUUCACACAAUUUUUUAUAUUGUUGUCUUGUCAUUAUCUUUAGGUAAUAAUAGUGUAAAAAUUAUCUUACACGAUUAUACUACAUAAUUUAUACGAUUCGUUGAUAAAUUGUAUACCAAAGUGCCACCUCAUCACACAAUAAUUUAAUUUGGACUAAGUUCACUAUUAGUGAAUGAAUGAAUUUUAAUUAUAAAUAGAGGACUUGACAAGAUCAUAUUUGUAUCAAACACCAUACACUUUCUAAAUUAUCGAUAGAUUUAUUGUUUCAGAUGGAGGAGGAGAAACACCACCACCACCACCUGUUCCACCACAAGGACAAGGCGGAGGAGGGCCCCGUCGACUACGAAAAAGAAAUCAAACACCAUAAACAUCUCGAGCAAAUCGGUAAACUUGGCACUGUUGCUGCCGGUGCCUACGCCUUGGUACGUUGAUAUAAUCUUACCUUAUAUAUAUAAACGUUAUUAUCGAUUAUUUAUACAAAUCAUUUUCUUUUAUUCAAAUUACGAUCAAAAUCAUUUAAGAGUUUUUCUACCGGGAACAUCCGAUUAGUCAAGAUUUUCAUCGGAGAGUUUGAAUAUAUUGAUUCCUAAUAAAAUGAUUUUAUUUCCUCGAUUCAUGCCAAAAAUCUAUAAUUAAGGACGGAAGAGUAGCCAAUUAUUUAUUUAAUAUAAUUUAAUUCCUUUUUUCCUUUUAAAUUUUUAGUUUAAUUUCAUAAUAUAUGUAAGGAAGGGGUGUGAAAAAUUUAAAGAAGAUAAACAGAGAAGGGAUGGUUUUAUUUGCGAGUAAAAGAGUUUAUUUUCUAUCUAAACACGUUUACACUAAUUUCACAUUAAGUUCACCUAAUUAUAGUAACUCUCUAUCAUCUAUACAAAAAUAGCGUAAUAAUAAAAAUUGUUCUACAACUUCUAACUCUUCAAUUAAAAAAAAACAACAUAUAGAAUAUCGAUGUUGAAAUUACUCAGUACUUCAUUCGUUUCAAAAUAAGUGUUGUUGUUUGUACGACAUGAUCACAACUGAUGAAAAUAUGUCACACGAAUUAGAACAGAGUCUCUGUUAUUAAUUACUUUUUCCCUCUUUUGUUGGUGAUAAUAAACAUAAAACAAAAUUAGCAUGAGAAACAUGAGGCAAAGAAAGAUCCAGAACAUGCACACAAACACAAGAUAGAGGAAGAGAUAGCAGCAGCUGCUGCAGUUGGGGCAGGUGGAUUUGCAUUCCAUGAGCAUCAUGAGAAAAAAGAUGCCAAGAAAGAAGAAAAAAAAGCUGAGGGGGGACACCACCAUCUCUUCUAAAUUGUUAUUUUAGUUACAUUUUUAAUAUUCGUGGAAUUUCCAUAUUUGGUAUAAGUGUUGUGUCAUCUUAUCAUAUAUCGUGCAUAAUAACAAUAAAUUUAGUGUGAUAUUAUAAAUGGAUCGAGUUAAAAAAAAAGAGCAAAAGUCAAAAUAUAUUUUACCAAUCUCGUGUGAUGUAAAGAAGGAUGUAUUGUGAUUUCCAAAAUGAUCAUGUGUGUUUUGGACUUUCCUCGCAAUCUUCUGUUGAAUUACCUUGUAAAAUGUUGCUUUUUUAAGUGGUGUAAUAAAUAAUGAGUUUUCUAGUGAAUGGAUUUGUUUGAUUUCCUAAAUAAUGAUGUUUUUUUUUUUAAUUUCCUCGCAAUUUUAUAUUGAAAAAUUAUUAACUUUUAUAUACUUAAUUUACUAUAAUGAGUCGAUUACUUUAUUUUUUAGAUAAUUAAUUUAAUUAGAUACUUAUAAUUUUAUUUUAUAAAUUAUUUGACUCAUAGUAAAAAAGUUAGAUUGAGCCAGUGUCAGUUGGUUCCAAAAAAAUAUCCCGAAAAUAUGACGAUUUGAUCAUUCGCUUUGAUUAAAAAAUAAUUCUAGAACUAUAAUUUUUAUAAUUUCAAUGUUAUCAUAUGAUUUUGAAAAAAUUAUUUCACCUAUUUUUUCCCUACGAAUCAAACUUAGAUCCAUCUAACUAAAAAAUUAUCCCUUUCUAUUUAGAUUCGAUCCAAACUCAUUUUAUGAUUGAGUAGAAGAGGAAUUGAGCUUAUUUUUGUGGAUCGAAUUUUGCAGGUGUAAAAAAGGGGUGUGAUAAGGAAAAAUUAUGAGGUUAAGCAAAUUUAUACUAUUUAAUUAUUCAUCAUAGCUAUAGUUUGCUAUAAUUACCACUCACGACUAACAUUAUACAUUAAUUAUGUGAGCUGACUUCGAGUUUAUAUAAUUAGUCACAUUUGUAUAUGUAUAAUUCACCAGAAUAUACAAAUACAUAUGUAUAAUAUACAAUUAUCUUAUCGAUAUACAUAUACAAUUCACCUAUCUCCCACUCUCUGCCCUCUCUCGCUCGCCUCUCUCCUCUCUCUCCCAAUCUCGCUUGUCAUAUAUACAAAUGCAUAUGUAUAAUAUACAAUUAUCUAACCGAUAUACACAUACAAUUCACCUCUCUCCCACUUUAUGCCUCUCUCGCUUGCCCCUCUCCUCCCUCUCCCAAUCUCGCUUCUCCUCUCUCCUCUCUCUCCCAAUCUCUCUUGCCAUAUAUACAAAUGCAUAUGUAUAAUAUACAAUUAUCUAACCGAUAUACAUAUACAAUUCACCUCUAUCCCACUUUUUGCUCUCUCUCUCUCCUCUCUCUCCCAGUCUCGCUAGCCUCUCUCCUCUCUAUAACAUAUAGAUACGAAUUGUAAUUAUCAAACUAUAUCUAAAUAGAGUAAUUACGCUAUUUUUGAGUAGCUAUAUGUGAGUUUCCUAUUUUAAAGUCACUUAAUAAUUUCAAUACAUAAAUAUUUAUCAACGAAAAGAAUAAAUAUACAUUAUUUGUUAGAUUAUGAAUUAAUAUAUGCACCAAUUCAUUAUAUGAGGAUUGUGAUCCACUUUAAAUUGGAGGUAUAUUUAUCCCUUCCCCUGAACAAUAUAUAAUUAACGAAAAAAUUCACAGCUAAUUAACUUUGAACUUCUAAUUGAGAUAUUUGGGAUAGUUGAAAUUCGGAAAUGCUAGUAUAUUUUUAAUUCAUCACCAAUAAUGACUUGUUCAAAAUAAUCAUCCAACAACUAAUUAACUUCUUUUUUCUUAAAAACAACACCUUUAGUAUUUUUGGAUAAGAAGAGAGGAAUUCAAAGUAAUUGAUACAAAUGAAUUAAGCUAAUUAUUUUUUAAAUUAUAUCUAAAUCAUUCGGAUUCAAAUAUCUACUAAAUGAAAACAAAUCAGGACUAGAUAAUGACCAAAGGGUCAUGUGAGGCAUUAAACAAAAUGACUAGUGAAUUAUAAUUGUCUUAAUUAUUCUAGAUUACUAAGGUUGAGAUUAGUUAAGAGUUAAGAUAAUACCAUAUAAUUCAAGUUAUUUUUCGACGUUAAGAAGCAUGGUGCCAACUGCCAUGUAUAUAAUGCAUCUACUCAAAACUAAUAACUACUUAUUGUAUGUCAUUUAUUGUUCCAACUUACCGCAUGGGGUGCCAAAUAUCAAGAUUUUAAAUUCGAAUAUUGAAUGUAUAUAAAAAAUCAAGAUAUGAAAUAGUUCUCUCUUCGAUGGAUUUUAUAUCAUAUAAUUAAUUAAAGCCGGAGGAAAUUAAAUUCAGCAGAUCACACAAAGAAACUUUAUAAAUUAUGUCAAUUUUGCAAUUCAUCGAGUUAUUUAGCUUGUGUUAUGAGAGGAAGUAAAUUAUGUGGCUUAAUCACACGACUUAAUGAAAAAGUAUUACCCCCUUCCUUUCAAUUGUUUUUAUGAUGUUAAUUUGAUAUAGAGUUUUAAAAGAAAUAAAGAAGAUUGAUUAAUUUUAAAUUAAAAAAUGUUACAUAUAACAAAAUAUUUUUUAAUUAUUAUUAUCUUGAUAUAAACAAGUCACAUAGAAAUUGAAAUUAAAAUAUUAUUAAAAUAAAAGUAUUUUUAUGUUUUUCUAAAUGAACUAAAAACUUAAGGAAAAGUAAAGACUUAUAAAUUGAAAUGAAUUUUAGCCUCCUCAGAUCUGUUUGCUAUCGAAAAAAAUAUUUUUUAAUUUUUUUAUGUUUGGUACUUUUUUUAGAAAAACAAACUUCGUAAAAAUAAAGAAAAUAAUUUCUUUAAUAGAAAAAAAAAAAAGCUACAUGAAUGACAUUAUAAGUUCAUUAUCUCUUUUCCACCCACUCAUAAAUCCCCUGAUCCCAAGCCCGUUAACCAUCCCAUAUCACUAUAAUUUGUAGAUAUAUUAAGCUUAUAGUGAUUUAUCAUAAAAUGAAUGGUUACCUUGUUCCAUAAUUUUUAUCAUAACUUUUUUAUAUUUAUAAAAAAUAAUUAAAAAAAAAACUUGCCGACACGUCCUAAUAUUAAUAGGGCCAUGAUGACAAAAGGCUCAAUUUAAUAAUUCAAAGGAUCAUUUGACUCAUCUGCUAAAGUGAGGUAAAUUUUUAUAUUCUUUCCUUCUUCGAAUUAUUUGACACGUAUGUUAAAAAUAAAUGUCGAAGAUUAAUAUUUAAUUUAAAUCAUUAAAAGUAAUUAAUUUAUUUUUUCAAUUCUAAUUUUCUUUUUGGCAAUAAAAUGUGAAUAUUACUAUAUAACCUCAACAACUCAACAAUUUUUAUAAUCCUAAUCUUAAUAAUUACUUCAUUUUAUUCAAUUAAAAAAAUUAUACAGACUUUUGAUAUUCUUUCCUAUAACGAAAAUAUAAAAUUAUAUUAAUUAAAUUAUACUUUAUAUUAAUUUUUUCUUGAAGGAAAUACAAGAUCUUAUUCUAAUAAACAAUUAUGAACGGAGUAAUAUAUAUAAUAUGAGAUUCUUGUGAUUCAUUUCACAUCAAAAUCCCCACCUCACUAAUUGUCGACACUCAUUAAUAAAUAUCUAGCUCCAUCCAAUUAAACUAAUCUUUAUGCGGAUUCCACACGGGAUAUUCUUUCACUUCUUUAUCCUAAUUAAUAUUUUAAAAAUUCGUAAUCUUAAAUAAAAUAUAAAUAUUUAAAUAAUUAUAAAUUAUUUAUUAAAUAUAAUAUAUCAUUUUUAAUGACAUUUAUCCAAUGACAGAAAAUAAAAAUAAAAUAGAAAUCAGAAAUACCAAAUAUCAAUAUUAUAUUAUAUUUAGUGCCGAUAAUAUAACAUGAGUAUUUAUAAUCAAUAAUCUAUAUAAAUACUACUAGAAAUUAUAAUGACUCGGAAUACAAUAAUAGUAACUCAAUUAUUAUUAAAUAUUUUAAAUAAAAUUAUCUCAAAAAAUUAUUGCCAUCAAAUGUCUCUUUUGAUACGGUAAAAGGAUUAUUAGGUAGGUUUCUCCUGUAUCUGAAUUUGGAAAAUAUUGUAAAGGUAGCGAUAUACAGAAGGGGCAAUUUGGUGUGAUAUAAUAAUUCAUACAAUUUUUAUCAAACAUUUCUUCAUCAAAACUUUGACAUUUUUCCCUUAAUUUCUGAAAUUUUUAAAAUAGUUUUAUUUUUAAUUAGUAAUUUAUUGUUCAAAACUUCAAAUUAAACCAUCAAAAUAUGCCUACCAUUAAAGUACUAAAUUAUUUUAUUUAUAUUUAUAUUUUUUUGGAGUAGGGACUUAGCUUUGGUUUACCGACAUGAAUUGUGGUAAGAUUGUUGGAAUUUUCUUAUUUCCAGUUAAGGGUUUCAAAUUAAUCUUUAGCUAUGAAUUGAAACUGUUGCCUUCAAAUAAAAUUUGAAAAUACAUAAAAUUAAAUUAAUUAAAUUUUAAUAUAAAUAUGAAAUAUUAGACGGAAAAAAAAAGUUGUGGGUGGAGAAGAGGAUUGGGCUUUUCGCUUUAGAAUGGCAGUUAGACGGACAAAGACAAUAAACCAACAAAUUAAAGACUAGCAUACAAAUAAACUAUUCCAUUAAAAAGCUUUUGCCGACACUCCUCAAAAUAAUCAUAAUGCCGACGCUAUCACUAUUUUAACGAAUCGUGUCAGGUGAGAUAUAAGGUAAAAUAAUUUUGGGGAUAGAAUGUGAGUAUUAGUAAAUUUUGUGUUUGAUUGGAGAUAUUACAGAGUUCUGAUUUGUUUAUCUCACCAUUUAUACUUUAGUGAUGGAAUAAAUUAUCUCAUAUACCUGGUGAAAUAACUUAUCUCAGAAUAAUCAAUUCGAAAUAACAUUUUUCCAAUCAAACGAUCCCAAAUUUCUUUGUAUGGUUAAGAGAAAUAACUACUAUCUAACAAGCAUUUCAUGUGGGGAGUGGUUGGGGAUUAAUUAGGGUUCAAAAUAUUCAACAUGUCCAGGUGUGAUUUCCAACUUUUUCUUGGUGCUUUUAAUAGGAUCUUAAAUAUUCAUAUAACGUGACAUUGUUUGAAAGAUUAACAAAUUCUUAUGUUUCUCUUUCUUUUCUUUUUUUCUUUUAGUAACAGUAAUGUUCAAUUAAUUAACGUUAUGACAAAGACUAUCUGAAAUUUGAAUAAAAAUAAUUGAUAAAACUCACACUUGAUCAAAGCAUAUAGUAAACGCGUAUUGAUGUGAUAAUUUACGGCCAACAUGAGAGUAGGAGUACUGUGGGGGACAUUAUCCUAUAUUUUCAUUUAAAUGACUUGUAUUUCAAACCAUAGUAAUCCUAACACAUCUUUCAUCCCCAAAAAUAUCUCUUCGACUUAAAAUUAGGGGAUUUUGGCUUUUCAGUUGAACAUCGAAAAGCACAUUUGGUCGUAUGAAAAUUGAAAUUAAAUACUCCCUCCAUUCUAACUUACGUGACACCAUUUGAUCCAUUGGCACAUAGUUUAAGACGAAAUGAAAAAAGAAAAAUAUGUUAUGUCAAUAAUUUUUAUUCACCAAGCAACAUUUGAACACAUAAUUUCUUUUUUAAAAAAUGAAUUAAAAAGAUUAACAAAACAAACAAAUUAAAAUCAAAGUAUAUCAUAUAUAUAUAUAUAUAUAUAUAUAUAUAUAUAUAUAUAUAUAUAUAUAUAUAUAGUUAGAAACGUUAAUUAGGGGGGGAAACAAAAGUAAAGUUAGUUCACAUUAAACAAACAAAAUGAAUAAAGCAAGUCAUACAUCAUAUCAGCUGUGCUGAUUUUAACAAUUGAAUUAAGCUUAGGUCCAUUAUUUUUGCCACUUGGAUUGAAAAUCUUCCAUCAUGGAAAAUAUAAAUCAUGAAUAUUGGAUAAGAACUUGUACACGUUCAUUGGACAAACUAAUUAGUUAGUCCCCACUUCACCUCCUAUAGGCCAAAUACUUAUAAAUACCAUUCAAUAUUCACAAGAAAAAAACAUCCCAAAGUAUUUUGUUCUACUACUACAUUUUUUUCAUACACAAUUGUCACCAAAAAACAUCAUGGCUGAAGAAAAGAAACAUCACUUUGGUGGUCUCUUUAACCACCACAAGAACAAAGAGGAAGACACCCCCAUUGAGAAAACUACAUAUGAAGAAACAACCUAUGAAGACAGUGAAAAAACUAGCACUUAUGGAGACAACACAUAUGGUGAAAAAACUAGUUAUGGUGAUGAUACAUAUGGCAAAAAAACUACCACAUAUGGAGAUGACAACAAAUAUAGUGAGAAAACUAGUUAUGGUGAUGAUACAUAUGACGAAAAAACUAACACAUAUGGAGAUGAAAACAAAUAUGGUGAGAAAACUAGUUACAGUGAGGGAGAUGACAACAAAUAUGGUGAGAAAACUAGUUAUGGUGGUGAUACAUAUGGCGAAAAACCUACCUCCUACGGAGGAGAUAAUACAUAUGGUGAGAAAACAAGUUAUGGUGGGGGAGAUGAAAACAAGUAUGGUGAGAAAACUAGUUAUGGAGAGAAAGCUAGUUAUGGUGGAGGAGAUGACAACAAAUAUGGUGAGAAAACAAGUUAUGGUAAUGAGGAAGGUGGCUAUGGUGGAGGAGUUGGUGCCUACUCAUCUGAGACUACUACUAAUUAUGAAGAGAAUGAUGAUAGUGGAACCAAAACUUCUGAGGAUUACAAGGAAGAGAAGAAACAUCACAAGCAUCUUGAAGAACUUGGGGGACUUGGAGCUGUUGCUGCUGGUGCCUUUGCUUUGGUAAAUAUUCUUUAAUUCUAACUUUCCACGUGACAAUGCAUAUGUAUGAGAUUACAAGAUUAAAUGACAUUUUCCUACGUUAAUCUUCGAUAUGGUAUAUGAAAAUUUCAGCAUGAGAAGCACAAGGCAGAGAAAGAUCCAGAGCAUGCACACAAGCACAAGAUAGAGGAAGAGAUAGCCGCAGUAGCUGCAGUUGGUGCUGGUGGAUUUGCAUUCCAUGAACAUCAUCAGAAGAAAGAAGCAAAAGAAGAAGAGGAGGAAGCUGAGGGAAAGAAGAAGCAUCAUUUCUUCUAAUGAAUUCUCUUGUCAUAACAUAUAGUAUUUGUUGUGUGCUGAUCAAUCUAUCCUUUAAUUAAUACGUACUCAGCAUGCACCUAAAUAAUUUGUAUGUGUGUUACACUACUCUUGUCUUUGAUGUUGUGCACCUACUUUAAUUUGCAUGAGUGUGAAUAAUAUUACGUAUAUUGUUUUUCUUAAAGUUGACUCUCGUGUAUGAAUGGUUUCCGUACGUAAGCACAUUUUUUCUUUGUGUUCUAUAUUUAAGCGAAAAUAUUAUCUAGAUAAAUAUUAUGAGAGGAUAGGAAUGGGCGCUAUACAACCUACAUUGGUGAAAAUGAGAUGUGUUGAAGGAUAGAGAGGACACGGUUAAUAUGGAAUAUCAUUAGUAAAACUUAUUUUUCCUAUUCCAUUGCGAAAUCAUUUUCCUCUUUUUCAAAAAUCUUAACCAAUCAAAUAAAUAUGAAAAAAUUUGAAGAAAAUGUUUUCCUCCCUAACUAAACACUCAGUGUCUCAGUCAGCAGAAUAUAAGACCAUGAAAGCGACAACUGGAAAAUAUGAAAUACUCCAUCCGUUAGUUAUUGUUUAUUAUGGUUUCUAUUUUUAGAGUCAAACUAUAAAAACUUUGACUAACAUUUUAAGAUGCAUUUUUUCAUCAUAUUAAUAUGCAAAAAAUUGUAAUUUAUAAUACUUUUCAUAUAGUUUUAGAAUAUCUAAUUUUUUUAUUUAAAAUAUCAAAUUAAUGUGAUCUAAUUAAUGAAAAUUAGUCAAAUCAACUUUCGAUAAGCGCAAUAUGACAAACAUUUCCGGAAGGAGGGAGUAUAUAUCUAUAAUUACUAAAAUAUAGUUAGUAGAUUAAUAAAUGUAGAUUUCAAAAAAUUAAUCAAUUGUUACCGAUAUUUGAAUAGCUUAACAUAAUUAUGAAAACCUUAUUGUUUGAAAUGAUGAUGUUUGCGAGUUUAACUACAAAAUGGACAGAAUUAUCAAAUGAUAAAAGAUUUUGCUACACAAUCAAAAUAUAAGCAAUUUAAGGAAUCCAUUCAUUGUUAAUUAAAUAUUUUGAAUUCGAAUCUUAAACACACAUAAAAUAAGUACCCAUGGAGAGCUAGCCUAGGAACUACACAAGGGUAGGGUAUAUCAGUAUGAACUUGAAUUAGUUCUGUUUUCUUAUCUAUUAUAUUGUUCACAUAGCAAGCACAUUAACGCAUGCGCGGAAUAAGAGGGAGACGGAUGAGGGGGUGGGGGCAAAAUCAGAAGCAAACUCAAGAUUUAAAGAUAACGGAGAACUACUAAAAGUAGAUACGGGUUAGUUAAAGUAUCGAUAACUGAUCGAAAAUUAUUAUCAAAUAAAUACAAAAUUGAGUGUAUAUAUAAAUACAAAUUAAAUGAAACGUAACAUAGUUCACUCUAUAGUUGGAUGGUCUUGACCCUUAGUGUAUACUUUGACCCUUAGUGUAUACUUUGUGUUCACUCAGGGCACACAAGUCGCAAAGAAGCGCAACAGAUAGUGUUUAACCACUACACCAACUUGAUUCAUGAGUUACAAUGUACGCAUAUAAUUAUUUGAUCCUUAUUUAUGAAUAUACAUGUUAUAUUUAUAUACAUAAGUUUCCAAAACUAAUAGGUGCACGUGUCCCACUACCUCAAAGGGUGGAUCCGUCUCUGCGAAAAGCACCAACUUCCCUAGUACUGUUUGAAUAAAUUCAUGAAUCAUUUUUUUAUUUAGAGAUGUCAAAAGAAAAUAAAAAAUCGACUGAACCUAAUCGUAUCAAAUAAUCUCUUGAUUUGGACCAUAAAUGAAUGCUCUAAUAUCCAAAUCUUUGUGGUUGUGAAAUUAUCAUGACUUUCCAAAUAGUGAAUUUAAAUGUACAUGAAAACUAAGUCAUAUCAAUUAAUGUAAAGUGGAAAAUUGUGUGUGCCACCAAUGAUCCCAAGUGCCCCCAUAUUAAAAAUCUACUUUUAACAUUAUUGCACUACUGACCACCGCAUACCUUAUCUUAAUUAAUUACUUUAAAGAAAUCUUGAUAAUUGUCAUGAGUAGUCUAUUCAUCGCAAUAUGUGGUUUUAGUACAAUUAAUUCGAUGGCUCUAGUACAAUUAUAUUUUAUAAAUAAUCUUAGAAAUCAGCAAUUUACAAUUACGAGUUUAUAUUAUUACUUACAACUUAAACCUCUUCUUUGUUCUCUUAAUUAAGGAGUUUAUUUUAGUAUUAUAGUACUGUUUGAGUUUGAAGCUCGAUAGAUGAAUCUUACAAUUAAUUAAGCUCCCUUAAUCCAUGAAACUCGAAGUAUCGAUUUUCGUCUAGCCUCGAUGUAUAAUUUUAUAAUAGCGUCCAACUUUUAAUUCGAUAUGUUUUUAUAAUAAUAAAUUUUCAUAAGAUCCAUCUAUUUAGCAACAUGUUAUUGAUAGUGCCUUGACACUGUGACACUACGACAGCUAAGCAACAGUAUAUGUAGCAAGAAAUUCAAUUCAAUGGAAGAACCAAAUAUACAUUUGAUGUCGAUUGUUAAUUUCAAACCUUUAAAAAGCCUUUAAUUUUUAAAUUUCCUGCCUUUUUAGUAUCAAUAUUAUAAUUAGCUACUAAUAAUUUCACAAAAUUCACCAAGAAACAAGCAUGGUAAGACAAAAAUCCAAAACAUGGCCAAAGGUGAUCUAUUCAUGGUUGUCGUCAGCUCGUGUAAUAAGGUGUUGAAUUAAGUCCCACGAGCACAAUCCAACUAUUGUUUCACUAACUAGCUAAUCAGACGUGAGCCCCUCUUUGAACAGAUUACUCCUUUGAGAAAAAAAAUAUGCAAUAUUUGUUGGGUUUUAUUUGCCCUAAAUUUCUUAUUAUAAAUAGGUUUUCCUUGUAUUGACUAAUACUUUUCUUGUAAGAAAAGGUUUAGGACUCUAUAAAUAGAGGCAUGUUCCUUCUAACUUAAUCAGCAUUCACAAUGUAGUCUUAAGGGCUUUGAAAAUUUUGGGUAGGGGGAGAAUUUGUGGGUCACAAGUUUGAUACGUUAUCACUUGUGUGAACCUCCCAUGUAUUCCGAGUGAAUUGGUUGAGGUUGUUUCUCUCUGUAUUUUGUACUCUUAUAUUUAUAGUGGAUUGCUCAUCUCCUCUUGACCGAACCACGUUAAAUCUUUGUGUCUUUUGGUAUAUUUUUCAUUGUCUUCUUACUCGUGGUCUUUUAAGGUUUGCUUUGCUAGCUUCCGCGUUUACACCUGCUGAUUUUCGGUCCUACCAAUGUUUUAUUUUGUAGCUUUGUUCUUUUCAUGUAAAUUGAUCAAUUAGCUUAGUUAGUUAAGAGUUAGUUGGUUGAGAUGUUUCUCUUAGUGAGUACACGUGUAUUUAUACAGUGAUGUUGAAGUUACUUAAGUUGAUAUAUAACAAUCACACUAAACGUUACGUGUGAGGAAUGUGUUUUUAUCUUCUAUAUUUUUUUUUGGGAUUAAUUCUUAUCACGCUUCGUUAAAAUAAUAAUCGAUGAAUAUAUAUUUAUUCGUACACAUAUUAUACAACUUAUAUACUCUGAUCAUUAAUUAAUUAUUAUAAUUAUUUUUAACGAUCGAUUCGAUCCGUAACUUUAUCCUUUUUUCUUUUUAGUAGUUCUUCUGUUAGUUCCGUAGGUGCAAAAAUUUGAGUCUUGCCGACAGGCUAAUUAGUCGAUGAGGCAAAUUGAUAAAUCAAAGUCAACAUCAAGUCAUGUGUUUGAUUAAGAUUAAUUUUAUACAUUUGUCACCAUUAAUUAUUCAACACCUAUAGUUUGUUCUUCUCAUUUUAGACGGCAAAUAAGAGAUAAAGAUUUUUAAAAGUGAAUUAUUGGCACUUUAAACUGUUGGAAAAUAGCAUAUACAGCGGAAGCAUUCCAGAAUCAUACAUCUUGCAUGAAUAUAAAUAACAAUCACAAAUAGUUAUCACAUACAAAGUAUGCUGAAAAUUAACUCAGGAUUACCUCUUGAAGCGUGUGCAGAUAUCUUGAAGUAAAUCCAACUCCAGUUCUCUUCUACAGUAAUCUUCUACAGUGAUCCCAAUCAACAACUGAACUCUCUCAAUACUUGGGUGGGCAAGUAUUGUAUAGAAUUCUCUCAUUAAAUCUAGGUUAGAAAAAUCUCUAUUUAUAGAGAUGUCUUCCUACUCCAAAGAGGAGAGGAAAAACCAAUUCUUUUUCUUUUAGGAGAUGUCUUCCUAGUCCAAAGAUGAGAGGAAAAACCAAUUCUUUUCCUUUUAAGAGAUGUCUUCCUAGUCCAAAGAGGAGAGGAAAAACCAAUUUUUUUUCUUUUAGAAGAACUUGAAAACACACGUUUUCCUCCAAAGAAAAAGAACGCGACUUUUCCAUCUUCUACUAGAAAAUAGGAUUCUGAGUUCUAGUUAAAUUGGGCACUGGAGGGACCACAGAAUUUAUUACUGAGGCUUCCUAUUAUGGAAAUAAUUCUAAAUAAUUAAUUUAAAUUAUUCUUACCAUAAUAAAUGACAAAUCAUUCCACUAAAAAUUCGUAAUUGAACUCCUCUAUUUAUUUCGAAAUUCACCACUAAACACUUAUUUGAUUCCCCAUGUUAAGAUUACCGAUACUAAUCAAUAAAUUAAAUUACUGACGAAUUUAAUUCAAUGAUUAAAUUCUUUUAGAGCAAUACUUAACUUAUUUCAUGUGCCAGAUUCAUAAAUCUACCGGCCGGGUUUACACAUGAAAACUUACAAGCUUCUCAUAAAAGGUGUAUCAUCAAUCUCUAUACUGAGACAUGGAUUCCAUCAACUAACUAAUUAUUUCACCAAUAUAUAUUAUUAUCAUCCAAUUUACCAGGCAUAUUGACCCAUCUCACAAUCUCACCUUUUAAUAAAUCAAAAUGAUAAAUAAUAUAUACAGUUCAUAAUCGUUAUAUCAAGAUUAAGAAUAUAAGUACAUUUAAUAGUUUAGAGAAUAUGUUUUUAUCAGUCAGUCUAAAAUAACUAUCUCUGCUUGGUCCCGUUCAAUACAUACCAAAUGCACUAGCACGAGAAGUUAGAACUAUAUCAUUCUCAUAAUCAAGAUAAAUUACAUUAAAUCUCGUGCUACAAUUUUUCUGAUGAUUUUGUCCAAAUUUCCAUCUAUGAUUGUGAACUAUAAAUUUUAACUUAUAAGAACUGAUGAUUUAAUCUUCUGUGUAUAAGCUUAAACUCUAUACACCAAAUCAUCUACUAUAUAAGUUAAGGACACAUAUAUGACAAUUGAUCUAUUUAAUGUAACACUUUAUUGAAUUGAAUAAAUAAAUAAACAAUUGUUCAAUAUUAAUACUAUAUCAAAACGCAUGGUUAAUAGUAUAUCCUAACAAUCUCCCACUUAGACUCAUAACCAUACACCUACAACUCUAACACUCAUUCCUCUUUUUGUACACACAAGACUCAUCAAGACAUUGCCCAAAACCAAAAGACUUGACUGUAGUGUCGAAGCAAGUGUUCCAUGCCCUAGAAGUUUGCUUUAAUCCAUAAAUAGAUCUUUUAAGCUUGCACAACAUGUGUUCUUUUCCUUUUUCUAUGAAACCAUCUGGUUGUCGCAUAAAUAUGCUUUCAUCAAGACUUCCAUUAAGGAAAGUUGUCUGGACAUCCAUUUGCCAAAUCUCAUAAUCAUAAUGAGCAGCAAUGGAUAAGAGAAUUCUAAUAGACAUAAGCAUGACUACUGGCGAAAAAGUUUCCUCAUAGUCGAUCCCUUCUUUCUAAGUAAACCCUUUUGCAACAAGUCUAGCUUUGUAAGUUUGCACUUGUCCAUCUACUCCUCUCUUUUUCUUAUAUAUCCACUUGCACCCAAUGGGUUUGACUCCAUCUACAGGUGGUUCUACAAGAUCCCAGACUUUGUUAGAGUACAUAGAAUCCAUUUCUGAUUUCAUAGCAACAAUCCAUUUUUCUGCAUCUUUAUCUUAUAGUGCUUCGUCGUAAUUCACAGGUUCGGUAUUUGACUCUUCAGGGAUUCUGUCAAAAGACUCUCCCAAGAGUGCAUACCGAAGUGGUUUUCUUAUCACUCUCCCACUACAACGAGACACUACAGUUGCAGGGGUAGGUUCAGAAAGAUUUGCGUUAUUAUGAUCUUGUGGUGGAACCACAUCAUUUUUAGGAUCUUGAGUUUACAUGUUAUCUUCAGUAUCUUGCGGUGCAGAGAUAUCAACAACUUCUUCCUCUAAUGCAAUUUGCUCACUAUCACUCCCACUACCUUGAUGCAAUGAAUUUUCAAGAUCUUGUACUUGCAAAAUUUUAUGUUUGUUAACAUCUCUCCCACUAUUAUAAUGCAAUGGUAUGUUAACUCUAACAUGUGGGGUUUGAAUUUGGUUUUCAUUAUUUUCAGUAGAUUGAUUUGUUUUCUCUUUGCUCAAUUCCUGUAAAACUAGUUUACUUCUAGGAAUAUGGUUUGUUAAAAAAUCCGUUUCCAGAAACUUGGCAUUGGUAGACACAAUGACCUUCUUUUCUUUAGGAUUAUAAAACAUACCACCUUUCGUUCCUUUAGGGUAUCCAAUAAAAACACAUACUUCUGUUUUACGUUCCAAUUUUUCUGCCUUCCCUUUUAAUACAUAUGCUGGACAUCCCCAAACCCGAAUAUGUCUCAAACUAGGUUUGUGCCCAGUCCACAGUUCAAUGGGUGUCAAAGAAACAGAUUUGGAAGGAACUGAGUUCAGAAUGUAAUUUGUAGUUUCUAUGGCAUAUCCCCAAAACGAAUGCGGCAAAUCAGAGUAACUCAUCAUUGAUCUAACCAUUUCUAAAAGAGUUCUAUUUCUUCUUUCUGCUACACCAUUUUGUUGUGGCGUUCUAGGUGCAGACAUUUGAGAUGUAAUUCCUUAUUCUGAUAAGUAACUAAUAAAAUCAUUAGAGAGGUAUUCACCACCACGAUCAGAUCGCAAUGACUUGAUAUAUAUUCCAUGUCGUUUCUCUGUUUCAGCCUUAAACUCUUUGAAUUUAUCAAAGCAUUCAGACUUACGGCGCAACAAAUAUAUAUAUCCAUAUUUUGAGUAGUCAUCAAUGAAGGUCACGAAGUACUCAUACCCACCUUUUGCUUAAAUGUUCAUUGGGCCACACAAAUCAGA